rnacentral:lncRNA from 1 species
UAGCAAACACCAGUUUUUUUGUUUGAACAUCGAUCCACAUCAAUGGCUCUUGUGAGAACAUCUCCAGGAACCUCCUCUGAUUCCAACGCUUUUCAGAGUUAUCGCUACGAUGCGUUCUUGAGCUUCAGAGGCGAAGAAACUCGCAAGACUUUUACCGACCACCUCUACACAGCCUUGAACAAUGCAGGAUUUCUUACAUUCCGAGACGAUGAUGAACUUGAGAGAGGAGAAGAUAUAAAGCCAGGACUGCUGAAAGCGAUCCAGCAGUCACAAACUUCUGUUGUCGUGUUUUCGAAAGAUUACGCGUCAUCCAGGUGGUGUCUUGAUGAGCUUGUGCUGAUCCUUGAACGCAAGAGGACCACCUCGGACCAUGUAGUUUUACCAGUCUUCUACGAUGUCGAUCCGUCCCACGUGAGGAAGCAGGCAGGAAGUGUUGGAAAAGCAUUUGCUAGAAGCCAGAAAAAUCAGUCGUCGGAAAAGGUGGAGGGAUGGAGGAAGGCACUUGCAGAGAUUGCAGACCUAGCAGGCAUGGUCUUACAAAAUCAAGCUGAUGGGUAACUUUCAUUAUCUCCAUUUCUUUUCUCUUUCUUGGGUUAAUUUGAUGUAUGAUCCGUAGUGACCAAGAAUUUAAUAUAUUUAUUAAUUCAAUCUCCAUUUAGGUCAACUUAAAGAAAUCACACUCAACUCAACUUAAGGAUUAGUCAUUUUCCAUGUUAAUCUACUGGUUUCCAGUUGCUUAAAUAUUUUUGAAAGCUGGUGUGGAAAAAACUUAGGAUGUGAUCUGUAAUGUAUUUGUCUAUAGUUCGUAUAAAUUAUGCGUUGUAUUCCUUUUUUAGGAAAACUAAUAAAAAAGUCUUUAAAACUUUGAGUUUUAACGAUAAGGACAAAAUAAAGGGUAAAGCGAAUAGUAUCAGGAUUGACUUUUUAGUGUAAAAAUGUGGUUUUUCGUUAAAAUGAACAGUACCAGAAGUUUUUCGUUAAAGUUCCCUUUUUUUUCAAUUUAAUUUUGUCAGCAUUCCUCUUUUUUUUCUUAUUUAAACAAAGGCAAUCAACAUAUGUUUUAAUUAUCUAAUUUCCCCAAUUCAUUUUUCAUUUUGUUUGCAAAUUCUUAGGUACGAGUCAAAGUUUAUCAAAAAAAUUGUUAAAGUGAUAGGAGACAAGUUAAGUCGCACGCCGUUGAGUGUUGAACCAAAAUUGAUUGGAAUUCAAUCUCAAGCCAAACGCAUCAAUUUGUGGUUACAAGAUGGAUCAAGUGAUGUUGGUAUAUUUGUUGUGUAUGGCAUAGGGAAGACAACCAUUGCAAAACAUGUUUACAAUUCAAACUUUAGAAGCUUUCAAGGAAGUAAUUUCAUUGAAAAUAUCAAAGAAACAGCAGAUGGACCAAAUGGCUUAGUCCAAAUACAAAUGCAACUUCUUUGUGAUAUUUUGAACGGCAGAGAAGUGAAAAUACAGUGUUAGUGAGGGAAUAAUUAAGAUUGAAAGGGCCAUAAGCUCUAGAAGAGUUCUACUUGUUCUUGAAGAUGUUGACCAAAUGGACCAAUUAGAUGCAAUCCUAAGGAUGAAAGAUCAGUUUUAUCCGGGAAGUAAGAUACUAAUAACAACUAGGCGUGAAAGGUUGCUAAAGGCAGAUCAAGUUACAGAGGUGCACAGAGUUCAAACUUUGGAUUACAAUGGAUCAUUAAAGCUUUUCAGUUGGCAUGCUUUUGGCCAGGACCAUCCCAUAGAAGAAUACAUGGAGCACUCAAAACAGCUAGUGCAACAUAGCGGCGGACUUCCAUUAGCUCUAAAAGUUUUGGGUUCUUCUUUAUCAGGGGAAAGUAUAGGUCUAUGGGAAAGUGCAUUGGAGAAGCUAAAAGUUAUUCCUGAUGCUGAAAUCAUGAAUAAGCUAUGAAUAAGCUAUGAAAGUUUAAAAGAUGACCAUGACCGGAAAUUAUUCCUCCACAUUGCUUGUUUCCUAAUAGGAAGGAACAAAAGCUACAUUGUUAGAAUAUUCGAUGGAUGUGAUUUCUAUACAAUCAUUGGCAUUCAAAAUCUUAUUGAUAGAUGCUUGGUGACACUUGAUGAAAACGGCAAGGUGAAAAUGCAUGACAUGAUUCGUGCUAUGGGAAGAGAAAUUGUUCGUCAAGAAUCAGAAGAGCCUGAGAAACGUAGUAGAUUAUGGCGCCAUAAGGAUUCUUUCCAAGUAUUGAGGAAAAAGAAUGUAAGAAACAUGCCUUUUAUGUCUAUAUAUGUAUUUCUUCUUGUGAAAAUUAUGCAUAUUAAUGUCUCUUUUUUUUUCCUUUAGGGUACAAAAAAAAUCCAAGGUCUUGUCCUGGAUAUGCGUAACCAUCCAACAAACAGUCCAAUAAACACAAAUGAGAUAGUCUUGGAAACCAAUGCAUUUGCAAGGAUGUGCAAUUUACAACUACUCCAUCUUAGUCAUGUACGACUGGAUGGAUGUUAUGCAGAUUUCCCUACAGGAUUAAGAUGGUUGUGUUGGCUUGAAUUUCCUUUGGAUUCUAUACCAAUUGAUUUUCCUUUGGAGAACGUAAUUGUUCUUGAAAUGCAAUACAGUAGCUUGAGACAAGUAUGCAAAGGAACAAAAGUAUGUUACUCUAUGCAUUUCAAUUCAUUUUCCUUAUUUUGUUAGUUUUUUAUUUGUCGACCAACUCCAUGUGUUAAAAUGAACUACUAUGUUUUCUUUAAUUCGAUGACUAAUUUGUUAUAUUAGAUACUUAUUUCAUUCUUCUUUUUUUUUUCUUUUUUUUCCCUCUGUUUCCACAGUUUCUUCCAUCAUUGAAGAUCCUUGACGUCAGCCAUUCUCAUGGCCUUAGUGAAACCAUUGACUUCUCACUUUUCCCCAAUCUAGAGGAACUGAUUCUUGUAGAUUGCACAAGCUUGAAGAAUGUUCAUGAAUCCAUUGGAAACCUGGAGAGACUCGUGUACUUGAAUAUGAAGGAUUGCAAGAAUCUUAGGAUGUUUCCGAAGAACAUGUGUAUGCUUAAAUCACUUGAAACCCUCAUUUUAUCUGGUUGCUCAAAUCUUGAUGAGUUUCCAGUGGAGAUGAUGAAGAAGAUGGAGUCUCUGAAAGUUCUUGAGACAGAUGGAAUUCCAAUAAGUGAAUUGUGGCAAGAAAGAAGUUCAACUAUCUUGAGUUCUUUUCCAUGCUUUUUAGUAGAGUUAAGUCUGAAGGGGUGCAAUCUUUCUGAUGAUGUCCUUCCUACGGAUUUAAGUAAUCUAUCCCUCUUGCGAAAACUACAUUUAGAUGAGAAUCCAAUUUGCAGUCUGCCAGUUUUCAUUAAAGGUUUGAAAAGGCUCGAUGAACUCUCUUUCAAGGGUUGUGAUAGGCUCGAAUCGCUUGUGGGGUUGCCGGAAGUACACCAAAUUAUAAUUGUAGCCGAAUGCAUAUCAUUAAAAAAAAUAACAUCUCAUUCCCCUAAGGAAUUGUGUUCAAUAUGUACGGAUCAGAACUUGAAUCUUUUUGAGUGCUCAUGGUGUUACAAAAUAGAGCUUAUUGAUACAGUUGAUGUGGAAAUGAUCAAACUUUUGGGCUUGUGCAACUUGGAAUCCAUGCCAGCUGUUCGAAUGCAUUAUCCAAAAGAGUUCCAACAGGAACUUGAAACUUUCAGAGAGGUCCCAGUCCAGGUGCGCCUCUCUUUCUCUCUCUCUCUCUCUCUCUUAAGUCUUAAAUAUAUAAAAUGGGAAAGAAAUGACUGACUAAUGUUGUGAUGACUAUGGCAAAUACAUAGGGACUGUAUCAUCAUGGUAUAUUCAGCACCUUUUUUGUUGGGAAUGAUGUUUCAGGCCGGUUCAGCUUUAAAAGUACCAAGUCAUCGAUAUCUUUUAUUGUCCCUUUACUACAUGCUAGUCACAGAAUUCGAGGCUUGAACAUCUUUGCUACCUAUGCAAAGGAAAAUUGGAAUUUUCUUAAUGAUUCUAGUAUGGCUCCAAUAACUAUCAAAGUGAGAAACAAGCAAGGGUCUGGAGUGGAUCUACAGCCCAUUAUUCCAUGGUGUCCCAGGUCGUGGAGAAGAUAUGAUAUGGUUGAGCCAUUGGAAGAUGGAGAAUAAAACAAUAUUUCAAUGUGGAGAUGAAGUGGUGGUUUGGGUAAUAAUCGAACCACGUGACUUUUGGGUAAAGGAGUUUGGUGUCGAGCUUGUGCAAGAGCACCAAGACAAGAUGAGUACCCAACACAACACCAAAUCAGAUUAUCCAUUUAUUAUCGGUGGAUAUUCGCGGAAUUGGACGAGCAGACGGAGAAUAUACUUCCAUGGCAAUUAUAGCGCAGAUGAUAUUGACGAGAUUGAUAUGCUCACCAUGGACUCUGAUGAAGAAGACACAAGUAUGUUGUGUUGUUGUAUUGCAUUGAAUUAUACUCCAUCCAAACACUUCCAGGUGUGUUCGUAUUCAUUUCAAAAAGUUUCCAAUAAAUUUUAUGUUAUUUGUAUGUUUUUCAGACAAAGAAGGGCAAGAAGAUGAACCUGAUUACAUAGUUGCAAAGACGAGGGCUGCUAGCAAUAACUGCAGCCUGAGAGGCUGGAAGGUGCGCCUUAUAGCUGUCGGCUUCUUUUUCGCACUUGCUCUAGUAGGUUGGUCCUCCAUCUCCCAAAAAAAGAAGCGACACAUGUCCACAAGCCCACCAUGAGUUUGUAAUUUGACUUGAUAUAGAUAUGUCUUUGCAUUCCUUGCUGUCAAGAUGUUUUCUACCUUCAAAAUUUCAGGUUCAGAGCUAAGUACUCUUAACCGUUUGAGAUAUAAAAAUCCCUUGCAACUAGAUACCGAAGUUCAAAUGUGUUCAACGCCAUCAAAUAUAGCAUAAAAUGCAUCCAGCAUUAGCGAUACUAGCAGAGUAGCAGUAAAUAAGUAAAACAAAAAAAAUGCUUCUACACAUGGUAAGGGAAGGACUUUGACAUAGGUAUUUUUUUUUUGGGGGGGGGGGUGGGUGGGGAUUAUGUCGGCACAGGGGAAAACAAAAACAUCCUAUCUGCUUAUAAAUAACAAAGUUACAAAUCUUAAUUGUCGUUUACAACAAAAUCAUUCUUAAAGACUCGGCUCCCCAUUGAAAUUGUGUAAAUUGCAUAAAUAUCAAUACAACAGAUAUUAGACAGAAUAAUAUAUAUCAAAUAAAUUAACAACAGGCAAUUUCUUAGCCUGAGAUCCAAGGACUUUACAACUGGUUCAGCCUUGCAUCGCUACUAAACUACAGAAUCAAUCUAAGCAAGCACAUUGGCUCCAGUCAAUUGAUUUAAAAGAGUACUCUUGCCAGCAUUGGUGUACCCAACCUUGUUUCUCAGCCCAACAUGCACAAAAUCAACACCGUGUAGAAAACUAAAAACCACCACCAAAUAAAUGUGAAUUCGACAACGUCAACGUAUUUACUUACCAAAGAUACUAUAGGUACCGAAAGGUGGUGAUUACGAUACUGCUUUCUAUGCUUUCGGACAGAUUCUAACUCCUUGACAACACGAUCUAGUAUUACAGACAUUUUUACUGUCAAAUCAAUUUCCAGACAAAAAUCUACGGUUGUCAAGGAAGUAUAGGAGGAACGGCCAUAGUCUUUGGAGCCAUGAAAUUUACUGUCUUCUCAUGAACAUUGUACCUCCAAAAGCAUGAUGCAAUAAGCAUUCAAUAAUCUGACCUAGUUUGCUCAACAGAUGCUCCAAGAUAUUCCAAAACAAAGUCAUAGCAUUUUCACAUAGGGAACCGAAGAAUCUAUUGAUACCUUAUCUUGCAACUCUUAAGAGGCUCUUCUGUCAACAAUCUUCCUCUUCUAAGCAUGCAACUUUUUAAAGAAUAAAAGGUUUGUCUCUGCGAAUAAUCAAGUUCCAAGCCCACUAUUGAAAAUCAUGUUCAUCCACUCUACACUUCCAAAGCAGCAAACUAACAAUUUCAAAAGCUUUAAAUGCAAUCUGAAUACAUGGCAAGUAGGGGUAAACAUGUGAACAGAAAAAUCAGUGAACAUAAUCAAAUCGAAUAAGUCAAUUUUGGCCGAGAUUGAAAUGAAAAAAACAAGGAAAUGCUUUGUCUAUCGAUUUGUUUAUGAAAAUGGCUAUUCUACAAGAUACAGCAUGACAGGUCUUAGCUAGAACAAGUAACCGGCAUGGAAAUGCUUUAUGAAGCAAGAAUAUGAACUCAAGAGCUUUGUGCCAGAGAGACUUCAGAAAAAUGAAAAAAAAAAAUAUAAAAUAUGGGUAAGAAUAAACAUCGAUCAGACAAUAAUUCACGUAUAAAUCAUUUUUUCAACUUUAAAGUGGUGGCUUAAAAAGAAGCUUUAAACAAGUAGCAAUAAUUUCAUAUUGAAAAAUAAAACCUAUUUCAUGGAUAUUACAAGAGCAUUUAUUUUGAAAAACACACCUUUUGGUUCUUCGCUGCCUGACUUUUAAGAAGAUCUUUGUCCUUGUGACGAUUCAGAUUCUUUAAAAUAUCUUUGCAACGGAAUAAACAAAACCAAUCUAGGCCAAAAUUGACUUAUUCGAUUUGAUUAUGUUUACUGAUUUUUCUGUUCACAUGUUUACCCCUACUUGCCAUGUAGUUUUCGGGGUGUUAGAGCAUAGUGCUCUUCUCUUAACACACAAGUUUUGAUUUUAUUCUUCGUAAAUUAAGAGACCGUUUGAUAAUCAUUUCGUUUUCAGUUUAAAAAAUAUAAAAAACUAAAUGGAGUUUUCAAAAUUUGGCCUAGAAUUUUCGCUUUUGAUUUUUAAUUUUAAUUUUUUUUAAAACAACUGAAAACUAAAAAUAAUUACAAAAGGAAAUUUUCAGUUUUAAAUUUUCCAAAAAGUAAAAACUGAAAACUCUAAACUAUAGACUAAAAAUUAAAAAGUGAAAUCGAAAUGGGCUUUCAACGAAAUUGAAAAAAGACUGGGCUGAAUUAGUGAAUUCAAAGCAGGGCUUAUUAACUCUACGAGGCCCAAUGGAUCCGCAUAAAUAUUUAUCGAUAUUUUUACGCUACGAGACUCAAUGGAUCUGUAUAAAUAUUUUUUUUUUUUACAAACGAUAUUAUUUAUAUGGGCUUAACCUUAAAAUGAGCUAACAAUAAUGUGGUUCAAAUUUGCUUUUGACGAGAAUCGAACAUAAAACUUCUUACUUACAAAUGAAAAGAAAUACCACUAAAUCGUAGUCUGAGUGGCUCGUUAUUUUAUUUUAUAUUUUAAUAAAAAAGAAAGAAAGCAAUGAAAAGCUGUACAUAAACUAAAUACAAAAAGGAAUGAAAUGAAGAAGAGUGGGAGACGAACGUUUAAUUCAAGAUAAAGAAAGAAAGGUAAUCGCACCACGACGGCGGCGACGUGGCGGUCAUUUAACGGAAAAUAACAGACAAAUCAGCCUCCAGAUCAAGUCUUGAAGCACAACUCUGAAAAAUCGAGACUACCUACAGCUGAGCUCCGACCAACCGUUGAUGGAUGCAAUCCGGAAGCUCAGAGAUCAGGUCGCCAAGCAACAGCAGGUACUCUCUCUCUUGUUUGAUUCCGAAUUUGUAUUUCUGUAUGGAUUUUGAUACGAGCAUAAUCUGCGUUGAUUGCGAGAUACUAAGAUUGCUUAAUGAAAUGAUAUUUAUAUAAUUGUUCGAAUUGCAUUGGAUCGAUUCGAGUAGAAUUUCACUAUUUCUGAGCUGUUUGGGGCUGUGUUAGAGUGCAAUGUUGCUGAAUUUCUGAAAUUUUGAGCUAGGUGUUGCUGAUUACUUAUCGAUUUUCGGAUUUAAUUGGAUGCUUAAUUUACAUUUUCGGAAAACUUCAAGCGAAAAUGGCAUAUAAUUCAACGUUCUAUGCCUCAUUAAUGCAUAAGAGUUAGUCGAAGCUUGAUCGAGUUUGCUUUUGAUUAUUUUGUGAACACCGUCAGGCUGUGUUCAAACAAUUUUCUGGUGGCAUAUAUGGGGGAUCGGAUAAUGUUGCCUCGGAUGAAAAUGAAUUUCAACAGCAUCAGAAACUCGAGAAGCUGUACAUAUCAACUCGUGCUGCCAAGGUUGCUACGCUUAUUUUUGUCUGUGCUUUAAACGAGCAUCACGUUAGUUGUGUUACCUAUCGUUUUUUGCUUCUUCUUUAACAGCAUUACCAAAAGGAAAUUGUCCGCGGAGUGGAAGGUUACAUUGUGGCCGGUUCAAAGCACGUUGAAAUAGGUAUGUUGCUUGAAAUGUGUUGUCUUUUCUUGGGAGUUUGGAUAUGAAUUCAUGUUGGUUUUAUCAGUUGGUAUACAUGAUACUUUUUCAACAGGUACCAGGCUAUCAGAAGAUAGCAGGAAAUAUGGUUCUGAAAAGACUUGCACCAGUGGUAACACAUUGUCCAGAGCUGCACUGAGUUUUGGAAGAGCUCGGGCCCAAAUGGAAAAAGAGUGUGGAGUUCUACUUAAAGCUCUUGGCACACAGGUUUAAGUCAAAUUAUUACUAACAAAGCUCAACAACAACAACAACAACAACAACAACAAAGCCUUUUCUCACUAAGUGGGGUCGGCUAUAUGAAUCCUAGAACGCCAUUGCGCUCGGUUUUGUGUCAUGUCCUCCGUUAGAUCCAACUACUCUAAGUCUUUUAGGUCUUCCUCUACCCCUUCGGCCCUGAACCUCUGUCCUAUAGUCACAUCUUCGAACCAGAGCGUCAGUAGGCCUUCUUUGCACAUGUCCAAAUCACCGGAACCGAUUUUCUCUCAUCUUUCCUUCAAUUUUGGCUACUCCUACUUUACCUCAGAUAUCCUCAUUCCCAAUCUUAUCCUUUCUCGUGUGCCCACACAUCCAACGAAGCAUCCUCAUCUCCGCCACACCCAUUUUGUGUACGUGUUGAUGCUUCACCGCCCAACAUUCUGUGCCAUACAACAUCGCUGGCCUUAUUGCCGUCCUAUAAAAUUUUCCCUUGAGCUUCAGUGACCUAUGACGGUCACACAACACGCCGGAUGCACUCUUACACUUCAUCCAUCCAGCUUGUAUUCUAUAGUUGAGAUAUCCAUCUAAUUCUCCGUUCUCUUGCACGAUAGAUCCUAGGUAGCGAAAACGGUCGCUUUUUGUGAUCUUCGCUAGAUUGCUCCGGUCAUUAGUGUGGAUAAGUAUAUAAAUGGAUAGAGACAGGAAAGCAAACACAAGAUGUACGUGGUUCACCCAGAUUGGCUACGUCCACGGAAUAGAGAAGUUCUCAUUAAUUGUGAAGGGUUUACACAAGUACAUAGGUUCAAGCUCUCCUUUAGUGAGUACAAGUGAAUGAUUUAGUACAAAUGACAUUAGGAAAUAUUGUGGGAGAAUGAUCUCGUAAUCACGAAACUUCUAAGUAUCGGAGUGCGGUAUCGUCUUGACUUGCCUUAUCUGUCUCAUAGGUAGAUGUGGCAUCUUCUUUGGAAGUACUCUUCCUCCAUUAGGGGUGGUAUCUUUAACUGGUGGAGAUGCACAAGGUAAUGUAUCAAUUUCACUUGAAGCUUACUUGUAGUUUCAGGCUUGGUCAAGCGCGAUACAAACCAUGUAGUAGGAGUCCCCCAAGUCGCCGAGCUAGAGGAUCUGCUGAAAGAGGUGACAGACAAGGUAAGCAAUCAGAGCUCCGGCUGAUUGUUCACAUUCUCCCUAUCUUGCAGGCAGCAUGAAGGAUAAAGAGAAGAACAUGAGAAGAGAUGAUAUGGGAUACUUUUGCUUUUGAAGAAGUAACUUUCCACAGGCUUAUUCUUGAACUGAGCUGGAGGGUUUUCUGGUUUCCUCCAGAGUAUAAGGCCGACUGAAGAAUUUGAGGGUCAAAACAAGUCCAUCAAAUCUAGAGUACGUUCGACCCUGCUGAUAUGGGAUACUUUUGCUUUGACAGAGUAAUGGAUGUAUCGGCACGUGUGCUGUUUCGCUUGUCUCCACAUGCUUCCUUGUAUCCUUCUCCCUUGCCCUAUCUGUUCCUCAGGCAGAGAUGCGGUAUCUUCCCUGGAAGCAUAAGAUGUUGAAGAUGAGUACUUGAGAGCAAUGGCAGGUAAGUAAUCAGGUAAGGGGUUCCAGGCAGUCAGUUCCUGGCUGGAAGCUUGAUUCCAAGUGCUGACUGAUUGCUCUCUUUCUCCUUGUCUUGCAGAUAAGAACAAGGCCAAAGGAAAAGACAGGGAAAAAAGCAUGAUAUGGAGAUACUCUUGCUUUUAACCCUGAUGAUAUGAGAUAUUCUUGCUCUAGUAUAGCUUGUUUGCAGAGGAUAUUAUCGGGGGGAAAGAAAGCUGAAUAUUUCGAAAGGCUUCGUUGGGAGUGCCCUCUCAGAUAUGAGGAAGGGUUGAGCAUUUUUGCAGGUCUGCCUGUCCGUUGGGAAUGGAGGUCGACAUAUAUAGGAAUCUCCUUAACAACAAGUAGUAAUGCUAUUCCUUUACCCUACUUGGUCAUAGCACGGUAGUGGGAGCUGCCAGCUUCACAUGUUUUAACUCUGUCAGAGCACUUUGAAAAAGUGGUCUGUGGUAUCUGGAAAUGUGAUGUUGCGUGUGAAGAUUACAGACAGCUUUAUCCAAGGAGAUCCGGCUCUUGAAGUUGGGAAAGUGUUGCCUCUUCGGUUUUCGAACAAGCAAUCCUAUCGGGGAUCUGGCUCUCGAGAUUCGGAGAACGAUGCCUCUUCGAUUUUUGAGAAAGCAAUCAUGCUGGGGGUCUGGCUCUCGAGAUUUGGAGAGCGGUGUCUCUUCGAUUUUUGAGAAAGUAAUCAUGUUGGGAGUCUGGCUCUCGAGAUUCGGAGGGCGGUGCCUCUUCGAUUUUGGAGCAAGCAAACUUGUUGGGAGUGUUUUCUCGAAUGUGAGUAAAGGUUGGGCAUGUUUGCUAGUCUACCUUGCCACGAAGCACAGAGGUUGACACAUAGGGACUUUCCAAUUAUCCAGCAAUGGUACUGUUCCUUUACCCUCUCUUCGAUUUUUGAGAAAGUAGUCAUGUUGGGAGUCUGGCUCUCGAGAUUCGGAAGGACGGUGCCUCUUCGAUUUUGGAGCAAGCAAUCUUGUUGGGAGUGUUUUCUCGAAUGUGAGUAAAGGUUGGGCAUGUUUGCUAGUCUACCUUGCCACGAAGCACAGAGGUUGACACACAGGGACUUUCCAAUUAUCCAGCAGUGGUACUGUUCCUUUACCCUUGUGGGUAAUAAUAUGGUAGCUAGACCUUCAAAAUUUAUGUGUCUAAACUUUGUUAGUGCUGUUUCUUUGCUAUUGUUUUUACCCUUCUUGGUCAGAGCGAUGUAGUGGGAGCUGCAAGCUUCACGUGCUCAACUUUGGCAGAGAACUUUGGCAAAGUUAUCUGUGGUACCCAUGAGCUACUGUUGCGUGUGGGAAGUGGGUGAUUGAACAGUAAGAUUCAUGUGCUUUCUACUUCACCAGAAGUCUUCGACAGAAUGCCCAUAAUUUCCGCAAAGCUGAGUGUGCGUGUGACAGGUGCUGACAAGGCUGGAAAAGUAGGUGCCUCUUCGAUUUCUGAGAUCGGCCCUCGUGGUCUCUGAGCAGCCCAGCUUUUGAGAAAGCAAGCGCCUCUUCGAUUUCUGAGAUCGGCCUUCGUGGUCUUUGAGCAACCCAGCUUUUGAGAAAGCAAACGCCUCUUCGAUUUCUGAGAUCGACCCUCGUGGUCUCUGAGCAGCCCAGCUUUUGAGAAAGCAAACGCCUCUUCGAUUUCUGAGCAGGCGCCUUCUUCGAUUUCUGAAGCUCCGUCGAGUGCAGAUUUUUAUAGGGGCUGGCAUUAAGUUCCAAAGCACACUUGAAUCUCCACCAGUAGAAGCUCCAUUCUUGCACUUCUAAGAUCUUGAUUUGUCCGACCUCUUCUCUCUUCAACACCUUUGAAAAUGUCUGGCCCCUCCGACCGUCGUUUUUGACUUGAACCUUGUUGAAGAGGCAGCCACGCCUUCUCCAGACAACAUAUGGCGCCCAUCAUUCGUCUCCCCUACUGGUCCUCUUACCGUUGGGGAUUCCGUGAUGAAGAAUGAUAUGACCGCUGCGGUGGUGGCCAGGAACCUUCUCACUCCCAAAGAUAACAGACUACUUUCCAAACGGUCUGAUGAGUUAGCUGUUAAGGAUUCUCUGGCUCUCAGUGUUCAGUGUGCAGGUUCUGUGUGUCUAAUAUGGCCCAACGCCUAUUUGCUCGAACCCGCCAAGUUGAAUCAUUGGCGGCUGAAGUGAUGAGUCUCAAACAGGAGAUUAGAGGGCUCAAGCAUGAGAAUAAACAGUUGCACCGGCUCGCACAUGACUAUGCUACAAACAUGAAGAGGAAGCUUGACCAGAUGAAGGAAUCUGAUGGUCAGGUUUUACUUGAUCAUCAGAGAUUUGUGGGUUUGUUCCAAAGGCAUUUAUUGCCUUCGUCUUCUGGGGCUGUACCGCGUAAUGAAGCUCCAAAUGAUCAACCUCUGAUGCCUCCUCCUUCUAGGGUUCUGUCCAGUACUGAGGCUCCGAAUGAUCCCCCUCCGGUGCCUUCUCUUUCUGGGGCUCUACCGACUGCUGAGACUUCUCCUAAGCAACCUUUGUGAAGGCUCCCUCUUGUUUGUUUAUUUUGACUCAUGUAUAUGUACAUAUUUGUAGCUUAUCGGGGAUAUCAAUAAAUAAGCUUUCCUUCAUUUCAACGUAUUGUGUUAAAUACACCAAAGCCUUCUUCGCUAAGUUCUUUGAAUUUUCUUUUGUUGAAGCUUUGUGAGUGGAGCAUGUAGGUUGAGGUAGUGUUCCCUUAAUUUUCCGAGUGAGGAAAACUUCUCGGUUGGAGACUUGGAAAAUCCAAGUCACUGAGUGGGAUCGGCUAUAUGAAUCUUAGAACGCCAUUGUGCUCGGUCCUGUGUCAUGUCCUUCGUUAGAUCCAAGUACUCUAAGUCUUUUCUUAGAGUCUCUUCCAAAGUUUUCCUAGGUCUUCCUCUACCCCUUCGGCCCUGAACCUCUGUCCCAUAGUCGCAUCUUCUAAUCGGAGCGUCAGUAGGCCUUCUUUGCACAUGUCCAAACCACCGUAACCGAUUUUCUCUCAUCUUUCCUUCAAUUUCGGCUACUCCUACUUUACCCCGGAUAUCCUCAUUCCUAAUCUUAUCCUUUCUCGUGUGCCCACACAUCCAACGAAGCAUCCUCAUCUCCGCUACACCCAUUUUUGUGUACGUGUUGAUGCUUCACCGCCCAACAUUCUGUGCCAUACAGCAUCGCCGGCCUUAUUGCCGUCCUAUAAAAUUUUCCCUUGAGCUUCAGUGGCAUACGGCGGUCACACAACACGCCGGAUGCACUCUUCCACUUCAUCCAUCCAGCUUGUAUUCUAUGGUUGAGAUCUCCAUCUAAUUCUCCGUUCUUUUGCAAGAUAGAUCCUAGGUAACGAAAACGGUCGCUCUUUGGUAUUUCUUGAUCUCCGAUCCUCACCCCUAACUCGUUUUGGCCUCCAUUUGCACUGAACUUGCACUCCAUAUAUUCUGUCUUUGAUCGGCUUAGGCGAAGACCUUUAGAUUCCAACACUUCUCUCCAAAGGUUAAGCUUUGCAUUUACCCCUUCCUGAGUUUCAUCUAUCAACACUAUAUCGUCUGCGAAAAGCAUACACCAAGGAAUAUCAUCUUGAAUAUGUCCUGUUAACUCAUCCAUUACCAACGCAAAAAGGUAAGGACUUAAGGAUGAGCCUUGAUGUAAUCCUACAGUUAUGGGAAAGCUUUCGGUUUGUCCUUCAUGAGUUCUUACGGCAGUCUUUGCUCCUUCAUACAUAUCCUUUAUAGCUUGGAUAUAUAUGCUACUCGUACUCCUUUCUUCUCUAAAAUCCUCCAAGAAUGUCUCUUGGGACCCUAUCAUACGCUUUUUCCAAAUCUAUAAAGACCAUGUGUAAAUCCUUUUUCCCAUCUCUAUAUAUCUUUCCAUCAAUCUUCGUAAGAGAUAGAUUGCCUCCAUGGUUGAGCGCCCUGGCAUGAACCCGAAUUGGUUGUCCGAAACCCGUGUCUCUUGCCUCAAUCUAUGCUCAAUGACUCUCUCCCAGAGCUUCAUUGUAUGACUCAUUAGCUUAAUACCCCUAUAGUUCAUGCAAUUUUGUACGUCGCCCUUAUUCUUGUAGAUAGGCACCAAAGUGCUCGUUCGCCACUCAUUUGGCAUCUUCUUCGUUUUCAAAAUCCUAUUGAAAAGGUCAGUGAGCCAUGUUAUACCUGUCUCUCCCAAAACUUUCCACACUUCGAUUGGUAUAUAUCGUCUGGGCCUAUUGCUUUUCUAUGCUUCAUCUUCUUCAAAGCUACAACCACUUCUUCCUUCCGGAUUCGACGAUAAAAAGAGUAGUUUCUACACUCUUCUGAGUUACUCAACUCCCCUAAAGAAGCACUCCUUUCAUGUCCUUCAUUGAAAAGAUUAUGAAAAUAACCUCUCCAUCUGUCUUUAACCGCGUUCUCUGUAGCAAGAACCUUUCCAUCCUCAUCCUUGAUGCACCUCACUUGGUUUAGGUCCCUUGUCUUCUUUUCCCUUGCUCUAGCUAGUUUAUAGAUAUCCAACUCUCCUUCUUUGGUAUCUAGUCGUUUAUACAUAUCGUCGUAAGCCGCUAACUUAGCUUCUCUCACAGCUUUCUUCGCCUCUUGCUUCGCUUUUCUAUACCUUUCACCAUUUUCAUCGGUCCUAUCCUUGUAUAAGGCUUUACAACAUUCCUUCUUAGCCUUCACCUUUGUUUGUACCUCCUCAUUCCACCACCAAGAUUCCUUUUGGUGUGGGGCAAAGCCCUUGGACUCUCCUAAUACCUCUUUUGCUACUUUUCGGAAUACAACUAGCCAUGGAAUCCCACAUUUGGCUAGCUUCCCCCUCUCUAUCCCACACACACUGGGUGAUUACUUUCUCUUUGAAAAUGGACUUGUUUUUUUCUUCUUUUAGAUUCCACCAUCUAGUCCUUGGGCACUUCCAAGUCUUGUUCUUUUGUCUCACUCUUUUGAUAUGUACAUCCAUCACCAACAAGCGAUGUUGAUUAGCCACGCUCUCUCCUGGUAUAUAACUUUGCAAUCCUUACAAGUUAUACGAUCCCCUUUCCUCAUUAGAAGAAAAUCUAUUUGUGUUUUUGACGACCCACUCUUGUAGGUGAUCACAUGUUCUUCUCUCUUCUUAAAGAAGGUGUUGGCUAAGAAAGAGAUCAUAUGCCAUUGCAAAAUCCAAGAUAGCUUCCCCAUCCUCGUUUCUCUCCCCAAAACCAUGGCCACCAUGAAAACCUCCAUAGUUGCCUGUCUCCCUGCCCACGUGUCCAUUUAAAUCUCCUCCUAUAAAUAACUUCUCCGUCUGAGCAAUUCCUUGCACCAAGUCUCCAAGGUCUUCCCAAAAUUUCUCCUUCGAACUCGUAUCCAACCCUACUUGAGGUGCGUACGCACUAAUCACAUUGAUAAGUUCUUGUCCUAUUACAAUCUUGAUUGCCAUGAUUCUAUCUCCUACCCUCUUGACAUCUACAACAUCUUGUGUCAAGGUCUUGUCCACGAUGAUGCCAACACCGUUUCUCGUUCUAUUUGUGCCCGAAUACCAAAGUUUAAACCCUGAGUUUUCUAGAUCCUUUGCCUUACUACCAACCCACUUAGUUUCUUGUAGGCACAUAAUAUUUAUCCUUCUCCUCACCAUAACUUCCACUACUUCCAUAGAUUUUCCCGUUAAGGUUCCUAUAUUCCACGUUCCUAAACGCAUUUUGCUCUCUUGAACUCUACCCUUCUGUCCUAACUUCUUCACCCUCCCCCGUUUAAUAAGAUCAAAGUACUUCUUUUGUGUGUCCCGUGUAAAGUUGAUAGGAGCAUAUGCUCCCAAACAACUUUGAGUGGAGUCGUUCGAAAAGAAGUUUCUAUGGCCCCCUUGCUCAUUUAACACUGCAUCCGGGUGCCGAUGGAGAUACAGUGACCCUUGCUCACUUAUCACUGUGCUCGGGCCACACAGCGCGCCACUUACGGGUGACGCCCUAGCUUUAGCGCGAUUUUGUUCUGGAUUCAUUUUCAUAAGGAUUCGACGUGAUCAUGGAGUGCCGGCUGUCGACUACCUGACGUCCUCCCCCUCCUCCUUUAUCCGGGCUUGGGACCGGCAAUGUAACAAAGCUCAUUAAGUAAAAUUCAAAUAUUGCCUGGGCCGGCUUCAUACAAAUGGAAUUUCAACUGACUAAUUUUCGUGUGCAUUUGAUCAUUUCGAAAGAAAUUUACAGUAAAAAUUGUUUCCAUUUUCACGUGUGGUUCAAGAACUGGACUACUUUUUGUGUUAUUAUGCAUCAUAUGACAAACUGGUUCACCGUUUCUUUCUAUAGGUUUGCAUAAUAACUCCUUCUGUGCUUAUCAAUUUGCCUGUGUAGGUUGCAGAGCCUUUAAGAGCAAUGAUAGUGGGAGCGCCCUUGGAGGAUGCUUGACAUCUUGCUCAACAAUAUGCUAGAAUGCGGCAAGAAGCUGAAGCUCAGGUAUAUGCAGUUUCUUCUGUUUCCUCCCAAUUUUAUACUACAGUGAUUUUACAUGUUACGUGGUGAUCGUACAUUUCUUCGUUUAACUUUUUUUGUUUUCUUUUAAAAGUGUUUGUUCAUUUUGAGACAAUCAUGCAUUGGUAUUCAUAGAGAACGCAAAAUCUUAAGAUGUUUAAUGUAAACUUGUUAAGAUUGCUUUAUUACUUGAAGCUUUGUUGUAAUUUGGUUUUUGGUUUUUUUUUUAUUACUCCUUCAGAUUUGUCUAUAUAUACUAACUUGCACCGGGAUUCUGCAGGUAAUGCUGACAUUAUCAUGAAACUAGAAGCUGCUGAAGCCAAGCUUCAGGAGCUGCAGUCUACCGUUGCAAUAUUGGGAAAAGAAGCUAGUGCAGCUAUGGCUGCUGUUGAAGGUCAACAACAAAGAUUGACUCUUCAGCAGCUUCUUGCAAUGGUAAAGGAUUGCCUCCCCUUUUUGUUUAAGUAUGAAGACCUUGGCCUGUUCUAGUUACAAGACUGAAAAGGAAAUUAAUUUUGUAAAUUUGUCCUUUUUCAUCCCCAUUCAAGGUGGAAGCAGAGCGCAACUAUCAUCGGAACGUUCUUCAGAUACUUGAUCAGCUUGAAGGCGAGGUAUGAAAUAUCCUAAAGUCUUCCUUUCAGCAUGACAAUUUCGUAUCCCAAUUCAUUUGGCUCUAUAUUAUUCUAUUGUCUUGCUACUAAAAGCAGAGAUCAUUGACACUAUUUGUUGGGACAGAUUUUGGCAGAAAAGCAGCAAAUUGAAGCAUCGCAUAGUCCACCUACAGAGGACACUAUGCCUCCACUACCAUCGUAUGAGGAUCUCAGCCGUAGCUUUGCUUCUGAAACCUAUGAUGAAUUGACAGAGUUGAGGGACUCUUUCUUUGGAGGGGUAUCUUUAUGCUAAUGUUGUUGUAUCCAAGUUUUAGUCUGUUCGACUCUUUAGUUUCUAAUAACUGUUUCUUUUCACCUACCGCAGGUUAUGUACACCUUCCACGCUGUAACUGAUGUGGAGUUAAGUUUGUCAUUCGGGGAUUACAUUGUGGUCCGGAAGGUUCUGUCGUCUUUCCUGCUUGCAUGCUUUCAUCUUAUAUUCAUGUUCGGAUUUAUUUCUUUCGUAUUGAGGUUAAAUUUUCAUGUUCAGAGACGUCCACUCAGGUAUGUUCGUCAAUGCAUAUGCAUUAGCACACCACCGAGUGCAUUAGAAUAUGGAUUUCAGUUUUGGAUGCUUCAUGCAUUAAUGUAGUUUGUGUGGUUUUGGUUAUUGCUGCCGCUGAGCGUGAGUGGCUUUCUGUAGUUGCUGAGAGUUAUAUUGUGAGCAUAAUUCAUACAGCAGCUUUCAUAUACGGCACAUGUAGUCGGCAGCACUGCAUUUAGAAAGAGAGAGUUAUAUUUUCUUCACUGUUUAUUCAAAACUUAUAUGUUGCAUGUUCUGGCUUUUAAAGUGAGUCGGCAUCAGAGUUUUUAUUUGAGAAAAAUCAGUUUUGUGUCCAUGUGUUUUCAAAGAAAAUAUUUUAGUUUUUAAUCACUGAUUUUUCAUUGUGCUUCAAUUAGAAAUUAAUUAUGAGAAUCUGCCUUGUGAUUUUCGUAAUUGGUUGAUUCAAAAAAUCUUUACAUUUCAUACAUUUUGCAUGAUCUCGUUAGUAUCUUGCAAAGUUCAAUGACACAGUGAUUGACGGUCGCGUUAGUGUCGUGCCACUUUCACUUGAAAGCUGAAGAGAGAUCGAGUAGCAAAGCGCAAUGAAAAAAAUUGCAUACUAGUAUGUGGGCAGUGGCGGAUCCAGGAUUUUAAACUCGGGGGGUCCCAAUAAUAAAUUUCAAAAAAAUUAUAGACAAAAAUAACAUUAAAAAGUUAAAUAUAAUACAUUUCAUUCAAAAUCAUACGCAAAACAACAUUACAAGCUAUAAAAUCACAAAACAACAAAUCGUCGUUUUUUCUUUGCAUGCAAAGUGUAUGGGAACUCAUGCUUUGUAGGCCUACAAGGUCCCAUUUGCAAAUAUGUUCUUUGAACCUCAUCUUGAAUAUUAGAAGAAUAGUCCUUCAUUCGAAUUCUUUUUCUUGGGUCUCUCUCAAGAUUAUUAAAAUCAACGUCACACUCAUUUUGUCUUGAGCUCGAACUACCAGAACAAAUAAAUGGUGCUAUUGGCUUUGGAAGGAAAAAUCUUUCCAUAUUUCUUAUUUGUAAACUACAUAUUUAAGCAAAAACAGAAAACAUAUACCGAUUAACCAAUAAACAAAAAUUCCAUCUAAAUUCCAAUGAUAAAAUGAGUAUACAAACAUAAAACAUAUCAACAAUCAUAUCAAUAAUAGACUAAAAAUCUCCAUCAAUAUCUAAUAUAAUUUAAUUGAGAUUAGAUUAGAAUUCUAAAAAACUUAAUUGAAUUUUGAACCAAAUAGUGGUGGAGUGGAGAAUUAAAACAAGUGGAUGUAUGAUAUUGGACUUACGUAAUUAUAAUAUGGGAUUGGGUCAUGGGUGAGAUUAGAAAUUUAGGGUUUUGAAAUGGGGGGAAAGAGGGAACCAAAUAAUAGGGAAUUGGGGGAAAAGCAGCAGGGAAAGAGAGAACUUUGGGGAAGGGCUCAGGGGGGCUGGGCUUUAAAAUUAAAGCAAUAUUGAGUCAUCAUGCAUGGCAAACGACAACGUUUGUCUACCUUUUUGUUUUUUUAUACUUAAAACAAUGGGCCAAAACACAGCCGUUUUGGACCAAUUGGUAAAAACCCCUAUUUUCUUUCUUCUUCCCGCAGCGUCUUCUUCUUCACUGCUACCUGCAACUGCAACCUGCAACCUGCACAGCAGCUCAAACCUUGUGUUCGAGGGGUCCCCCGGAAAUUUUCUAACAGGGAUUUAGGGUCGCCGAAGGGUCCUAGGACCUCCCAGGUCCCUCUGUAGAUCCGCCACUGUAUGUGGGUCUAGUUAAUGAGUUUUGUAAGUCUUUCUAUACUCAUUUCUCUUAUUAUUUGUCAUGACUUAAGAGUCUGAGGAUUUUCUCAGUGGUGAGUUUUACCUUGUUAAAUCCUACAUCAUAUGUACACAUGUUAUUUGUCUUUUUAUUGCAAAUGUGUAGGAUAAUCUUUCACUUAUUUUCUUAUAGUGAACUCUAUCUUAGACAUUCAUCAACAUAUAGAGUUUACGACAGAGGACUUUUGCUACUAUUAUUCAGUGCAUUGAUUAAUUUGUAAAGCGCUCAUUUAUCCUAAUUAUAAAAUAUAAUGUGUACAAGACAUUAAAAAAAUGGAAGUGUCUUUCAACAGUUUGAAUGUCAUGUAUGGCCAUAUCCUUUAUUUCCACCAUUCUUAUCAACCGAAUGCGGAGAGAUUGUCUUUAUCUCACAAACCCAUAAUGUGGCAAUCGUCCAUUAGAAAGGUAACGUACGUUUUGAAAAUCGUGGCAAAUAUUGAAUGAGUAAUGAUGCCUCUAAAAAUAAAGUAACGAAUAAUCAACAGAAGUAGCAGUACAUCAAGUUGGAUCUUUUUCAAUGUUGAAAUGAAAUAUGAAAGUAGAUCAAGUUGCUAUUAUUCAUCCUUUUUUUUUUUUUAAAUAAACAAUAUUGUUUACAUUAAGAAGAGGAAGAAGUUAGCUAAGUCUUACAAUACGCUAGCAAUAAUAUGGUUAAAAUUCGCAUUUGGUAAUAAUCAAACCUAAGACUUCUCACGUACAAGUGAAGAAAAAUUUCAUUAGACCGUAACAUUAUUCAUCCACUUUUACAUAAUGAAUAAUCAAGAAAAACAUUGCACGGGUCCCCCUUACCACUAGUGGCCAUCACUUCCCUGAGCAAAAGAGAUCUUUCAAAUGGAGGAGGAUUCUUUACCUUCCUAUUUCCAUUCUCUUCCAUUUUCUCAUCUCACACAUUACUUUUUAUCUUAUUAUCUCUAUAAAUAAAUCAAUAUAAAAUGUUGACACACAUUACUUUUUAUCUUAUUAUCUCUAUAAAUAAAUCAAUAUAAAAUGUUGACGUGGUUUAACUGUGACUGUUCCAAUAGAAGGAGAUGGAAAAGUAGAGAUAUUAGGAGGGUAGAGAAUCCUACUUCUUUUCCAAUUGCUUGAUCAAAACAAGCAUUGACUUGGCCGUCCAUUCAUCGAUAACAGGUCCACAUCUCAAUCCAAAUAUAAUGACGUCAAAGGAGAGGGGAAAAUGAGAAGGAAACUUUGGAGGGUAGAGGGAAGGAAAAGGAGAAAGGGAGAAAGGGAGAAAGUAGAAGGGAAAAGUAGAAAGAGAAGAAGGAAAAUGAGAGGAAAUUUCGGAGAAUAGAGAAAAUGAGAAGGAAACUUUGGAGGGUAGAGGGAAGGAAAAGUAGAAAGAGAAGAAGGAAAAUGAGAGGAAAUUACAAGUGCCACAUUAUUAUGCGGUUCUAUCAAGUUUUAAUUUUUGUCUCAUAACCACAUCAUUUUUAGGAAAAUCAAUAUUGGAGUUGAAUAUAUAAACCUUCGAUAUGGUGAUAUUGGAAACAAUAGUUGGUGGGUUGAUUGGUAGAAAUGGUUCCAACAAUUCAAGGACGAGAAAUGAGCAUUGAGCAACGAUCAAAAUAUGUUGUAUUUUAUUACAAAAGAUCUUUGUGCAAUUAAAAAUGCAUUUUAUCACAAAAACAUGAGCAACGAUCAAUAUAAUUGUUAUUUAUAAAAUCACACAUAAAACAAGAAGUAAUCUUUUCUUUUUCUUUUCAUCCCUGCCACUAGCGGCCGACCAUGACUUAAUUAAAGAAACGCUUUUUGGGUUAAUGGAUGGGAACGACCCAUUUUAUAAUUGUUUGUAAAUUUUUCUGGAAGUAGAUGUAAAUGACCCAAUUACAUAUUUCCCCUGCUCACAGACGUUUGCAUUGCACCUAGCAAACACCAGUUUUUUUGUUUAAGCAUCGAUCCACAUCAAUGGCUCUUGUGAGAACAUCUCCAGGAACCUCAUCUGAUUCCAACAAUUUUCGGGGUUAUCGCUACGACGUGUUCUUAAGCUUCAGAGGCGAAGACACUCGCAAGACUUUUACCGACCACCUCUACACAGCCUUGAACAACGCAGGAUUUCUUACGUUCCGAGACGACGAUGAACUUGAGAGAGGAGAAGAUAUAAAGCCAGAACUGCAGAAAGCGAUACAGCAGUCACGAACUUCUGUUGUCGUGUUUUCGAAAGAUUACGCGUCAUCCAGGUGGUGUCUUGAUGAGCUUGUGCUGAUCCUUGAACGCAAGAGGACCACCUCGGACCAUGUAGUUUUACCAGUCUUCUACGAUGUCGAUCCGUCCCACGUGAGGAAGCAGACAGGAAGUGUUGGAAAAGCAUUUGCUAGAAGCCAGAAAAAUCAGUCGUCGGAAAAGGUGGAGGGAUGGAGGAAGGCACUUGCAGAGAUUGCAGACCUAGCAGGCAUGGUCUUAAAAAAUCAAGCUGAUGGGUAACUUUCAUUAUCUCCAUUUCUCUUCUCUUUGUUGGGUCAAUUUGAUGUAUGAUCCGUAGUGACAUAGAUUUUUAUAUAUUUAUUAAUUCAAUCUCAGUAGUGAAUAAUAAUCCCAAUUUAGGUCAACUUAAAGAAAGCACACUCAACUCAACUUAAGGAUUAGUCAUUUUCCAUGUUAAUCUACUGGUUUCCAGGUGCUUAAAUUUUGUUUGAAAGCUGGUGUGGAAAAAAGUUAGGAUGUGAUCUGUUUUGUAUUUGUCUAUAGUUUGUAUAAAUUAUGCGCUGUAUUCUUUUUUUUUUUCAAUUUAAUUUUGUCAGGCAAUCAACAUAUGUUUUAAUUAUCUAAUUUCCCCAAUUCAUUUUUCAUUUUGUUUGCAAAUUCUUAGGUACGAGGCAAAGUUUAUCGAAAAAAUUGUUAAAGUGAUAGAAGACAAGUUAAGUCGUAUGCCAUUGAGUGUUGAACCAAAAUUGAUUGGUAUUCAAUAUCAAGCCGAACGCAUCAAUUUGUGGUUACAAGAUGGAUCAAGUGGUGUUGGUAUAUUUGUUGUGUAUGGCAUGUCUGGAAUCGGGAAGACAACCAUUGCAAAACAUGUUUACAAUUCAAACUUUAGAAGCUUUCAAGGAAGUAGUUUCAUUGAAAAUAUCAAAGAAACAGCAGAUCGACCAAAUGGCUUAGUUCAAAUACAAAUGCAACUUCUUUGUGAUAUUUUGAACGGCAGAGAAGUGAAAAUACACAGUGUUAGUGAGGGAAUAAUUAAGAUUGAAAAGGCCAUAAGCUCUAAAAGAGUUCUACUUGUUCUUGAUGAUGUUGACCAUAUGGACCAAUUAGAUGCAAUCCUAAGGAUGAAAGAUCAGUUUUAUCCUGGAAGUAAGAUACUAAUAACAACUAGGCGUGAAAGGUUGUUAAAGGCUGAUCAAGUUACAGAGGUGCACAGAGUUCAAACUUUGGAUGACAAUGAAUCAUUAAAGCUUUUCAGUUGGCAUGCUUUUGGCCAGGACCAUCCCAUAGAAGAAUACAUGGAGCACUCAAAACAGAUAGUGCAACAUAGUGGCGGACUUCCAUUAGCUCUAAAAGUUUUGGGUUCUUCUUUAUCAGGAGGAAGUAUAGGUGUAUGGGAAAGUGCAUUGGAGAAGCUAAAAGUUAUUCCUGAUGGUGAAAUCAUGAGUAAACUAAGAAUAAGCUAUGAAAGUUUAAAAGAUGACCAUGACCGGAAAUUAUUCCUCCACAUUGCUUGUUUCCUAAUAGGAAGGAACAAAAGCUACAUUGUUAGAAUAUUCGAUGGAUGUGAUUUCUAUACAAUCAUUGGCAUUCAAAAUCUCAUUGAUAGAUGCUUGGUGACACUUGAUGAAUACGGCAAGGUGGAAAUGCAUGACAUGAUUCGUGCUAUGGGAAGAGAAAUUGUUCGCCAAGAAUCAGAAGAGCCUGAGAAACGUAGUAGAUUAUGGCACCAUAAGGAUUCUUUCCAAGUAUUGAGGAAAAAGAAUGUAAGAAACAUGCCUUUUAUGUCUAUAUAUGUAUUUCUUCUUGUGAAAAUUACGCAUAUUAAUGUCUCUUUUUUUUCCUUUAGGGUACAAAAAAAAUCCAAGGUCUUGUCCUGGAUAUGCGUAACCAUCCAGCAAACAGUCCAAUAAACACAAAUGAGAUAGUCUUGGAAACCAAUGCAUUUGCAAGGAUGUGCAAUUUACAACUACUCCAUCUUAGUCAUGUACGACUGGAUGGAUGUUAUGCAGAUUUCCCUACAGGAUUAAGAUGGUUGUGUUGGCUUGAAUUUCCUUUGGAUUCUAUACCAAUUGAUUUUCCUUUGGAGAACGUAAUUGUUCUUGAAAUGCAAUACAGUAGCUUGAGACAAGUAUGCAAAGGAACAAAAGUAUGUUACUCUAUGCAUUUCAAUUCAUUUUCCUUAUUUUGUUAGUUUUUUAUUUGUUGACCAACUCCAUGUGUUAAAAUGAACUACUAUGUUUUCUUUAAUUCGAUGACUAAUUUCUUAUGUUAGAUACUUAUUUCAUUGUUCUUUUUUCUUUUCUUUUUUUCCCUCUGUUUCCACAGUUUCUUCCAUCGUUGAAGAUCCUUGACGUCAGCCAUUCUCAUGGUCUUAGUGAAACCAUUGACUUCUCACGUUCCUCCAAUCUAGAGGAACUAAUUCUUGUAGAUUGCACAAGCCUGGAGAAUGUUCAUGAAUCCAUUGGAAACCUGGAGAGACUCGUGUACUUGAAUAUGAAGGAUUGCAAGAAUCUUAGGAAGCUUCCGAAGAACAUGUGCAAGCUUAAAUCACUUGAAAUACUCAUUUUAUCUGGUUGCUCAAAUCUUGAUGAGGUUCCAGUGGAGAUGAUGAAGAAGAUGGAGUCUCUGAAAGUUCUUGAGACGGAUGGAAUUCCAAUAGGUGAAUUGUGGCCAGAAAGAAGUUCAACUAUCUUGAGUUCUUUUCCGUGCUCUUUGGUAGAGUUAAGUCUGAAGGGGUGCAAUCUUUCUGAUGAUGUCUUUUCUACGGAUUUAAGUGCUCUAUCCUACUUGCGAAGACUACAUUUGGAUGAGAAUCCAAUUUGCAGUCUGCCAGUUUUCAUCAAAGGUUUGAGGAGGAUCGAUGAACUCUCUUUCAAGGGUUGUGAUAGGCUCGAAUCGCUUGUGGGGUUGCCGGAAGUACACCAAAGGCUAAGUAUAAAAGAAUGCAUAUCAUUAAAAAAAAUAACUUUUCAUUCCCCUGGGCAACAUUAUCUAACACGUGUAUUUUGCCAUGACAACCCGAAUCUUGUUGAGUGUGAGUGCUAUUACAAGUUAGAGCCUAUUGAUAGAGUUGAUGUGGAAAUGAUCAAACUUUUGGGCUUGUGCAACUUGGAAUCCAUGCCAGCUGUUCGAAUGCAUCAUCCACUCACAAACUGGGAUCUAAUAGAGGUCCCCGUCCAGGUGCGCCUCUUUUUCUCUCUCUCUCAUAAGUCUUAAAUAUAUAAUGGGAAAGAAAUGACUGAGUAAUGUUGUGAUGACUGUGGCAAAUACAUAGGGACUGUAUCAACAUGGUAUAUUCAGCACCUUUUUUGUUGGGAAUGAGGUUCCAGGCCUGUUCAGCUAUAAAAGUACCAAGUCCUCGAUAUCUUUUAUUGUCCCUUUACUACUUGCUAGUCACAGAAUUCGAGGCUUGAACAUCUUUGCUACCUAUGCAAAGGAAAAUUCAAAUAAUUAUUCUACUAGACCUAAUAUUGGUCCAAUAAUGAUCAAAGUGAGAAACAAGAGUAAGGGUCUGAAGUGGAUCUAUGACCCAUUUUUCUAUGGAAUCCCAAGUGACGGAGAAGAUAUGAUAUGGUUGAGCCAUUGGAAGAUGGAGAAUAAAACAAUAUUACAAUGUGGAGAUGAAGUGGUGGUUUCGGUAAUAACUGGACCACGUGACAUGUUUUGGGUCAAGGAGUUUGGUGUCGAGCUUGUGCAAGAGCACCAAGACAAGAUGAGUACCCAACACAACACCAAAUCUGAUCCUAAUUAUCCAUUUGUUAUUGAUGGAGAUUUGAAGAUGUUUGAGGACAGACCGGGAAAAUACUUCCUUGGCAGUUAUUUUAUAGAAGAAAUUGAUGACAUUGAUAUCCUCACCAUGGACUCUGAUGAAGAAGACACAAGUAUGUUGUGUUGUUGUAUUGCAUUGAAUUAUACUUCAUCCAAACACUUCCAGGUGUGUCCGUAUUCAUUUCAAAAACGUUUCCAAUAAAUUUUAUGUUAUUUGUAUGUUUUUCAGACAAAGAAGGGCAAGAGGAUGAACCUGAUUACACAAUUGCAAAGACGAGGGCUGCUAGCAAUAACUGCAGCCUGAGAGGCUGGAAGGUGCGCCUCACAGCUGUCGGCUUCUUUUUCGCGCUUGCUCUAGUAGGUUGGUCCUCCAUCUCCCAAAAAAAGAAGCGACAAUCGUCCACAAGCCCACCAUGAGUUUGUAAUUUGACUUCAAAUGUGCUUGCUCUAGUAGCUAAGCACUCUUAACCGCUUGAGAUAUAAAAGCCCAUUGCAACUAGAUACUGAACUUCAAAUGUGUUCAACGCCAUCAAAUAUAGCAUAAAAUACAUCCAGCAUUAGGUUCCAAGCCCACUAUUGAAAAUCAUGUUCAUCCACUCUACACAUCCAAGGCAGCAAACUAACUAGGAUACCAGGUUGGGAGGAUACAAUCAUUAACAAUUUCAAAAGCUAUAAAUGCAAUCCGAAUACAUGGCAAGUAGGGGUAAGCAUGUGAACAAAAAAAUCAGUGAACAUAAUCAAAUCCAAUACGUCAAUUUUGGCCUAGAUUGAAAUGAAAAAAACAAGGAAAUGCUUUGUGUAUCGAUUUGUUUAUGAAGGAAAUAAAACAUAUUUCAUGGAAAGAAAACCUGUGGUUACCUUUGUCUUCCUCUGCCAUUUGUCUAUCGAUUUGUUUCUGAAAGUGGCUAUUCUACAAGAUACAACAUGACAGGUCUUAGUUAGACCAAGUAAACGGCAUGGAAAUGCUUUCUGAAGCAAGAAUGUGUACUCAAGAGCUUUGUGCCAGAGAGGUCGUCGUACCCAGUGCACAAGGCUCCCGCUUUACGCAGGGUCUGGGAGAGGUGAAUGUCGGCUAGCCUUACCCCUAUUUAUGGAGAGGACUUAAGAAAAAUGAAAAAAACAAUAUAGAAUAUGGGUAAGAAUAAAUUUCGAUUAGACAAUAAUUCACUGUAUAAAUCGUUUUUUCAACUUUAAAGUGUGGCUUAAAAAGAAGCUUUAAACAAGUAGCAAUAAUUUCAUAUUGAAAAAUAAAACCUAUUUCAUGGAUAUUACAAGAGCCAUUAUUUUGAAAAACACACCUUUUGGUUCUUCACCACUUGACUUUUAAGAAGAUCUUCGUCCUUGUGACGAUUCAAAUUCUUUAAAAUAUCUCUACGACGGAAUAAACAAAACCAAUCUAGGCCAAAAUUGACUUGUUCGAUUUGAUUAUGUUCACUGAUUUUUCUGUUCACAUGUUUACCCCUACUUGCCAUAUAGUUUUGGGGUGUUAGUGCAUAGUGCUCUUCUCUUUACACACCAGUUUCAAUUUUAUUCUUCGUAAAUUAAGAGACCGUUUGAUAAUCAUUUCGUUUUCAAUUUAAAAAAUAUAAAAAACUAAAUGAAGUUUUCAACUAGAAUUUUCGCUUUUGGUUUUCAAUUUUAAUUUUUUUUAAAACAACUGAAAACUAAAAAUAGUUGCAAAAAGAAUUUUUCAUUUUUUUUUAAUUUAUAAAAAAGUAAAAACUGAAAACUCUAAACUAUAGACUAAAAAUUAAAAAGUGAAAUCGAAAUGGGCUCUCAACAAAAUUGAAAAAAGACUGGGCUGAAUUACUGAAUUCAAAGCAGGGCUUAUUAACGUUACGAGGCCCAAUGGAUCUGGAUAAAUAUUUUUCAUUUUUUUUUAACAAACGAUAUUAUUUAUAUAGGCUUAAUUUUACAGUGGGCUAACAAUAAUGUGGUUCAAAUUUGCUUUUCGCAAGAAUAGAACCUAAAACUUCUCACUUAUAAAUGAAGAGGAAUACCACUAAACCGUAGUCCUGAUAGAUUCGUUAUUUUAUUUUAUAUUUUAAGAAAAAAGAAAGAAAGCAAUGAAAAGCUGUACAUAAAAUAAAUACAAAAAGGAAUGAAAUGAAGAAGAGUGGGAGACUAAUGUUUAAUUCAAGAUAAAGAAAGAAAGCUGAUCGCACCACGACGGCGGCGACGUGGCGGUCAUUUAACGGAAAAUAACAGACAAAUCAGCCUCCAGAUCAAAUCUUGAAGCACAACUCUGAAAAAUCGAGACUACCAACAGCUGAGCUCCGACCAACCGUUGAUGGAUGCAAUCAGGAAGCUCAGAGAUCAGGUCGCCAAGCAACAGCAGGUACUCCCUCUCGUUUGAUUCCGAAUUUGUAUUUCUGUAUGGAUUUUGAUAUGAACAUAAUCUGCGUUGAUUGCGAGAUACUGAGAUUGCUUAAUGAAAUAAUAUUUAUAUAAUUGUUCGAGUUGAAUUGGAUCGAUUCGAAUUCAAAUAGAAUGUCACUAUUUCUGAGCUGUUUGGGGAUGUGUUGGAGUGCAAUGUUGAUGAAUUUCUGAAAUUUUGAGCUAGGUGUUGCUAAUUACUUAUCGAUUUUUGAUGUAAUUGGAUGCUUAAUUUUUACAUUUUCGGAAAACUUCAAACGAAAAUGGCAUAUAAUUCAACGUUCUAUGCUUCAUUAAUGCAUAAGAGUUGGUCGAAGCUUGAUCGAGUUUGCUUUUGGUUAUUUUGUGAACACCGUCAGGCUGUGUUCAAACAAUUUUCUGGUGGCAUAUAUGGGGGAUCGGAUAAUGUUGCCUCGGAUGAAAAUGAAUUUCAACAGCAUCAGAAACUCGAGAAGCUGUACAUAUCAACUCGUGCUGCCAAGGUUGCUACGCUUAUUUUUGUCUGUGCUUUAAACGAGCAUCACGUUAGUUGUGUUACCUAUCGUUUUUUUGCUUCAUCUUUAACAGCAUUACCAAAAGGAAAUUGUCCGCGGAGUGGAAGGUUACAUUGUGGCCGGUUCAAAGCACGUUGAAAUAGGUAUGUUGCUUGAAAUGCGUUGUCUUUUCUUUGGAGUUUGGAUAUGAAUUCAUGCUGGUUUUAUCAGUUGGUAUACAUAAUAUUUUUUCAACAGGUACCAAGCUAUCAGAAGAUAGCAGGAAAUAUGGUUCUGAAAAGACUUGCACCAGUGAUAACACAUUGUCGAGAGCUGCACUUAGUUUUGGAUGAGGUGGGGCCCAAAUGGAAAAAGAGUGCGGAGUUCUACUUAAAGCCCUUGGCACACAGGUUUAAGUCAAAUUAUUACUAACAGAGGCUAUUAAGUAAAAAUCAAAUAUUGCCAGGGCCGGCUUCAUACAAAUGGAAUUUCAACUGACUAAUUUUCGUGUGCAUUUGAUCAUUUCGAAAGAAAUUUACAGCAAAAAUUGUUUUCAUUUCCACGUCGUGGUUCAAGAAUUGGACUACUUUUUGUGUUUCUAUGCAUCGUAUGACAAACUGGCUCACCAUUUCUUUCUAUAGGUUUGCAUAAUAACUCUUUGUGUGCUUAUCAAUUUGCCUGUGUAGGUUGCAUAGCCUUUAUAGUGGGAGCGCCCAUGGAGGAUGCUCGACAUCUUGCUCAACGUUAUGCUAGAAUGCGGCAAGAAGCUGAAGCUCAGGUAUAUGCAGUUUCUUCUGUUUCCUACCAAUUUUAUUCUACAGUGAUUUUAUAUCCAAAACAAGCAUUGACUUGGCUGUCCAUCCAUCAAUAGCAGGUCCACAUCUCAACCCAAAUAUAAUGACGUCAAAGGAGAGGGGAAAAUGAGAAGGAAACUCUGGAGGGUAGAGGGAAGGAAAAGGGGAAAAGGAGAAAGGGAGAAGGGAAAAGUAGAACGGGAAGGAGGAAAAUGAGAGGAAAUUUCGGAGAAUAGAGAAAGGGAGAAGGGAAAAGAAGAAAAGCAGAAAAGAAGGGAAAAGGGGAAGGAAGCUUAGGAGGCUAGAGAAAAAGAUGGAAAUGCAUAAAAAUAAAAAAAUAAAAAAGGAAAGUCGCCUUCAUCAUUAUGUCUACUAACGGAAAGGAGCAACCACAUUGUAAAUUAUAUUUUGUAUAAUGAGAAACCAGUAUUCCUACCCUGAGGGUAUAGACACAACUUGCUGAAUCUCGUUACUAUACAGCAAGUUUAUAAUUGCACAAUAAUUCGAUCAAUCAUCUUAAGUUCAACCAUACAUGUAACAAGAUUUAAGUUUUUCCAAACUUUCCUUAUGAAGGUAACUGAACAUUACAAGUGUCACGUUAUUAUGCGAUUCUAUCAAGUUUUAAUUUUUGUCUCAUAACCACAUUACAAGUGCCACGUUAUUUAUUUUAUCCUUUAUUUUAUCUUUAUUAUUAAAACUUAAAAUUUUCAUAUUUUUUUAUUAAUUUUUUUUUAUAAAAUCACACGUAAAACAAGAAGUAAUCUUUUCUUUUUCUUUUCAUCUCUGCCACUAGCGGCCGACCAUGACUUAAAGAAACGCUUUUUGGAUGGGUCAAUGUAUGGGAACGACCCAUUUUAUAUGUUACAUGGUUGUGCAAUUAAAAGUGCAUUUUAUCAUAAAAAUGUGAGCAACGAUCAAUAUAAUUGUUAUUUAUAAAAUCACACAAAACACAAGAAGGAAUCUUUUCUUUUUCUUUUUCAUCUCUGCCACUACCAGCCGACCAUGACUUAAAAGAAACGCUUUUUGGUUCAAUGGAUGGGAACGACCUAUUUUAUAAUAAGAAAAAUUAAUUAAAAAAAUUUAAAAAUUUUAAGUUUUAAUAAUAAAAAGAUGUUGUAAAUAAAUAGUACAUAAUUGAUUUUUUUAGUAAAAGUAUAAUUUUUUAUUAAAAUUUCGUUCAAAUCCCCUUUAUAAUAUUGUUUGUAAAUUUUUCUGGAAGUAGAUGGAAAUGACCCAAUUACAUAUUUCCCCUGCUCACAGACAUUUUCAUUGCACCUAGAAAACCAGUUUUUUGUUAGAAAAUCGAUCCACAUCAAUGGCUCUUGUGAGAACAUCUCCAGGAACCUCCUCUGAUUCCAACACUUUUCGGAGUUAUCGCUACGACGUGUUCUUGAGCUUCAGAGGCGAAGAUACUCGCAAGACUUUUACCGACCACCUCUACACAGCCUUGAACAACGCAGGAUUUCUUACGUUCCGAGACGACGAUGAACUUGAGAGAGGAGAAGAUAUAAAGCCAGGACUGCAGAAAGCGAUCCAGCAGUCACGAACUUCUGUUGUCGUGUUUUCGAAAGAUUACGCUUCAUCCAGUUGGUGUCUUGAUGAGCUUGUGCUGAUCCUUGAACGCAAGAGGACCACCUCGGACCAUGUAGUUUUACCAGUCUUCUACGAUGUCGAUCCGUCCCACGUGAGGAAGCAGACAGGAAGUGUUGGAAAAGCAUUUGCUAGAAGCCAGAAAAAUCAGUCGCCGGAAAAGGUGCAGGGAUGGAGGAAGGCACUUGCAGAGAUUGCAGACCUAGCAGGCAUGGUCUUACAAAAUCAAGCUGAUGGGUAACUUUCAUUAUCUCCAUUUCUCAUCUUUCCUGGGUGAAUUUGAUGUAUGAUCCGUAAUGACCUAGAUUUUUAUAUGUUUAUUAAUUCAAUCUCAGUAGUGAAUAAUAAUCUCAAUUUAGGUCAACUUAAAGAAAUCACACUCAACUCAACUUAAGGAUUAGUCAUUUUCCAUGUUAAUCUACUGGUUUCCAGUUGCUUAAAUUUUUUUGAAAGCUGGUGUGGAAAAAGGUUAGGAUGUGAUCUGUCUAUAGUUCGUGUAAAUUAUGCGCUGUAUUCCUUUUUUUUUUCAAUUUAAUUUUGUCAGCAGUCCUCUUUUUUUUUUCUUAUUUAAAAAGGCAAUCAACAUAUGUUUUAAUUAUCUAAUUUCCCCAAUUCAUUUUUCAUUUUGUUUGCAAAUUCUUAGGUACGAGUCAAAGUUUAUCAAAAAAAUUGUUGAAGUGAUAGGAGACAAGUUAUGUCGUACGUCGUUGAGUGUUGAACCAAAAUUGAUUGGAAUUCAAUCUCAAGCCGAACGCAUCAAUUUGUGGUUACAAGAUGGAUCAAGUCAUGUUGGUAUAUUUGUUGUGUAUGGCAUGUCUGGAAUAGGGAAGACAACCAUUGCAAAACAUGUUUACAAUUCAAACUUUGGAAGCUUUCAAGGAAGUAGUUUCAUUGAAAAUAUCAAAGAAACAGCAGAUCGACCAAAUGGCUUAGUUCAAAUACAAAUGCAACUUCUUUGUGAUAUUUUGAACGGCAGAGAAGUGAAAAUACACAGUGUUAGUGAGGGAAUAAUUAAGAUUGAAAGGGCCAUAAGCACUAGAAGAGUUCUACUUGUUCUUGAUGAUGUUGACCAAAUGGACUAAUUCGAUGCAAUCCUAAGGAUGAAGGAUCAGUUUUAUCCUGGAAGUAAGAUACUAAUAACAACUAGGCGUGAAAGGCUGCUAAAGGCAGAUCAAGUUACAGAGGUGCACAGAGUUCAAACUUUGGAUUACAAUGAAUCAUUAAAGCUUUUCAGUUGGCAUGCUUUUGGCCAGGACCAUCCCAUAGAAGAAUACAUGGAGCACUCAAAACAGCUAGUGCAACAUAGCGACGGACUUCCAUUAGCUCUAAAAGUUUUGGGUUCUUCUUUAUCAGGGGAAAGUAUAGGUGUAUGGGAAAGUGCAUUGGAGAAGCUAAAAGUUAUUCCUGAUGGUGAAAUCAUAAACAAACUAAGAAUAAGCUAUGAAAGUUUAAAAGAUGACCAUGACCGGAAAUUAUUCCUCCACAUUGCUUGUUUCCUAAUAGGAAGGAACAAAACCUACAUUGUUAGAAUAUUCGAUGGAUGUGAUUUCUAUACAAUCAUUGGCAUUCAAAAUCUCAUUGAUAGAUGCUUGGUGACAUUUGAUGAACACGGCAAGGUGAAAAUGCAUGACAUGAUUCGUGCUAUGGGAAGAGAAAUUGUUCGCCAAGAAUCAGAAGAGCUUGAGGAACGUAGUAGAUUAUGGCGCCAUAAGGAUUCUUUCCAAGUAUUGAGGAAAAAGAAUGUAAGAAACAUGCCUUUUAUGUCUAUAUAUGUCUUUCUUCUUGUGAAAAUUAUGCAUAUUAAUGUCUUUUUUUUUUCCUUUAGGGUACAAAAAAAAUCCAAGGUCUUGUCCUGGAUAUGCGUAAUCAUUCUGCAAACAGUCCAAUAAACACAAAUGAGAUAGUCUUGGAAACCAAUGCAUUUGCAAGGAUGUGCAAUUUACAACUACUCCAUCUUAGUCAUGUACGACUGGAUGGAUGUUAUGCAGAUUUCCCUACAGGAUUAAGAUGGUUGUGUUGGCUUGAAUUUCCUUUGGAUUCUAUACCAAUUGAUUUUCCUUUGGAGAACGUAAUUGUUCUGGAAAUGCAAUACAGUAGCUUGAGACAAGUAUGCAAAGGAACAAAAGUAUGUUACUCUAUGCAUUUCAAUUCAUUUUCCUUAUUUUGUUAGUUUUUUAUUUGUUGACUAACUUCGUGUGUUAAAAUGAACUACUAUGUUUUCUUUAAUUCAAUGACUAAUUUCUUAUAUUAGAUACUUAUUUCAUUGUUAUUUUUUCUUCUUUUUUUUCCCUCUGUUUCCACAGUUUCUUCCAUCGUUGAAGAUCCUUGACGUCAGCCAUUCUCAUGGCCUUAGUGAAACCAUUGACUUCUCACUUUUCCCCAAUCUAGAGGAACUGAUUCUUGUAGAUUGCACAAGCCUGAAGAAUGUUCAUGAAUCCAUUGGAAGCUUGGAGAGACUCGUGUACUUGAAUAUAAAGGAUUGCAAGAAUCUUAGGAAGCUUCCGAAGAACAUGUGCAUGCUUAAGGCCCCGUUUGGGAUUGAGGUGAUUUUAAAAAAAGCCACUGUCAAAAAAAGCUGAGGAUCAUUUUUGUGUUUGGUAAACUGAAAAAAAAGGGCUUAUUUUGGAAGCUGCUGUGAGAAUAAGCUGAAAAUCAAAGAAAAAGCUGAAGCUGCUAUUUGCUGCUUUGAAAAAAAGCCAGUUUUUUCAAAGCACACGGAGCUACAGUGCUCCUUUAAUGAAAAGACACACUAUCAUCCUGCUUUUUUUUCCAAAAGCACUUUCACAAAAAAGUUUACCAAACACUCUACUGGCUUUAUUUCACAGCCGCUUAUUCUCACAGCACAGCUGCUUAUUCUUACAGCAGCUUUUUUUCAAAGCACAGCAAUACCAAACCAGCCCUAAAUCACUUGAACACUCAUUUUAUCUGGUUGCUCAAAUCUUGAUGAGUUUCCAAUGGAGAUGAUGAAGAUGGAGUCUCUGAAAGUUCUUGAGACAGAUGGACUUCCAAUAGGUAAAUUGUGGCCAGAAAGAAGUUCAACUAUCUUGAGUUCUUUUCCAUGCUCUUUAGUAGAGUUAAGUCUGAAGGGGUGCAAUCUUUCUGAUGAUGUCCUUCCUACGGAUUUAAGUAAUCUAUCCAAUUUGCAGUCUGCCAGUUUUCAUCAAAGGUUUGAGGAAGAUCGAUGAACUCUCUUUCAAGGGUUGUGAUAGGCUCGAAUCGCUUGUGGGGUUGCCGGAAGUACACCAAUGGCUAAGUAUAGCCGGAUGCAUAUCAUUAAAAAAAAUAACUUUUCAUUCCCCUGAGCAACCGUAUCUAGUACGUGGGGGUGACAACUCGAAUAACUGUAAUUGCUGUUACAAGUUACAGCCUUUUGAUAGAGUUGAUGUGAAAAUGAUCAAACUUAUGGGCUUGUGCAACUUUGAAUCCAUGCCAGCUGUUCAAAUGCGUAAUUCAUACACAUACAGGGAUCCAAAAGAGGUCCCCGUCCAGGUGCGCCUCUCUUUCUCUCUCUCAUAAGUCUUAAAUAUAUAAUGGGAAAGAAAUUACUGAGUAAUGUUGUGAUGACUGUGGCAAAUACAUAGGGACUGUAUCAAUUUGGUGUAUUCAGCACUUUUUUUGUUGGGAAUGAGGUUCCAGGCCGGUUCAGCUAUAAAAGUACGAAGUAUUCGAUAUCUUUUAUUGUCCCUUUACUACUUGCUAGUCACAGAAUUCGAGGCUUGAACAUCUUUGCUACCUAUGCAAAGGAAAAUUCAAAUAAUUAUUCUACUGGACCUAUUAUUGUUCCAAUAAUGAUCAAAGUGAGAAACAAGAGCAAGGGUUUGAAGUGGAUCUAUUGCCCAUUAUCCUAUGGAAUCCCAGGUGACGGAGAAGAUAUGAUAUGGUUGAGCCAUUGGAAGAUGGAGAAUAAUACAAUAUUACAAUGUGGAGAUGAAGUGGUGGUUUCGGUAAUAACCGGACCACGUGACUUGUUUUUGGUAAAGGAGUUUGGUGUCGAGCUUGUGCAAGAGCACCAAGACAAGAUGAGUACCCAACACAACACCAAAUCAGAUCCUAAUUAUCCAUUUGUUAUCGGUGGAGAUUUGAAGACGUGGAAGUGCAAACCAGGAAUAUACUUCCUUAGCUGUAGGAGACGAGAAGAUACUGACGACAUUGAUAUCCUCACCAUGGACUCUGAUGAAGAAGACACAAGUAUGUUGUGUUGUUGUAUAGCAUUGAAUUAUACUCCAUCCAAACACUUCCGGGUGUGUCCGUAUUCAUUUCAAAAACAUUUCCAAUAAAUUUUAUGUUAUUUGUAUGUUUUUCAGACAAAGAAGGGCAAGAGGAUGAACCUGAUUACACAAUUGCAAAGACGAUGGCAGCUAGCAAUAACUGCAGCCUAAGAGGAUGGAAGGUGCGCCUCACAGCUGUCGGCUUCUUUUUCGCGCUUGCUCUAGUUGGUUGGUCCUCCAUCUCGCAAAAAAAGAAGCGACACUCGUCCACAAGCCCACCAUGAGUUUGUAAUUUGACUUGAUAUAGAUAUAUCUUUGCAUUCCUUGCUCUCAAGAUGUUUUCUACCUUCGAAACUUCAAGUUUAGAGCUAAGCACUUUAACCGCUUGAGAUAUAAAAGCCCCUUGCAACUAGAUACCGAAGUUCAAAUGUGUUCAACGCCAUCAAAUAUAGCAUAAAAUACAUCCAGCAUUAGCGAUACUAGCAUAGUAGCAGUAAAUAAGUAAAACCAAAAAAUGCUUCCACACAUGGUAAGGGAAGGACUUUACAUAGGAAUCUUUAGCAAUAACGGGCAAGAUUUUUUUGUUUUUGGGAGGAGGUGGAUUAUUUCGGCACCGGGGAAAACAAAAACAUCCCAUCUUAGUUGUCGUUUACAACAAAAUCAUUCUUAAAGACUCGGCUCCCCAUUGAAAUUGUGUAAAUUGCAUAAAUAUCAAUACAACAGAUAUUAAAUAGAAUAAUAUAUAUCAAAUAAAUUAACGACAAGCAAUUUCUUAGCCUGAGAUCCAAGGACUUUACAGCUGGUUCAGCCUUGCAUUCGCUACUACAUUACAGAAGCUGGUUUCUGCUUCUUCAACCUGAACAAAUUAUUGAGGUCAGGAAGUAUAAGAGGAACGACCAUAGUCUCUGGAGCCAUGAAAUUUACUAUCUUCUUUUGGGCAUUGUACCUGCAAAAGCAUAAUGCAAUAAGCAUUCAACAAUCUGACCUAGUUUUCUCAACAGAUACUCCAAGAUAUUCCAAAACAAAGUCACAGCAAUUUCACAUAGGGAACCGAAGAAUCAUGUUCGUCCACUCUACACAUCCAAAGCAGCAAACUAACAAUUUCACAUAGGAUACCAGGUUGGGAGGAUACAAUCAUUAACAAUUUCAAAAGCUUUAAAUGCAAUCUGAAUACAUGGCAAGUAGGGGUAAACAUGUGAACAGAAAAAAUCAGUGAACAUAAUCAAAUCCAAUACGUCAAUUUUGGCCUAGAUUGAAAUGAAAAAAAAACAAGGAAAUGCUUUGUUGUUUUUGAAGGAAAUAAAACCUAUUUCAUGGAAAUAAAACCUGUGGUUACCUUUGUCUUCCUUUGCCAUUUGUCUAUCGAUUUGUUUCUGAAAGUGGCUAUUCUACAAGAUACAGCAUGACAGGUCCUAGUUAGACCAAGCAACCGGCAUGGAAAUGCUUUCUGAAGCAAGAAUCUGAACUCAAGAGCUUUGUGCCAGAGAGACUUCAGAAAAAUGAAAAAAAACAACAUAGAAUAUGGGUAAGAAUAAACAUCGAUCAAACAAUAAUUCACUGUAUAAAACAUUUUUUCAACUUUAAAGUGUGGCUUAAAAAGAAGCUUUAAACAAGUAGCAAUAAUUUCAUAUUGAAAAAUAAAACCUGGAUAUUACAAGAGCCAUUAUUUUGAAAGACACACCUUUUGGUUCUUCACUACUUGACUUUUAAGAAGAUCUUCGUCCUUGUCACGAUUCAGAUUCUUUAAAAUAUCUCUGCGAUGGAAUAAACAAAACCAAUCUAGGCCAAAAUUGACUUAUUCGAUUUGAUUAUGUUCACUGAUUUUUCUAUUCACAUGUUUACCCCUUACUUGCCAUAUGGUUUUGGGGUGUUAGUGCAUAGUGCUCUUCUCUUUACACACCUGUUUCAUUUGUAUUCGUUGUAAAUUAAGAGACCGUUUGAUAAUCAUUUCGUUUUCAAUUUAAAAAAUAUAAAAAACUAAAUAAAGUUUUCUAAAUUUGACCUAGAAUUUUUCGCUUUUGGUUUUUAAUUUUUUUUUUUAACAACUGAAAACUAAAAAUAGUUACAAAUUUUUUUUUCAGUUUUUAAUUUACAAAAAAGUAAAAACUGAAAACUCUAAACUAUAGACUAAAAAUUAAAAAGUGAAAUCGAAAUGGGCUCUCAACAAAAUUGAAAAAAGACUGGGCUGAAUUACUGAAUUCAAAGCAGGGCUUAUUAACGCUACGAGGCCCAAUGGAUCUGUAUAAAUAUUUUUUGUUUUUUUUUAACAAACGAUAUUAUCUAUAUGGGCUUAACCUUACAAUAGGCUAACAAUAAUGUGGUUCAAAUUUAUUUUUGACGAGAAUCGAACCUAAAACUUCUCGCUUACAAAUGAAGAGGAAUACCACUAAAUCAUAGUCCUGAUAUUUUAUUUAAUAUUUUAAGAAAAAAGAAAGAAAGCAAUGAAAAGCUGUACAUAAACUAAAUACAAAAAGGAAUGAAAUGAAGAAGAGUGGGAGACUAACGUUUAAUUCAAGAUAAAGAAAGAAAGGUAAUCGCACCCCGACGGCGGCGACGUGGCGGUCAUUUAACGGAAAAUAACAGACAAAUCAGCCUCCAGAUCAAGUCUUGAAGCACAACUCUGAAAAAUCGACACUACCUACAGCUGAGCUCCGACCAACCGUUGAUGGAUGCAAUCCGGAAGCUCAGAGAUCAAGUCGCCAAGCAACAGCAGGUACUCUCUCUCUUGUUUGAUUCCGAAUUUGUAUUUCUGUAUGGAUUAUGAUAUGAACAUAAUCUGCGUUGAUUGCGAGAUACUAAGAUUGCUUAAUGAAAUAAUAUUUAUAUAAUUGUUCAAAUUGAAUUGGAUCGAAUUCGAAUAGAUUUUUCACUAUUUCUGAGCUGUUUGGGGCUGUGUUGGAGUGUAUUGUUGCUGAAUUUCUGAAAUUUUGAAUCUAGCAAACACCAGUUCUUUUUGUUUGAACAUCGAUCCACAUCAAUGGCUCUUGUGAGAACAUCUCCAGGAACCUCCUCUGAUUCCAACACUUUUCGGAGUUAUCGCUACGACGUGUUCUUGAGCUUCAGAGGCGAAGAUACUCGCAAGACUUUUACCGACCACCUCUACACAGCCUUGAACAACGCAGGAUUUCUUACGUUCCGAGACGACGAUGAACUUGAGAGAGGGGAAGAUAUAAAGCCAGGACUGCAGAAAGCGAUCCAGCAGUCACGAACUUCUGUUGUCGUGUUUUCGAAAGAUUACGCUUCAUCCAAGUGGUGUCUUGAUGAGCUUGUGCUGAUCCUUGAACGCAAGAGGACCACCUCGGACCAUGUAGUUUUACCAGUCUUCUACGAUGUCGAUCCGUCCCACGUGAGGAAGCAGACAGGAAGUGUUGGAAAAGCAUUUGCUAGAAGCCAGAAAAAUCAGUCGCCGGAAAAGGUGGAGGGAUGGAGGAAGGCACUUGCAGAGAUUGCAGACCUAGCAGGCAUGGUCUUACAAAAUCAAGCUGAUGGGUAACCUUCAUUAUCUCCAUUUCUCUUCUCUUUGUUGGGUCAAUUUGAUGUAUGAUCCGUAGUGACAUAGAUUUUUAUAUAUUUAUUAAUUCAAUCUCAGUAGUGAAUAAUAAUCCCAAUUCAGGUCAACUUAAAGAAAGCACACUCAACUCAACUUAAGGAUUAGUCAUUUUCCAUGUUAAUCUACUGGUUUCCAGUUGCUUAAAUUUUUUUUGAAAGCUGGUGUGGAAAAAAGUUAGGAUGUGAUCUGUUUUGUAUUUGUCUAUAGUUUGUAUAGAUUAUGCGCUGUAUUCCUUUUUUUUUCAAUUUAAUUUUGUCAGGCAAUCAACAUAUGUUUUAAUUAUCUAAUUUCCCCAAUUCAUUUUUCAUUUUGUUUGCAAAUUCUUAGGUACGAGGCAAAGUUUAUCGAAAAAAUUGUUAAAGUGAUAGAAGACAAGUUAAGUCGUAUGCCAUUGAGUGUUGAACCAAAAUUGAUUGGUAUUCAAUAUCAAGCCGAACGCAUCAAUUUGUGGUUACAAGAUGGAUCAAGUGGUGUUGGUAUAUUUGUUGUGUAUGGCAUGUCUGGAAUCGGGAAGACAACCAUUGCAAAACAUGUUUACAAUUCAAACUUUAGAAGCUUUCAAGGAAGUAGUUUCAUUGAAAAUAUCAAAGAAACAGCAGAUCGACCAAAUGGCUUAGUUCAAAUACAAAUGCAACUUCUUUGUGAUAUUUUGAACGGCAGAGAAGUGAAAAUACACAGUGUUAGUGAGGGAAUAAUUAAGAUUGAAAGGGCCAUAAGCUCUAGAAGAGUUCUACUUGUUCUUGAUGAUGUUGACCAUAUGGACCAAUUAGAUGCAAUCCUAAGGAUGAAAGAUCAGUUUUAUCCGGGAAGUAAGAUACUAAUAACAACUAGGCGUGAAAGGUUGCUAAAGGCAGAUCAAGUUACAGAGGUGCACAGAGUUCGGACUUUGUAUUACAAUGAAUCAUUAAAGCUUUUCAGUUGGCAUGCUUUUGGCCAGGACCAUCCCAUAGAAGAAUACAUGGAGCACUCAAAACAGCUUGUGCAACAUAGCGACGGACUUCCAUUAGCUCUAAAAGUUUUGGGUUCUUCUUUAUCAGGGGAAAGUAUAGGUGUAUGGGAAAGUGCAUUGGAGAAGCUAAAAGUUAUUCCUGAUGGUGAAAUCAUGAAUAAACUAAGAAUAAGCUAUGAAAGUUUAAAAGAUGACCAUGAUCGGAAAUUAUUCCUCCACAUUGCUUGUUUCCUAAUAGGAAGGAACAAAAGCUACAUUGUUAGAAUACUCGAUGGAUGUGAUUUCUAUACAAUCAUUGGCAUUCAAACUCUCAUUGAUAGAUGCUUGGUGACACUUGAUGAACACGGCAAGGUGAAAAUGCAUGACAUGAUUCGUGCUAUGGGAAGAGAAAUUGUUCGCCAAGAAUCAGAAGAGCUUGAGGAACGGAGUAGAUUAUGGCGCCAUAAGGAUUCUUUCCAAGUAUUGAGGAAAAAGAAUGUAAGAAACAUGCCUUUUAUGUCUAUAUAUGUAUUCCUUCUUGUGAAAAUUAUGCAUAUUAAUGUCUUUUUUUUUCCUUUAGGGUACAAAAAAAAUCCAAGGUCUUGUCCUGGAUAUGCGUAAUCAUCCUGCAAACAGUCCAAUAAACACAAAUGAGAUAGUCUUGGAAACCAAUGCAUUUGCAAGGAUGUGUAAUUUACAACUACUCCAUCUUAGUCAUGUACGACUGGAUGGAUGUUAUGCAGAUUUCCCUACAGGAUUAAGAUGGGUGUGUUGGCUUGAAUAUCCUUUGGAUUCUAUACCAAUUGAUUUUCCUUUGGAGAACGUAAUUGUUCUUGAAAUGCAAUACAGUAGCUUGAGACAAGUAUGCAAAGGAACAAAAGUAUGUUACUCUAUGCAUUUCAAUUCAUUUUCCUUAUUGUGUUAGUUUCUUAUUUGUUGACUAACUCCAUGUGUUAAAAUGAACUACUAUGUUUUCUUUAAUUCGAUGACUAAUUUCUUAUGUUAGAUACUUAUUUCAUUGUUCUUUUUUCUUUUCUUUUUUUCCCUCUGUUUCCACAGUUUCUUCCAUCGUUGAAGAUCCUUGACGUCAGCCAUUCUCAUGGCCUUAGUGAAACCAUUGACUUCUCACUUUUCCCCAAUCUAGAGGAACUGAUUCUUGUAGAUUGCACAAGCCUGAAGAAUGUUCAUGAAUCCAUUGGAAACCUAGAGCGACUCGUGUACUUGAAUAUGAAGGAUUGCAAGAAUCUUAGGAAGCUUCCGAAGAACAUGUGCAUGCUUAAAUCACUUGAAACGCUCAUUUUAUCUGGUUGCUCAAAUCUUGAUGAGUUUCCCUUGGAGAUGAUGAAGAAGAUGGAGUCUCUGAAAGUUCUUGAGACAGAUGGAAUUCCAAUAAGUGAAUUGUGGCCAGAAAGAAGUUCAACUAUCUUGAGUUCUUUUCCACGCUCUUUAGUAGAGUUAAGUCUGAAGGGAUGCAAUCUUUCUGAUGAUGUCUUUCCUACGGAUUUAAGUAAUUUAUCCUACUUGCGAGGACUACAUUUAGAUGAGAAUCCAAUUUGCAGUCUGCCAGUUUUCAUCAAAGGUUUGAGGAGGAUCGAUAAACUCUCUUUCAAGGGUUGUGAUAGGCUUGAAUCGCUUGUGGGGUUGCCGGAAGUACACCAAAUAAUGAGUAUAGUCAGAUGCAUAUCAUUAAAAAAAUAACUUUUCAUUCCCCUGGGCAACAUCAUCUAUCACGUGUAAUUUACAAUGACAACCGGAAUCUUGUUGAGGCGGAGUGUUUUUACAAGUUAGAGCCUAUUGAUAGAGUUGAUGUGGAAAUGAUCAAACUUUUGGGCUUGUGCAACUUGGAAUCCAUGCCAGCUGUUCGAAUGCAUCAUCCACUCACAAACUGGGAUCUAAUAGACGUCCCCGUCCAGGUGCGCCUCUUUUUCUCUCUCUCUCAUAAGUCUUAAAUAUAUAAUGGGAAAGAAAUGACUGAGUAAUGUUGUGAUGACUGUGGCAAAUACAUAGGGACUGUAUCAACAUGGUAUAUUCAGCACCUUUUUUGUUAGGAAUGAGGUUCCAGGCCUGUUCAGCUAUAAAAGUACCAAGUCCUCGAUAUCUUUUAUUGUCCCUUUACUACUUGCUAGUCACAGAAUUCGAGGCUUAAACAUCUUUGCUACCUAUGCAAAGGAAAAUUCAAAUAAUUAUUCUACUGGACCUAUUAUUGCUCCAAUAAUGAUCAAAGUGAGAAACAAGAGUAAGGGUCUGAAGUUGAUCUAUGACCCUGAGUUCUACGGAAUUCCAGGUGACGGAGAAAAUAUGAUAUGGUUGAGCCAUUGGAUGAUGGAGAAUAAAACAAUAUUACAAUGUGGAGAUGAAGUGGUGGUUUCGGUAAUAACCGGACCACGUGACAUGUUUUGGGUAAAGGAGUUUGGUGUCGACCUUGUGCAAGAGCACCAAGACAAGAUGAGUACCCAACACAACACCAAAUCCGAUCCUAAUUAUCCAUUUGUUAUCGGUGGAGAUUUGAAGAUGUUUGAGCGCAGACCGGGAAUAUACUUCCUUGGCAAUUAUGCAAGAAAAGAUAUUGAUGACAUUGAUAUCCUCACCAUGGCCUCUGAUGAAGAAGACACAAGUAUGUUGUGUUGUUGUAUAGCAUUGAAUUAUACUCCAUCCAAACACUUCCAUGUGUGGUCCGUAUUCAUUUCAAAAAUGUUUCCAAUAAAUGUUAUGUUAUUUGUAUGUUUUUCAGACAAAGAAAGACAAGAGGAUGAACCUGAUUACACAAUUGCAAAGACGAGGGCUGCUAGCAAUAACUGCAGCUUGAGAGGCUGGAAGGUGCGCCUCACAGCUGUCGGCUUCUUUUUUUCGCUUGCUCUAGUAGGUUGGUCCUCCAUCUCCCAAAAAAAGAAGCGACACUCGUCCACAAGCCCACCAUGAGUUUGUAAUUUGACUUGAUAUAGAUAUAUCUUUGCAUUCCUCUCAGGAUGUUUUCUAUCUUCAAAACUUCAAGUUCGCUAAGCACGCUUAACCGCUUGAGAUAUAAAAGCCCCUUGCAACUAGAUACCAAAGUUAAAAUGUGUUCAAAACAUCAAAUAUAGCAUAAAAUACAUCCAGCAUUAGUUAUACUAGCAGAGUAGCAAUAAAUAAGUAAAACAAAAAAAUGCUUCCACACACGGUAAGGGAUGGACUUUGACAUAGGUAUCUUUAGAGCAAUUCCACCCCUAAGGACUUUGCGUCCGCACCUAGCGCAUUUAUCCACUCAAAUGAACAGUAACAGACUCUAAUGAACAGUAAUAGGCCAAGCAUCUCCACCCCUAAAAAAAUGCGCUGGCACCUAGUAAAAAAAUGCGUUGGCACAAACGAUCUUCAUCCCUACAAAAUGCGCUGGCACCCAGCCCAUUUAAAAUAUUUUUAAAUGUUGUCUAAAAGAAUAAAAAAAUAAAAUAGUUUUAAUUUCGGAUAGGAUUUUUAACUAAUCUCGUCACACCACAUGUCAUUAUCUGAACGUACUAUUUUGUGAAUAGAUUUCCGCUAAGAUUUUCUGUAUUUUUUAAUAAUUUUUAAUGAAUUUUAAUAUAGUUAAUUAAUCUGGACCGUUAGAUUUGAAAAAAUAUUCAAAUCCAAGAGACAGGGAGUUGCCACGUGGCCAACAGUCAUAUUUCUGACCGUUGGGCCUUUUUUUUUUUUUUUUACUUUUUUGUAAAAAAAACGUGGACCGUUGAUCUUUGAUCCGACAGUCUAUUUUAAAAGUAAAAUUUAAAUUUUUUUACCGUUGGAAAUCCAACGGUCUAGAAAAGGGAGCCACGUCGCCAACUCGAGGGGGGGGGGGAAACUGAGUGCGCCACGCGGGCCCGCCUUCUGAAAUCUUGUCGGGCACUCGCGCCAGCACCUCCAUGAAGCGCACGCGCAAGGCAAACUGCCCAGCUUCUUGCUCAGUCUCGUUUGGGCUGGGUACCAGUCAAGUUGAAGGGGUGGACUUGGUUGACAGGGUGCUGGCCUUGUUUUUGUGCUGGAUCCUGGGCAAAUUCCACUGGGGUGGAAUUGCUCUUAGCAAUAACGGGCAAGAUUUUUUUUAGGGAGGGGGAAGGGAUUAUUUUGGCAUCGGGGAAAACAAAAACAUCCUAUCUGCUUAUGAAUGACAAAUUUACAAAUCUUAAUUGUCGUUUACAACAAAAUCAUUCUUAAAGACUCGGCUCCCCAUUGAAAUUGUGUAAAUUGCAUAUAUAACAAUACAACAGAUAUUAGAUAGAAUAAUAUAUAUCAAAUAAUUUAACGAUAGGACUUUACAGUUGGUUCAGCCUUGCAUUGCUACUACGCUACAGAAGCUGGUUUCUGCUUCUUCCACCUGAACAAAUUAUUGAGGUCAGGAAGUAUAGGAGGAACGGCCAUAGUCUCUGGAGCCAAGAAAUUUACUAUCUUCUCAUGAACAUUGUACCUGCAAAAGCAUAAUGCAAUAAGCAUUCAACAAUCUGACCUAGUUUGCUCAACAGAUGCUCUAAGAUAUUCCAAAACAAAGUCACAACAAUUUCACAUAGGGAACCGAAGAAUCAUGUUCAUCCACUCAACACAUCCAAAGCAGCAAACUAACUAGGAUACCAGGUUGGGAGGAUACAAUCAUUAACAAUUUCAAAAGCUUUAAACGCAAUCUGAAUAUAUGGCAAGUAGGGGUAAACAUGUGAACAGAAAAGUCAAAGAACAUAAUCAAAUCGAAUAAGUCAAUUUUGGCCUAGAUUGAAAUGAAAAAAAAAACAAGGAAAUGCUUUGUGUAUCGAUUUGUUUAUGAAGGAAAUAAAUGCUUUGUGUAUCCAUUCGUCUAUCAAUUUGUUUCUGAAAGUGGCUAUUCUACAAGAUACAGCAUGACAGGUCUUAGUUGGACCAAGUAACCGGCAUGGAAAUGCUUUCUGAAGCAAGAAUCUGAACUCAAGAGUUUUGUGCCAGAGAGACUUCAGAAAAAUGAAAAAAACAACAUAGAAUAUGGGUAAGAAUAAACAUCGAUUAGACAAUAAUUCACUGUAUAAAUAAUUUUUUCAACUUUAAAGUGUGGCUUAAAAAGAAGCUUUAAACAAGUAGCAAUAAUUUCAUAUUGAAAAAUAAAACCUAUUUCAUGGAUAUUACAAGAGCCAUUAUUUUGAAAAACACACCUUUUGGUUCUUCACUGCUUGACUUUUAAGAAGUUCUUUGUUCUUGUGACAAUUCAGAUUCUUUAAAAUAUCUCUGCAACGGAAUAAACAAAACCAAUCUAGGCAAAAAUUGACUUGUUCGAUUUGAUUAUGUUCACUGAUUUUUCUGUUCACAUGUUUACCCCUACUUGCCAUAUAGUUUUAGUUUUGGGGUGUUAGCGCAUAGUGCUCUUCUCUUUACACACCAGUUUCAAUUUUAUUCUUCGUAAAUUAAGAGACCGUUUGAUAAUCAUUUCGUUUUCAAUUUUAAAAAAUAUAAAAAACUAAAUAAAGUUUUCAAAAUUUGACCUAGAAUUUUCGCUUUUGGUUUUCAAUUUUAAUUUUUUUUUAAACAACUGAAAACUAAAAAUAGUUACAAAAAGAAUUUUUCAGUUUUUAAUUUACAAAAAAGUAAAAACUGAAAACUCUAUACUAUAGACUAAAAAUUAAAAAGUGAAAUCGAAAUGGGCUCUCAACAAAAUUGAAAAAAGACUGGGCUGAAUUACUGAAUUCAAAGCAGGGCUUAUUAACGUUACGAGGCCCAAUGGAUAUGUAUAAAUAUUUUUCGUUUUUUGUUUAACAAACGAUAUUAUUUAUAUGGGCUUAAUGUUACAGUGAGCUAACAAUAAUGUGGUUCAAAUUUGCUUUUCGUAAGAAUCGAAUCUAAAACUUCUCACUUAGAGAAAUACCUCUAAACCGUAAUCUGAGUGGCUCGUUAUUUUAUUUUAUAUUUUAAGAAAAAAGAAAGAAAGCAAUGAAAAGCUGUACAUAAAAUAAAUACAAAAAGCUAAGAAAUGAAGAAGAGUGGGAGACUAACGUUUAAUUCAAGAUAAAGAAAGAAAGGUAAUCGCAAGACGACGGCGGCGACGUGGCGGUCAUUAAACGGAAAAUAACAGACAAAUCAGCCUCCAGAUCAAGUCUUGAAGCACAACUCUGAAAAAUCGAGACUACCUACAGCUGAGCUCCGACCAACCGUUGAUGGAUGCAAUCCGGAAGCUCAGAGAUCAGGUCGCCAAGCAACAGCAGGUACUCCCUCUCGUUUGAUUCCGAAUUUGUAUUUCUGUAUGGAUUUUGAUAUGAACAUAAUCUGCGUUGAUUGCGAGAUACUGAGAUUGCUUAAUGAAAUAAUAUUUAUAUAAUUGUUCGAGUUGAAUUGGAUCGAUUCGAAUUCAAAUAGAAUUUCACUAUUUCUGAGCUGUUUGGGGAUGUGUUGGAGUGCAAUGUUGAUGAAUUUCUGAAAUUUUGAGCUAGGUGUUGCUAAUUACUUAUCAAUUUUUGAUGUAAUUGGAUGCUUAAUUUUUACAUUUUCGGAAAACUUCAAGCGAAAAUGGCAUAUAAUUCAACGUUCCAUGCUUCAUUAAUGCAUAUGAGUUAGUCGAAGCUUCAUCGAGUUUGCUUUUGAUUAUUUUGUGAACACCGUCAGGCCGUGUUCAAACAAUUUUCUGGUGGCAUAUAUGGGGGAUCGGAUAAUGUUGCCUCGGAUGAAAAUGAAUUUCAACAGCAUCAGAAACUCGAGAAGCUGUACAUAUCAACUCGUGCUGCCAAGGUUGCUACGCUUAUUUUUGUCUGUGCUUUAAACGAGCAUCACGUUAGUUGUGUUACCUAUCGUUUUUUGCUUCUUCUUUAACAGCAUUACCAAAAGGAAAUUGUCCGCGGAGUGGAAGGUUACAUUGUGGCCGGUUCAAAGCACGUUGAAAUAGGUAUGUUGCUUGAAAUGCGUUGUCUUUUCUUGGGAGUUUGGAUAUGAAUUCGUGUUGGUUUUAUCAGCUGGUAUACAUAAUACUUUUUCAACAGGUACGAAGCUAUCAGAAGAUAGCAGGAAAUAUGGUUCUGAAAAGACUUGCACCAGUGGUAACACAUUGUCGAGAGCUGCACUGAGUUUUGGAAGAGCUCGGGCCCAAAUGGAAAAAGAGUGCGGAGUUCUACUUAAAGCCCUUGGCACACAGGUUUAAGUCAAAUUAUUACUAACAAUGGCUCAUUAAGUAAAAAUCAAAUAUUGCCAGGGCCAGUUUCAUACAAAUGGAAUUUCAACUGACUAAUUUUCGUGUGCAUUUGAUCAUUUCGAAAGAAAUUUACAGCAAAAAUUGUUUUCAUUUCCACGUCGUGGUUCAAGAAUUGGACUACUUUUUGUGUUUCUAUGCAUCGUAUGACAAACUGGCUCACCAUUUCUUUCUAUAGGUUUGCAUAAUAACUCUUUGUGUGCUUAUCAAUUUGCCUGUGUAGGUUGCAUAGCCUUUAUAGUGGGAGCGCCCAUGGAGGAUGCUCGACAUCUUGCUCAACGUUAUGCUAGAAUGCGGCAAGAAGCUGAAGCUCAGGUAUAUGCAGUUUCUUCUGUUUCCUACCAAUUUUAUUCUACAGUGAUUUUAUAUCCAAAACAAGCAUUGACUUGGCUGUCCAUCCAUCAAUAGCAGGUCCACAUCUCAACCCAAAUAUAAUGACGUCAAAGGAGAGGGGAAAAUGAGAAGGAAACUCUGGAGGGUAGAGGGAAGGAAAAGGAGAAAAGGAGAAAGGGAGAAGGGAAAAGUAGAACGGGAAGGAGGAAAAUGAGAGGAAAUUUCGGAGAAUAGAGAAAAGGAGAAGGGAAAAGAAGAAAAGCAGAAAAGAAGGGAAAAGGGGAAGGAAGCUUAGGAGGCUAGAGAAAAAGAGGGAAAUGCAUAAAAAUAAAAAAAUAAAAAAGGAAAGUCGCCUUCAUCAUUAUGUCUACUAACGGAAAGGAGCAACCACAUUGUAAAUUAUACUAAAAAUAUGACUUUAACCCCUCAAACUCAAUUUCUUUCAUAUAAAACCCGACAUAACAUUUUUACUCGAAUAAAACCCAAUGACUAGACUUCACAUAAGCAAAUUCAUUAAUUAUGACAUUUUAAAAAUUUCUAAUGCCUAAAAUACCCCUGUUUGCAUGUUUAAUGUGCACAAUUAAACAUAUGCAGAUUUUAAGGAGGAUUAAUGAUUUUACAAAAAUAAAAUAAUAAAAAAGGCACAAAUAUUCUAAAUGCAUUGCAUGUUAUAUGAAUUUGGUUGAUUCAUGUUUCUCUCACUUCAUAAAAUUUGCUUCUAAUUUGAUAUAGGAAUUAAUUUGGAAAGUUUUCUUAAUCUUAAUAACAAUUUUCAAUUUAAAUAUAUUUUUUAAUGAAAUAGUCUAUCUUUUAAAAUAAUUAUCAAUAAAAUAAUGAAAUAGUCUAUCUUUUCAAUUUAAAUAAUGUACCUGUUAUUUAAUUUUUACAACACUAAUGUAUCUUAAAAAAUAAUUUACUUAUUGUUUAGUUUUAGCAAAAAUAAUUUACCUACUGUGUAUAAUUGGUGAAGCUAAUGAUGUACAUAUUGUUUAAUUUUUUAAAAAUUAAUGUAUGUACAAAAAUAAUUUAUCUAUUGUUCAAAUUUUAGGAUAAAAAUUUACAUGUUUUUAUUUAACAAUAAUGUAUCUACAAUUUAUUUUUGUAUGAAUAUAAUUUACCUACUUUUUAAUUUUAUAUGAAACUAAUUUACCUACUGUGUCAGUAAUGUAUCUACAAUUUUACAUACAAUAUUUACCUUCUUUUUUUUUUUCACAACAAUAGUGUAUCUACAAUUUUGUUUUUGUAUGAAUAUAGUUUACCUACAAUUUAACUUUUCAAAAAAUGUAUCUUCUAUUUUAUAGUUUACUAUCAUAUAUAUGUUUAUGUGUUCGCAAAAUAAUUUAUCUAAAGUUAUAUAGUUAAGAGAUAUGCUAAUGAAUUAUAUUAAUUCAUUAUUAGACUGAUAUAAGAAAUUGUUAAAAACGUUAGCCAUAAUGGUUGGCUAAUAAUGGUUGUAUGAGAACAGUUAUAGAAAGUUGUGGCAUAAAUUGUAAAUAACUUAUAUUAAUAGGUUACUUAUUUUCUUAUUUGGUAAUUUAUUUAAAUUUUGGGUUUUGAUUGAAUGUUUAUUCAUAGGUGGGUUUUUAUCUGAAGUAUAUGAGUUGUAUGGGUCUAUAUCUAAACAACCCUAAAUUAUAUUUUGUAUAAUGAGAAACCAGUAUUCCUACCCCGAGGGUAUAGACACAACUUACUAAAUCUCGUUACUAUACAGCAAGCUUAUAAUUGCGCAAUAAUUCGAUCAACCAUCUUAAGUUCAACCAUUCAUGUAACAAGAUUCAAGUUUUCUAAACUUUCCUUAUUAAGGUAACUGAACAUUACAAGUGCCACGUUAUUAUGCGGUUCUAUCAAGUUUUAAUUUUUGUCUCAUAACCACAUCAUCUUUAGGACAAUCAUCUUGUAGUUGAAUAUAUAAACCUUCGAUAUGGCGAUAUUGGAAACGCUUGUUGGUGGGUUGAUUGGUAGAAAUGGUUCCAACAAUUCAAGGAUGAGAAAUGAGCAUUGAGCAACGAACAAAAUAUAUUGUAUUUUAUCACAAAAGAUGUUUGUGCAAUUAAAAGUGCAUUUUAUCACAAAGAGGUGAGCAACGAUCAAUAUAAUUGUUAUUUAUAAAAGGGAACAUUAACAAAAGUUUCCGGUACUGUUUAUUUUAAUAAAAAAUUACAUUUUUACAUUAAAAGUCAAUACUGAUACUAUUUAUUUUACCCUUUAUUUUAUCUUUAUUAUUAAAACUCAAAAUUUUUAAAUUUCUUUUAUUAAUUUUUUUUUUAUAAAAUCACACGUAAAACAAGAAGUAAUCUUUUCUUUUUCUUUUCGUCUCUGCCACAAGCGGCCGACCAUGACUUAAACAAACGCUUUUUGGGUGGGUCAAGGUAUGGGAACGACCCAUUUUAUAUGUUACAUGGUUGUGCAAUUAAAAGUGCAUUGUAUCAUAAAAAGGUGAGCAACGAUCACUAUAAUUGUUAUUUAUAAAAUCACACAAAACACAAGAAGGAAUCUUUUCUUUUUCUUUUUCAUCUCUGCCACUACCAGCCAUGACUUAAAAGAAACGUUUUUUGGUUCAAUGGAUGGGAACGGCCCAUUUUAUAAUAAGGAAAAUUAAUAAAAAAAAAUUUUAAAUUUAAAUUUUAACGAAAAUAAUAAAAAGAUGUUGUAAGUGAAUAAUACAUGAUUGAUUUUUUUGAAUAAAAAAAUAUAUAUUGUUUUAAAUAAACAGUAUUAGGAGUGUUUGGUUCAAAUCCCUUUAUAAUAUUGUUCGUAAAUUUUUCUGGAAGUAGAUGGAAAUGACCCAAUUACAUAUUUCCCCUGCUCACAGACAUUUUCAUUGCACCUAGAAAACCAGUUUUUUGUUAGAAAAUCGAUCCACAUCAAUGGCUCUUGUGAGAACAUCUCCAGGAACCUCCUCUGAUUCCAACACUUUUCGGAGUUAUCGCUACAACGUGUUCUUGAGCUUCAGAGGCGAAGAUACUCGCAAGACUUUUACCGACCACCUCUACACAGCCUUGAACAACGCAGGAUUUCUUACGUUCCGAGACGACGAUGAACUUGAGAGAGGAGAAGAUAUAAAGCCAGGACUGCAGAAAGCGAUCCAGCAGUCACGAACUUCUGUUGUCGUGUUUUCGAAAGAUUACGCUUCAUCCAGGUGGUGUCUUGAUGAGCUUGUGCUGAUCCUUGAACGCAAGAGGACCACCUCGGACCAUGUAGUUUUACCAGUCUUCUACGAUGUCGAUCCGUCCCACGUGAGGAAGCAGACAGGAAGUGUUGGAAAAGCAUUUGCUAGAAGCCAGAAAAAUCAGUCGUCGGAAAAGGUGGAGGGAUGGAGGAAGGCACUUGCAGAGAUUGCAGACCUAGCAGGCAUGGUCUUACAAAAUCAAGCUGAUGGGUAACUUUCAUUAUCUCCAUUUCUCUUCUCUUUCUUGGGUCAAUUUGAUGUAUGAUCCGUGGUGACCUAGAUUUUUAUAUGUUUAUUAAUUCAAUCUCAGUAGUGAAUAAUAAUCUCAAUUUAGGUCAACUUAAAGAAAUCACACUCAACUCAACUUAAGGAUUAGUCAUUUUCCAUGUUAAUCUACUGGUUUCCAGUUGCUUAAAUUUUUUUGAAAGCUGGUGUGGAAAAAAGUUAGGAUGUGAUCUGUCAUGUAUUUGUCUAUAGUUUGUAUAAAUUAUGCGCUGUAUUCCUUUCUUUUUUUUUCAAUUUAAUUUUGUCAGCAGUCCCUUUUUUUUUUUUUUUUUCUUAUUUAAAUAAAGGCAAUCAACAUAUGUUUGAAGGGAACUUUAACGAAAAGCUCCCAGUACUGUUCACUUUAACGAAAAACCACAUUUUUUCACUAAAAAGUAAAUCCUGAUACUAUUUACUUUAUCCUUUAUUUUGUAAUUAUAUAUUUUCCCAAUUCAUUUUUCGUUUUGUUUGCAAAUUCUUAGGUACGAGUCAAAGUUUAUCAAAAAAAUUGUUAAAGUGAUAGGAGACAAGUUAAGUCGCACGCCAUUGAGUGUUGAACCAAAAUUGAUUGGAAUUCAAUCUCAAGCCGAACGCAUCAAUUUGUGGUUCCAAGAUGGAUCAAGUGAUGUUGGUAUAUUUGUUGUGUAUGGCAUGUCUGGAAUAGGGAAGAAAACCAUUGCAAAACAUGUUUACAAUUCAAACUUUGGAAGCUUUCAAGGAAGUAGUUUCAUUGAAAAUAUCAAAAAAACAGCAGAUCGACCAAAUGGCUUAGUUCAAAUACAAAUGCAACUUCUUUGUGAUAUUUUGAACGGCAGAGAAGUGAAAAUACACAGUGUUAGUGAGGGAAUAAUUAAGAUUGAAAGGGCCAUAAGCUCUAAAAGAGUUCUACUUGUUCUUGAUGAUGUUGACCAUAUGGACCAAUUAGAUGCAAUCCUAAGGAUGAAAGAUCAGUUUUAUCCUGGAAGUAAGAUACUAAUAACAACUAGGUGUGAAAGGUUGUUAAAGGCUGAUCAAGUUACAGAGGUGCACAGAGUUCAAACUUUGGAUGACAAUGAAUCAUUAAAGCUUUUCAGUUGGCAUGCUUUUGGCCAGGACCAUCCCAUAGAAGAAUACAUGGAGCACUCAAAACAGCUAGUGCAACAUAGCGGCGGACUUUCAUUAGCUCUAAAAGUUUUGGGUUCUUCUUUAUCAGGAGGAAGUAUAGGUGUAUGGGAAAGUGCAUUGGAGAAGCUAAAAGUUAUUCCUGAUGGUGAAAUCAUGACUAAACUAAGAAUAAGCUAUGAAAGUUUAAGUAAUCUAUCAUACUUGCGAAGACUACAUUUAGAUGAGAAUCCAAUUUGCAGUCUGCCAGUUUUCAUCAAAGGUUUGAGGAGGAUCGAUGAACUCUCUUUCUGGGGUUGUGAGAGGCUCGAAUCGCUUGUGGGGUUGCCGGAAGUGCACCAAAAGAUAAAUAUAGUCAGAUGCAUAUCAUUAAAAAAAAUAACUUAUCAUUCCCCUCCGCGACCGGUUACAAUACAUUUGCGUGACAACUGGAAUCUUGUUGAGUGGGAGCACUAUUACAAGUUAGAGCCUAUUGAUAGAGUUGAUGUGGAAAUGAUCAAACUUUUGGGCUUGUGCAACUUGGAAUCCAUGCCAGCUGUUCGAAUGCGUUAUCCUUCCUACACAAACGGGGUUCCAAAAGAGGUCCCCGUCCAGGUGCGCCUCUUUUUCUCUCUCUCUCGUAAGUCUUAAAUAUAUAAUGGGAAAGAAAUGACUGAGUAAUGUUGUGAUGACUGUGGCAAAUACAUAGGGACUGUAUCAACAUGGUAUAUUCAGCACAUUUUUUGUUGGGAAUGAGGUUCUAGACCUGUUCAGCUAUAAAAGUACCAAGUCUUCGAUAUCUUUUAUUGUCCCUAUACUACUUGCUAGUCACAGAAUUCGAGGCUUGAACAUCUUUGCUACCUAUGCAAAGGAAAAUUCAAAUAAUUAUUCUAGUGGACCUAAUAUUGGUCCAAUAAUGAUCAAAGUGAGAAACAAGAGUAAGGGUUUGAAGUGGAUCUAUUCCCCAGAGUUCUAUGGAAUUCCAGGGGACGGAGAGGAAAUGAUAUGGUUGAGCCAUUGGAAGAUGGAGAAUAAAACAAUAUUACAAUGUGGAGAUGAAGUGGUGGUUUCGGUAAUAACCGGACCACGUGACUUGUUUUCGGUAAAGGAGUUUGGUGUCGAGCUUGUGCAAGAGCACCAAGACAAGAUGGGUACCCAACACAACACCAAAUCCGAUCCUAAUUAUCCAUUUGUUAUCGGUGGAGAUUUGAAGACGUUUGACUGCAAACCGGGAAUAUACUUCCUUGGCAAUUAUGAAAGAAAAGAUAUUGAUGACAUUGAUAUCCUCACCAUGGACUCUGAUGAAGAAGACACAAGUAUGUUGUGUUGUUGUAUUGCAUUGAAUUAUACUCCAUCCAAACACUUACAGGUGCGUCCGUAUUCAUUUCAAAAAUGUUACCAAUAAAUUUUAUGUUAUUUGUAUGUUUUUCAGACAAAGAAGGACAAGAGGAUGAACCUGAUUACACAUGUGCAAAGACGAGGGCUGCUAGCAAUAACUACUGCCUGAGAGGCUGGAAGGUGCUCCUCACAUUUGUCGGCUUCUUUUUUGCGCUUGCUCUAGUAGGUUGGUCCUCCAUCUCCCAAAAAAGGAAUCGACACUAGUCCACAAGCCCACCAUGAGUUUGUAAUUUGACUUGAUAUAGAUAUAUCUUUUCAUUCCUUGCUCUCAAGAUGUUUUCUACCUUCAAAACUUCAGCUUCAAAGCUAAGCACUCUUAACUGCUUGAGAUAUUAAAGCCCCUUGCAACUAGAUACCGAAGUUCAAAUGUGUUCAACGCCAUCAAAUAUAGCAUAAAAUACAUCCAGCAUUAGCUAUACUAGCAGAGUAGCGGUAAAUAAGUAAAACAAGAUUUAUUUUGGAGGGGGGGGGGGGGGGGGCGGGGAUUAUUUCGGCACCGGGGAAAGCAAAAACAUCCAAUCUGCUUAUAAAUGACAAAGUUACAAAUCUUAAUUGUCGUUUACAACAAAAUCAUUCUUAAAGACUCGGCUCCCCAUUGAAAUUGUGUAAAUUGCAUAAAUAUCAAUACAACAGAUAUUAGAUAGAAUAAUAUAUAUCAAAUAAAUUAACGACAGGCAAUUUCAAAAGCUUUAAAUGCAAUCUGAAUACAUGGCAAGUAGGGGUAAACAUGUGAACAGAAAAAUCAUUAACAAUUUCAAAAGCUUUAAAAACCGAAAACUCUAAACUAUAGACUAAAUAUUAAAAAGUGAAAUUGAAAUGGGCUCUCAACAAAAUUGAAAAAAGACCGGGAUGAAUUGGUGAAUUCAAAGCAGGCCUUGUUAAUGCUACGAGGCCCAAUGGGAUCCGCAUAAAUAUUUUUCGUUAUUAUUAUUUUAUUUUUAACAAACGAUAUUAUUUACGUGAGUUUAGUGUCAUAAUGGAUUAUCAAUAAUAUGGUUCAAAUUCGUUUUUGGCAAAAAUUGAACCUAUUCUACUUACAAAUGAAGAAGAAUACCAUUAGACUUUAGUACUAAGUGGUUUGUUAUUUUAUUUAUAUUUUAUGGAAAAUGAAAGAAAGCAAUGAACAGCUGUACGUAAACUAAAUACAUCAAGGAAUGAAAUGAAGAGGAGUGGGAGACUAACGUUAGAAAGGUAAACGCACCACGACGGCGGCGACAUGGCGGUCAUUUAACGGAAAAUAACAGACAAAUCAGCCUCCAGAUCAAGUGUUGAAGCAAAACUCUGAAAGAUCGAGACUACCUACAGCUGAGCUCCAACCGACCAACCGUUGAUGGAGGCAAUCAGGAAGCUCAGAGAUCAGGUCGCCAAGCAACAGCAGGUACUCUCUCUUGUUUGAUUCCGAAUUUGUAUUUAUGGAUUUUGAUAUGAACAUAAUCUGCGUUGAUUGCGAGAUACUGAGAUUGCUUAAUGAAAUAAUAUUUAUAUAAUUGUUCGAAUUGAAUUGGAUCGAUUCGAGUAGAAUUUCACUAUUUCUGAGCUGUUUGGGGCUGUGUUGGAGUGCAAUGUUGCUGAAUUUCUGAAAUUUUGUGCUAGGCGUUGCUAAUUGCUUAUCGAUUUUCGGAUUUAAUUGGAUGCUUAAUUUUUACAUUUUCGAAAAACUUCAAGCGAAAAUGGCAUAUAAUUCAACGUUCUAUGCUUUGUUAAUGCAUAAGAGUUAGUCGAAGUUUUAUCGAGUUUGCUUUUGAUUAUUUUGUGAACACCGUCAGGCUGUGUUCAAACAAUUUUCUGGUGGCAUAUACGGGGGAUCGGAUAAUGUUGCCUCGGAUGAAAAUGAAUUUCAACAGCAUCAGAAACUCGAGAAGCUGUACAUAUCAACUCGUGCUGCCAAGGUUGCUACGCUUAUUUUUGUCUGUGCUUUAAACGAGCAUCACGUUAGUUGUGUUACCUAUCGUUUUUUGCUUCUUUUUUAACAGCAUUACCAAAAGGAAAUUGUCCGCGGAGUGGAAGGUUACAUUGUGGCCAGUUCAAAGCACGGUGAAAUAGGUAUGUUGCUUGAAAUGCAUUGUCUUUUCUUGGGAGUUUGGAUAAAUUCAUGUUGGUUUUAUCAGUUGGUAUACAUAAUACUUUUUCAACAGGUACCAAGCUAUCAGAAGAUCGCAGGAAAUAUGGUUCUGAAAAGACUUGCAGCAGUGGUAACACAUUGUCGAGAGCUGCACUGAGUUUUGGAAGAGCUCGCGCCCAACUGGAAAAAGAGUGCGGAGUUCUUCUUAAAGCCCUUGGCACACAGAUUCAAGUCAAAUUAUUACUAACAAUGGCUCAUUAAGUAAAAAUCAAAUAUUGCCAGUGCCGGUUUCAUACAAAUGGAAUUUCAACUGACUAAUUUUCAUGUGCAUUUGAUAAUUUCGAAAGAAAUUUACAGUAAAAAUUGUUUCCAUUUUCACGUGUGGUUCAAGAACUGGACUACUUUUUGUGUUAUUAUGCAUCAUAUAACAAACCGGUUCACCAUUUCUAUCUAUAGGUUUGCAUAAUAACUCUUUCUGUGCUUAUCAAUUUGCCUCUGUAGGUUGCAGAGCCUUUAAAAGCAAUGAUAGUGAGAGCGCCCUUGGAGGAUGCUCGACAUCUAGCUCAACGAUAUGCUAGAAUGCGGCGAGAAGCUGAAGCUCAGGUAUAUGCAGUUUCUUCUGUUUCCUACCAAUUUUAUACUACAGUGAUUUUAUAUGUUACAUGGUGAUCGUACAUUUUCUCGGUUAACUUUUUUUGUUUUCUUUUAUAAGUGUUUGUUCAUUUUGAGACAAUCAUGCAUUGGUAUUCAUAGAGAACGCAAAAUCUUAAGAUAUUUAAUGUAAACUUGUUGAGAUUGCUUCAUUACUUGAAGCUUUGUUGUAAUUUGGUUUUUGGUUUUUUUAUUACUCCUUCAGAUUUGUCUAUAUAUACUAACUUGCACCGGGAUAGGCUAUAGAUGCUUCCAGACACUAGACCAAAGCACCGGAUUCUGCAGGUAAUGCUGAUAUUAUCAUGAAACUAGAAGCUGCUGAAGCCGAGCUUCAGGAGCUGCAGUCUAGCGUUGCAAUAUUGGGAAAAGAAGCUAGUGCAGCUAUGGCUGCUGUUGAAGGUCAACAACAAAGAUUGACUCUUCAGCGGCUUCUUGCGAUGGUAACGGAUUGCCUUCCCCUUUUUAUUUAAGUAUUAAGACCUUGGCCUGUUCUAGUUACAAGAAUAAAAAGGUCGUACCCAGUGCACAAGGCUCCCGCUUUACGCAGGGUCUGGGAGAGAUGAAUGUCGGCUAGCCUUACCCCCAUUUAUGAAGAGGCUACUCCCAAGGUUCUAGUUACAAGAAUGAAAAGGAAAUUAAUUUUGUAAAUUUAUCAUUUUUCGUCCCCAUUCCAGGUUGAAGCAGAGCGCAACUACCAUCCAAACAUUCUUCAGAUACUUGAUCAGCUUGAAGGCGAGGUGUGAAAUAUCCUAAAGUCUUCCUUUCAGCGUGACAAUUUCUUUUCCCAAUUCAUUUGGCUGUAUAUUAUUCUAGUGUCUUGCUACUAAAAGAAGAGAUCAUUGACACUAUUUGUUGGGACAGAUUUUGUCAGAAAAGCAGCGAAUUGAAGCAUCGCAUAGUCCGCCUACAGAGGACGCUAUGCCUCCACCACCAUCGUAUAAGGAUCUCAGCCGUAGCUUUGCUUCUGAAACCUAUGAUGAAUUGACAGAGUUGAGGGACUCUUUCUUAGGAGAGGUAUCUUUAUGCUAAUGUUGUUGUAUCCAAGUUUUAGUCUGUUCGACUCUUUAGUUUCUAGUAACUGUUUCUUUUCGCCUACCGCAGGUAAUGUACACCUUCCACACUGUAACUGAUGUGGAGUUAAGUUUGUCAUUCGGGGAUUACGUUGUCGUCCGGAAGGUUCUGUCAUCUUUCCUGCUUGCAUGCUUUCAUCUUAUAUUCAUGUUCGGAUUUAUUUCUUUCGUAUUGAGGUUAAAUUUUCAUGUUCAGAGACGUUCACUCAGGUAUGUUCGUCAAUGCAUAUGCAUUAGCACACCACCGAGUGUAUUAGAAUAUGGAUUUCAGUUUUGGGUGCUGCAUGCAUUAAUGUAGUUUGUGUGGUUUUGGUUAUUGCUGCCGCUGAGCGUGAGUGGCUUUCUGUAGUUGCUGAGAGUUAUAUUGUGAGCAUAAUUCAUACAGCAGCUUUCAUAUACGGCACAUGUAGUCGGCACUGCAUUUAGAAAGAGAAAGUUAUAUUUUCUUCACUGUCUAUUCAAAACUGUUGAUUGAUAAUAAUUGACUCAAGUGAAUGCCACAUCAUCUGCCACAUCAUCUGCCAUGUCAUUCAUAUUUCUGUUUUGAAACCUGUUGUUCCCUUGAUAGCCUUGAAUAUCACCAAUUCGGGAUCCUGCAUUUGAACUCUCUCCUUGUGAAUACCCGGAAUUCUGAUGACCACCUGUGACCUUAUCUCCUUGAACAUACAUUGCAGCCAUGCCACUUGCCAGCGUAGAGACCCUUGCUUCCAUAGCAGAUUCAACACCAAUCAACUGCGCUCUGAAAUCUUUCAGCGGAAUAGAAGUCUCCCUUGCUAAAACUACAGCCUUGACAAUAUCAAACUCCGGUGGUAAUCCAGAUAAAGCAGUAAUAACAAAAUCAUUAUCAGUAAUCCUCUCCCCUGCAGACACAAGCUGAUCCCGAAUGGCUUUCAACCGAAGCAAAUACUUGUCAAUAGAAUCACUGCCUUUUUGAAUUGUAUGAAACUCAAUUUUGAGUUGAUUAAUCCUAGCCCUGGACACAGACGCAUAGCGGUCUUGUAAAUUUAUCCAAGCUUCAUGAGACGUUUUACACCCUAUUACAUAUUCCAUAGCAUCAUCCGACAAAGUAGCAAUUAACAGACUCAAUAGGGCCAUAUCUUUCUGAACCCAAGAUUUAUAAGCUGCUGUGAUUUCUGUAGUCACUCCAUUCUCAGUGUUAACCACAAACUUUGGUGGACAAGGAGACUCACCAGUAAAGAAUUCAAAGAAAUCAUACCCUCGUAAAACCGACUGAAACUGAUAAUUCAACUUAACAAAAUUGUCAUCUUGCAACUUCACAGUCAACAUACCAAGCAAACUUUCAAUGCGUACUGAUUUAUCAGACAUCUUUAUCACAAAGUACUGACAAGAAAUCAAUCUCAAUCACAAAUAUGUUUAACUCCAAACUUCAACAAUGAUCACCUCUUCAAUAUAUUCUCACUACUUCUUGGCAUCGGCCUUCUAUAUGUAUAUACUUCAAAAGCUGAAAUUCCAGCAAUUUCGCAAAUGAACAACUGUAAUCAUAUCACACCACAACUAUAAUUCGUCUAUCUUCAACAAAUCUUGGCAUCAGCCUUAAUCAAAUCCAACACAUAACCCAUAUAUGAAAAACCAAAGAAAACAUUCCAAUUCACCAUAUAUCUUCACUGAAGCAAAAACGCAAACACUUGAUGUGCAAAGAAUAAGGAAAGAAACCAACAACUUGAUUGAAUGACCCUCAACCCAAAAUUCAUCAGCAAGCGUUCAAGCACUUCACCAAUCCUCCAAGAACUCCACCACAGCCUUCAACGAUCGAUCCCAAAGAAUUUCUCAGCGGAAGAAAAUACCCAAAAAAAAAAUCAACCUUGGCUCGAUACCAUCUUAACCAAGAAGAUCAGACUUGCAGAAAGAAAAAGAAAGAAACAAUACAGAGAAUAUAGAAGAAAACUUAGAAAGAAUAUGAAAGGUUUUGUAUUGAUAGAAUGAUAUUUUCUUACAAACAAUAAGCUGCAAUCAGCUUUUUAUAUCCCUAUAGUAGCCUAACUACCUUGCUUACUGUGUAAGCUACACAGCACCAUCCUAACUAACUUUCAACAGAAAUAUGAAUGACAUGGCAGAUGAUGUGGCAGAUGAUGUGGCCUUCACUUGAGUCAAUUAUUAUCAGUCAACAAAAACUUAUAUGUUGCAUGUUCUGGCUUUUAAAGUGAGUCGGCAUCAGAGUUUUUAUUUGAGAAAAAUCAGUUUUGUGUCCAUGUGUUUUCAAAGAAAAUAUUUUUGUUUUUAAUCACUGAUUUUUCAUUGUGCUUCAAUUAGAAAUCAAUUAUGAGAAUCUGCCUUGUGAUUUUCGUAAUUGGUUGAUUUCAAAAAAUCAUUACAUUUCAUACAUUCUGCAUGAUCGCGUUAGUAUCUUGCAAAGUUCGAGGACACAAUGAUUGACGGUCGCGUUAGUGUCGUGCCACUUUCACUUGAAGGCUGAAGAGAUCAAGUAGCAAAGCGCAAUGAAAAAAAUUGCCUACUAGUAUGUGGGUCUAGUUAAUGAGUUUUGUAAGUCUUUCCAUACUCAUUUCUCUUAUUGUUUGUUCUAGCUUAAGAGUCUGAGGAUUUUCUCAGUGGUGAGUUUUACCUUGUUUAAUUCUACAUCAUGUGUACACAUGUUAUUUGUCUUUUUAUUGCAAAUGUGUAGGAUAAUCUUUCACUUAUUUUCUUAUAGUGAACUCUAUCUUAGACAUUCAUCAACAUAUAGAGUUUACGACAGAGGACUUUUGCUACCAUAUUAUUCAGUGCAUUGAUUAAUUUGUAAAGCUCUCAUUUAUCCAAAUUAUAAAAUAUAAUCUGUACAAGACAUUAAAAAAAUGGAAGUGUCUUUCAACAGUUUGGAUGUCAUGUAUGGCCAUAUCCUUUAUUUCCAGAGUAAUGUUAUUCAUACCAUGUUUUUAUACCACAUUUAUAUACCACCUUAGGUGGCAUCUGAUGUGGACAACCACAUUAUUUGAAAAAUUUGCAAAACUCGAGAAAAUGAAGGAGAAAUACUCCUUGUAUGCCACAAUCAUAAUUUAAUUAACUAGUUUUUCUUAAUUAUUAGUUUAUUAAAUAAUGAACUAAAUUUAAAAAUCUGAUUAAUUGAAAUGAUGUGUCUGUUCACAUCAAAUGCCACCGAAUAUGGUAUGAAAAUAUUGUACAAAAACAUAAUAUAAAUAACAUUACUCUUAUUUCCACCAUUCUUAUCAACUGGAUGGGGAUAUAAAGACAUAAUGUGGCAAUCGUCCAUUAGAAAGGUAAUGUACGUUUUGAAAAUCGUGGCAAAUAUUGAAUGAGUAAUGACGCCUCUAAAAAUAAAAUUUAGUUAUUUGAAAGAAUCUUUCAUAAAAUAAAGUAACGAAUAAUCAACAAAAGUAGCAGUACACCAAGUUGAACCUUUUUCAACGUUGAAAUGAAAUAUGAAAGGAGAUCAAGUUGAUAUUAUUCAUCUACUUUUUUUUUUUUAAUAAACGAUAUUGUCUACGUUAAGAAAAUGGACUUGGCUAAGCCUCACAAUGGACUAGCAAUAAUAUGAUUCAAAUUCACAUUUAGCAAGAAUCAAACCAAAAGAAGAGAAAUAUUAUUAGACUGUAACAUUAUUCAUCCACUUUUAAAUAAUAAACAAUCAAGAAAAACACUGCACGCAGUCCCCUCUCGUCACUUACCACUAGUGCCAUCACUUCCCUGAGCAAAAGAGAUAUUUCCAAUUGCUUGACCAAAACAAGCAUUGAGUUCAUCCAUCAAUAACAGGUCCACAUCUCAACCCAAAUAUAAUGACGUCAAAGGAUAGGGGAAAAUGAGAAGGAAACUCUGGAGGGUAGAGGGAAGGAAAAGGAGAAAAGGACAAAGGAAGAAGGGAAAAGUAGAAAGGGAAGGAGGACAAUGAGAGGAAAUUUCGGAGAAUAGAGAAAAGGAGAAGGGAAAAGUAGAAAAGGAGAAAGGAAGGGAUAAGGGGAAGGAAGCUUAGGAGGGUAGGUAGAAGAAUGCAUAAAAAUAAAAAAUAAAAAAUAUAAAAGGAGAGUCGACUUCACCAUUAUGUCUACUAGCGGAAAGGAGCAACAUUGUAAAUUAUAUUUCGUAUAAUGAGAAAUUAGUAUUCCUACUUGAGGAUAUGACACAACUUGCCGAAUCUCGUUACGAUGCAGCAAGUUUAUAAUUGCACAACAAUUUGAUCAACCAUCUUAAGUUCAAGCAUACAUGUAUUAAGAUUCAAAUUUUUCCAGAUUUUCCUUAUGAAACUAACUGAACAUUACAAGUGCCACAUUAUUAUACGGUUCUAUCAAGUUUUAAUUAUUGUCUCAUAACCACAUCAUCUUUAGGACAAUAAUCUUGCGGUUGAAUAUAAAAACCUUCGACAUGGUGAUAUUGGAAACACUAGUUGGUGGGUUGAUUGGUAGAAAUGGUUCCAACACUUCAAGGAUGAGAAAUGAGUAUUGAGCAACGAUCAAAAUAUAUUGUAUUUUAUCACAAAAGAUGUGUGCAAUUAAAAGUGCAUUUUAUUACAAAAAAGAUGAGCAACGACCAAAAUAAUUGUUAUUUAUAAAAUCACACAUAAAACAAGAAGGAAUCUUUUCUUUUUCUUUUCAUCUCUGCCACUAGCGGCCGACCAUGACUUAAACCAUCUCCAACCCUUGGGCUAAAAGCCAAAUUUUUUAGCCCGGAAAAUUUAGCUUUUAACCUAGAAACAUCUUUCUACUCCAACCCUUCUACCCUAAAAUUUUAGCCCGGAAUUAUUAAAGAAUGAAAUUAGCCUAAAUUUUUUUCUUAAAUCAAUUUUUUUUUUAAAAUAAAUAUGUAGAUUAUUGUAAAUUAAUUUUAUGAACAUUUUAAUCUAAAAAAAUUUAAAUUCCGAUAAACAUUUCGCAUUUAGCCCGAGGAAAGCUGGGGGUAUUUGGCCCAGAAAUAGCAUUUAGCAUUUAGCCUAAAAUUUUAGCAUGGGUUGGAGAGUGUUUAGGGGGUAAUUUGGUAGGUAAUUUGGCUUUUAGCCGAAAUGGUCUUAAAGAAACGCUUUUUGGGUCAAUGGAUGGGAACGACCCAUUUUAUAAUAUUGUUUGUAAAUUUUUCUGGAAGUAGAUGGAAAAGACCGAUGUACAUAUUUCCCCUGCUCACAGACAUUUGCAUUGCACCUAGCAAACACCAGUUUUUUUGUUUGAACAUCGAUCCACAUCAAUGGCUCUUGUGAGAACAUCUCCAGGAACCUCCUCUGAUUCCAACACUUUUCGGAGUUAUCGCUACGACGUGUUCUUGAGCUUCAGAGGCGAAGAAACUCGCAAGACUUUUACCGACCACCUCUACACAGCCUUGAACAACGCAGGAUUUCUUACGUUCCGAGACGACGAUGAACUUGAGAGAGGAGAAUAUAUAAAGCCAGGACUGCAGAAAGCGAUCCAGCAGUCGCGAACUUCUGUUGUUGUGUUUUCGAAAGAUUACGCGUCAUCCAGGUGGUGUCUUGAUGAGCUUGUGCUGAUCCUUGAACGCAAGAGGACCACCUCGGACCAUGUAGUUUUACCAGUCUUCUACGAUGUCGAUCCGUCCCACGUGAGGAAGCAGACAGGAAGUGUUGGAAAAGCAUUUGCUAGAAGCCAGAAAAAUCAGUCGUCAGAAAAGGUGGAGGGAUGGAGGAAGGCACUUACAGAGAUUGCAGACCUAGCAGGCAUGGUCUUACAAAAUCAAGCUGAUGGGUAACUUUCAUUAUCUCCAUUUCUCAUUUCUUUCUUGGGUCAAUUUGAUGUAUGAUCCGUAGGGACCUAGAUUUGUAUGUAUUUAUUAAUUCAAUCUCAGUAGUGAAUAAUAAUCUCAAUUUAGGUCAACUUAUAGAAAUCACACUCAACUCAACUGAAGGAUUAGUCAUCUUCAAUGUUAAUCUACUGGUUUCCAGUUGCUUAAAUUUUUUUGAAAGCUGGUGUGGAAAAAAGUUUGGAUAAAUUAUGCGCUGUAUUCCUUUCUCUGUAACUUGAUAUGUGAUGUAUUUGUCUAUAGUUCGUAUAAAUUAUGCGCUGUAUUCCUUUCUCUUUUUUUUUUCAAUUUAAUUUUGUCAGCAGUCCUCUUUUUUUUCUUAUUUAAACAAAGGCAAUCAACAUAUGUUUUAGUUAUCUAAUUUCCCCAAUUCAUUUUUCAUUUUGUUUGCAAAUUCUUAGGUACGAGUCAAAGUUUAUCAAAAAAAUUGUUAAAGUGAUAGGAGACAAGUUAAGUCGCAUGCCAUUGAGUGUUGAACCAAAAUUGAUUGGAAUUCAAUCUCAAGCCGAGCGCAUCAAUUUGUGGUUCCAAGAUGGAUCAAGUGAUGUUGGUAUAUUUGUUGUGUAUGGCAUGUCUGGAAUAGGGAAGACAACCAUUGCAAAACAUGUUUACAAUUCAAACUUUGGAAGCUUUCAAGGAAGUAGUUUCAUUGAAAAUAUCAAAGAAACAGCAGAUCGACCAAAUGGCUUAGUUCAAAUACAAAUGCAACUUCUUUGUGAUAUUUUGAAUGGCAGAGAAGUGAAAAUACACAGUGUUAGUGAGGGAAUAAUUAAGAUUGAAAGGGCCAUAAGCUCUAAAAGAGUUCUACUUGUUCUUGAUGAUGUUGACCAUAUGGACCAAUUAGAUGCAAUCCUAAGGAUGAAAGAUCAGUUUUAUCCUGGAAGUAAGAUACUAAUAACAACUAGGUGUGAAAGGUUGUUAAAGGCAGAUCAAGUUACAGAGGUGCACAGAGUUCAAACUUUGGAUGACAAUGAAUCAUUAAAGCUUUUCAGUUGGCAUGCUUUUGGCCAGGACCAUCCCAUAGAAGAAUACAUGGAGCACUCAAAACAGCUAGUGCAACAUAGCGGCGGACUUCCAUUAGCUCUAAAAGUUUUGGGUUCUUCUUUAUCAGGAGGAAGUAUAGGUGUAUGGGAAAGUGCAUUGGAGAAGCUAAAAGUUAUUCCUGAUGGUGAAAUCAUGACUAAACUAAGAAUAAGCUAUGAAAGUUUAAAAGAUGACCAUGACCGGAAAUUAUUCCUCCACAUUGCUUGUUUCCUAAUAGGAAGGAACAAAAGCUACAUUGUUAGAAUAUUCGAUGGAUGUGAUUUCUAUACAAUCAUUGGCAUGCAAAAUCUCAUUGAUAGAUGCUUGGUGACACUUGAUGAAUACGGCAAGGUGAAAAUGCAUGACAUGAUUCGUGCUAUGGGAAGAGAAAUUGUUCGCCAAGAAUCAGAAGAGCCUGAGAAACGUAGUAGAUUAUGGCGCCAUAAGGAUUCUUUCCAAGUAUUGAGGAAAAAGAAUGUAAGAAACAUGCCUUUUAUGUCUAUAUAUGUAUUUCUUCUUGUGAAAAUUAUGCAUAAUAAUGUCUUUUUUUUUCCUUUAGGGUACAAAAAAAAUCCAAGGUCUUGUCCUGGAUAUGCGUAAUCAUCCUGCAAACAAUCCAAUAAACACAAAUGAGAUAGUCUUGGAAACCAAUGCAUUUGCAAAGAUGCGUAAUUUACAACUACUCCAUCUUAGUCAUGUACGACUGGAUGGAUGUUAUGCAGAUUUCCCUACAGGAUUAAGAUGGUUGUGUUGGCUUGAAUUUCCUUUGGAUUCUAUACCAAUUGAUUUUCCUUUGGAGAACGUAAUUGUUCUUGAAAUGCAAUACAGUAGCUUGAGACAAGUAUGCAAAGGAACAAAAGUAUGUUACUCUAUACAUUUCAAUUCAUUUUACUUAUUUUGUUAGUUUUUUAUUUGUUGAGUAACUCCAUGUGUUAAAAUGAAUUACUAUGUUUUCUUUAAUUCGAUGACUAAUUUUUUAUGUUAGAUACUUAUUUCAUUGUUCUUUUUUCUUUUCUUUUUUUUUUCCUCUAUUUCCACAGUUUCUUCCAUCGUUGAAGAUCCUUGACAUCAGCCAUUCUCAAUGCCUUAGUGAAACCAUUGACUUCUUUUCCCCAAUCUAGAGGAACUGAUUCUUGUAGAUUGCACAAGCCUGAAGAAUGUUCAUGAAUCCAUUGGAAACCUGGAGAGACUCGUGUACUUGAAUAUGAAGGAUUGCAAGAAUCUUAGGAUGCUUCCGAAGAACAUGUGCAUGCUUAAAUCACUUGAAACACUCAUUUUAUCUGGUUGCUCAAAUCUUGAUGAGUUUCCAGUGGAGAUGAUGAAGAAGAUGGAGUCUCUGAAAGUUCUUCAGACAGAUGGAAUUGCAAUAGGUGAAUUGUCGCCAGAAAGAUGUUUGAGUUCUUUUCCAUGCUCUUUAGUAGAGUUAAGUCUGAAGGGGUGCAAUCUUUCUGAUGAUGUCUUUCUUACGGAUUUAAGUAAUCUAUCCUACUUGAGAAGACUACAUUUGGAUGAGAAUCCAAUUUGCAGUCUGCCAGUUUUCAUCAAAGGUUUGAGGAGGAUCGAUGAACUCUCUUUCAAGGGUUGUGAUAGGCUCGAAUCCCUUGUGGGGUUGCCGGAAGUACACCAAAGGAUGAGUAUAGUCGGAUGCAUAUCAUUAAAAAAAAUAACUUUUCAUUCCCCUAAGCAAUUGUAUCCAAUAUAUGUGGGUGACAACUGGAAUCUUGUUGAGUGGGGGUGCUAUUACAAAUUAGAGCCUAUUGAUAGAGUUGAUGUGGAAAUGAUCAAACUUUUGGGCUUGUGCAACUUGGAAUCCAUGCCAGCUGUUCAAAUGCAUUAUCCAGACUCAGACAGCGAUCCAAAAGAGGUCCCCGUCCAGGUGCGCCUUUCUUUCUCUCUCUCAUAAGUCUUAAAUAUAUAAUGGGAAAGAAAUGACUGAGUAAUAUUGUGAUGACUGUGGCAAAUACAUAGGGACUCUAUGAAUGUGGUAUAUUCAGCACGUUUUUUGUUGAGAAUGAGGUCCCAGGCCGGUUCAGCUAUAAAAGUACCAAGUCCUCGAUAUCUUUUAUUGUCCCUUUACUACUUGCUAGUCACAGAAUUCGAGGCUUGAACAUCUUUGCUACCUAUGCAAAGGAAAAUUCAAAUAAUUAUUUUACUAGACCUGGCAUUGCUCCAAUAAUGAUCAAAGUGAGAAACAAGAGUAAGGGUCUGAAGUGGAUCUAUGGCCCAAUAUUCUAUGGUAUCCCAGGUGACGGAGAAGAUAUGAUAUGGUUGAGCCAUUGGAAGAUGGAGAAUAAAACAAUAUUACAAUGUGGAGAUGAAGUGGUGGUUUCGGUAAUAACCGGACCAUGUGACUUGUUUUGGGUAAAGGAGUUUGGUGUCGAGCUUGUGCCAGAGCACCAAGACAAGAUGAGUACCCAACACAACACCAAAUCAGAUCCUAAUUAUCCACUUGUUAUCGGUGGAGAUUUGGAGACGUGGAAGUGCAGACCGGGAAUAUACUUCCUUGGUGGUCGGACAAGUACAGAUACUGACGACAUUGAUAUCCUCACCAUGGACUCUGAUGAAGAAGACACAAGUAUGUUGUGUUGUUGUAUUGCAUUGAAUUAUACUCCAUCGAAACACUUCCAGGUGUGUCUGUAUUCAUUUCAAAAACGUUUCAAUAAAUUUUAUGUUAUUUAUAUGUUUUUCAGACGAAGAAGGGCAAGAGGAUGAAUCUGAUUACACAAUUGCAAAAACGAGGGCUGCUAGCAAUAACUGCAGUUUGAGAGGCUGGAAGGUGCACCUCACGGCUGUCGGCUUCUUUUUCGCGCUUGCUCUAGUAAGUUGGUCCUCCCACUCCCGAAAAAAGAAGCGACAGUCGUCCACAAGCCCACCAUGAGUUUGUAAUUUGACUUGAUAUGGAUAUAUCUUUGCAUUCCUUGCUCUCAAGAUGUUUUCUACCUUCAAAACUUCAGGUUCAGAGCUAAGCAUUCUUAACCGCUUGAGAUAUAAAUGCCCUUUGUAACUAGAUACCGAAGUUCAAAUGUGUUCAACUCCAUCAAAUAUAGCAUAAAAUACAUCCAGCAUUGAAUGCAUGUGUUUUGAACUACAAGAAAUCUUAUACAUUGGGUAGACCGUAUAGUGUAUCACAUUCAAAUGCAAUUAUUCAUGAAGAUGAAGUAUGAGAUGCCCUAAUUGUUUUACCAGAAGAUGCUGGAUCAAUUGUCUCAAAAAAUUAUUUCGGUAAUUGUUGGUAAAACUCAAAGUUAUCCAAAAGUUUGGGGUCAGCAUAAGCUUAUGCAUCAGCAUCAGAUUGUGUCUCCUAUCAGACUGAAGGAAUAAAAUUACUCAAUUUGUGCAAAUAAAAAUAAAAAUUUUAUAACACAUCAAAGAGAUAAUUAAAGGAGACCUCACAAGCUGUACAUCCAAGUGGCAAACAAAUCAAAAUUUUAAAUAAAGCUAAUGGCGCAUGAAGAGUAUUGAAACACUCAUAGCCCUCGCACACAGGUUGCAUGGUCUUUUCUUAUAACAAUAAAAGGAACAAAUUCAUCAAGUCACAUUUGGGCCAUUAAAAAAAGCUACAAAUUCAUCUUUCCAUGUCUUUAUCUCACAAACCCAUAAUGUGGCAAUCCUCCAUUAGAAAGGUAACGUACGUUUUGAAAAACGUGGCAAAUAUUGAAUGAGUAAUGACGCCUCUAAAAAUAAAAUUGAAUUAUUUGAAAGAAUCUCUCAUAAAAUAAAGUAGGGGUAAAGUACAAAAAAUUACUUCAAAUAUUAGUCUCAUGACAUUGUCAUACUUCAUCUUUUAAAAUUGACAAUAUCAUACCUCAUCUUUAGAAUUUGGUCAAUUUUAUACCAUCCUUUAGCCUGACCGUUAAUUUGUCAGUUAAAUACUGACGUGGCUUGAUCCAAACCCCACUUUCUAUUAAAAAAUUAAGAAAAUAUUAAAAACCCCACCCCCUAUCUCUCCUCCCUCAUCUUCUUCCCCUGCUCUGCCCAGAAACGAAACGAACAAAAAAAAAAAAAAAAAAAUCAAAACCCAAUUCGUCCCCACCCCACCCCACCCCCUCUAUCUCCUCCCCCAUCUUCUUCCCCUGCUGCCCAGAAACGAAACGAAAAAAAAAAAAAAAAACUAAAAAUCAAAACCCAGGUCGUCCCCACCCAAGACUUGGGCUCGCACACCCAUGGCUCGCCGGACCUGGGUUGGGUGUCCUCUGGGUGCCUCGGAGCUUCACGGAGACGAAAAGAGAAAGGGUUGACGCCAAUGAUGGUUUUGGUACCGUCGUCGGUGGGUGUGGGUGUGUAAAUGGGUGCGUGAGUGUAGAUCUGGGAGAGGGGUAUAGUCUGUGCGAGAGAGGGGGAGAAAGAGUGAGUGAGCUGAGAGAGAGGGAGAUGUUGGCAUGGGUGGGGAAGGGUGGGGGGUUGCACGGAGGGGGAACGGGAAGGGGUCGGGGUGGGGGGGGGGGAGAUGAGAAUGGGUUCUGGGAUGCAGAGAAGAGAGAAAGGCGAGAGAGAAGGGGAGAGAGAGAGAGGAGAGAGAGAGAGAUUUAAUAUAAAAAUAAAAAAGAGAGGAGAGAGAGAGAUUUAAUAUAUAUUUUUUUAAUUUUUGAAUAUUUAAUUAUUAAAAAUGUAUUUUAUUAUUUUUUAAUCCAAUUGGAUUGGAUUAGUGAGUGGAACACGUGUCGGGCCACGUCAGUAUUUAACAGAAAAAUUAACAGAAAAACUGACGGAGGUGCGACAUUGACACAAAUUCCUAAGAUAAGGUAUGACAUUGUCAAUUUUAAAAGAUGAGGUAUGAAAGUGUCGUGACACCAAUAGUUGAGGUAGUUUUUUUAUACUUUACCCAAUAAAGUAACGAAUAAUCAACAAAAGUAGCAGUACACCAAGUUGAACCUUUUUCAACGUUGAAAUGAAAUAUGAAAGGAGAUCAAGUUGAUAUUAGUCGUCACUUGUAUUUUAUUUUUUUGAAUAAACGAUAUUGUCUACAUUGAGGAGAAUGAGUUCGUUAAGCCUUACAAUGGGCUAGUAAUAAUAUAGUUCAAAUUCGUAUUUGGCGAGAAUCAAAUCUAAAGUUUCUCACUUACAAAUGAAGAGAAAUAUCAUUGGACUAUAACAUUAUUCAUCUACUUAAAAAUAAUGAAUAAUCAAGAAAAACAUUGCACGGUCCCCCUCUCGUCACUUACCACUAGUGGCCAUCACUUCCUUGAGCAAAAGAGAUCUUUCGAAUUGCUUGACCAAAAUAAGAAUUGACUUGGCUGUCCGUCCAUCAAUAACAGGUCCACAUCUCAACCCAAAUAUAAUGACGUCAAAUGAGAAGGAAACUCUGGGGGGUACAGGGAAGGAAAAUGAGAAAAAGGGAAAAGUUGAAGGGGAAGGAGGAAAAUGACAGGAAAUUUCGGAGAAUAGAAAAAAGGAGAAGGGAUAAGAAGGAAAAAUGGGAAGGAAGCUUAGGAGGGUAGAGAAAAAGAGGGAAAUGCAUAAAAAUAAAAAAUAAAAAAGGAAAGUCGCCUUCAUCAUUAUGCCUACUAACGGAAAGGAGCAACCGCAUUGUAAAUUAUAUUUCGUAUAAUGAGAAACCAGUAUUCCUACCCCGAGGAUAUAGACACAACUUGCCGAAUCUCGUUACUAUACAGCAAACAUAUAACUGCACAACAAUUCGAUCAACCACCUUAAGCUCAAUCAUAAAUGUACCAAGAUUCAAGUUUUUCCAAACUUUCCUUAUGAAAUUAACUGAACAUUACAAGUGCCAUAUUAUUAUGCGGUUCUAUCAAGUUUUAAUUUUUGUCUCAUAACCACAUCAUCUUUAGGACAAUCAAUAUUGCAGUUGAAUAUAUAAACCUUCGAUAUGGUGAUAUUGGAAACACUAGUUGGUGGGUUAAUUGGUAGAAAUUGUUCCAACAAUUCAAGGACGAGAAAUGAGUAUUGAGCAACGAUCAAAAUGUGUUGUAUUUUAUCACAAAAGAUGUUUGUGCAAUUAGAAGUACACUAGAAAGUUUGCCCGAUCGUUGCUGCGGGAAUGUCAAAUAUAUUGUAAGUAUUGUAUAUAAAUGUUACAUAAGGGAACAAAUAUGUUGCAAGAAUUGUGUGUAGAAUUUAUAAAACACGUACCAAGUAUUUGCAUAAAAUUUAAAAUAUAUAGUUGUUACUUGUUCAAAUUAUAACAGCUUGUACAAACAUGAGUUUGAAAUUCACCUGCCUUAACUUCUCCACACUUUACACACAGAGACCCUUAUCUUUUUUGGUGGUUUAAAAGCUUGCAAAUCACGGGAGGCUGUCCAUUUUGUUACAAAGAUGCAGAACCAAAAUAUAUAUUUUAUCAAUUUUCGAGAGCAUAAAUGGACAAAUUAAAUUGUAUGUAAAGAAUGUGUAGCAAAAUAUCAAAUAGCAAAAGAAAUCUCAACAUAACUCUACCACAACAAUAAGGAAUCUCAAAUAGAAAAAAGGGAGACUUUGGAUGCGGUCCCUAGUUAUGAAUAGUCUUUGACUGAAACCUUGUUGGUUUUCAAUUUUUGAUCCAAGUCCCUGAAAUUAAUUGAUAAUUUAUUUCUAUGUACGUUACUAUAUUUUUUAAAUUAAAAAUUAAAAUUUAUAGUUGUUUAUAGUAAUGAGAUUUUAAAUAAAAAACCAUAAUUUGUGGGAUUAAAAAUAUUAAAAUAUAAAUAUACUAUUGUGUGUGUGUGUGUAAACAUGGGUACAUUCAUAAAAAAUAACCAAAAAAUUAUUGUAUCAAAACAUGGAUACAUUCUUCUUCAAAAUGGGUACAUUUAGCAAAAAUAAAAAUGGGUACAAAUAAAUAAAAAAAAUAUGGGUACAAUACAAAUAAAACUUUAAAAAAUAUGGGCACAAAAAGAAAUUAAUAUAUGGGUACAAAUUAAAACUGAAAGGAAAAUUGGUACAAAUUAAAAAAGGGUUGCAAAUUAAAAAUGGGUACAAACUAAAAAUAAAAAUAUAUGAUAAAAAAUUUAGCCAUAAAUAUAAAUAUACUAAUUGUAAUAUUUUUAAUAUUAAAUGAAUAUAUUUAGAAAUAAAAAAUAUUUUAUUAUUGAAAUAAUUAAUGAUAUUAUUAAUACAAAGGAUCUUGAUCAAAAAUUGAAAAGUAAUAAGGUUUUAAUCAAUAGAGUAGUAAAAAUAAGGAUGAAAACCUAAUUACUCCUAGAAAAAAUCUACCAACUACCAUACGGAUGAUUUUUAAAUGAAUAAAAGCCUACCCUAUUAUGGAGAGCUUAUACCUUUCACUUGUUUACUGUUCUUGAUGAGUUGCAAAACACAACCAACAAAAGAAAAUCAAACAAACAUCAAAACAAAGGUCAUGCCUGAUAAGAAGGUUUCAUUUAUAAUUAUUUCUAUUUCUACAUAAAUACUAAUAAAUUAAGCUCCCAAUGAUCUGCAUAAACAUUUGCAAGGCCUUCUUUUCCAUCGAUGGAAAUGACUGAAACAGAUUCAACCCAUGUCUUAAUUACAUCAGUUAUGUGUUGAACCACCUAAAUCGACUCAAAUCACUGAAGAAAGGCAAUCAUCAGCGUUCAAGCAAGUGAAGCAAAAAAGAAAAGGUAGGACACAUGAACAUUGUGAUUUUGUACCAUCACCUGGACAGUCUUGCCAACGUAAGGGCAGAGGACAGAAAUGAAUGAACUCAAUUCCAAUACGCUAACCGUUAAAGGUAUAUACGUCAUGACAGUCUUAUGAAUAACCAAAUUAUCUGAAGUUCAAGAUAUUGGAUAGCUACAUACAGAUUUGGAGACAAAACCAACAAAUCCAGGCCAGUAUAGCUUGCGGUGAAUAAUGUUAUCAAUGUUCCAGCAGUGUCACCAAUCUUAAAAACUCCAGCUUGAAUUCCUCCAACAGUAGCUGGGCCAAUGACAACCUGCAAAAGAUACGAUAAUUAAAGUUAAUAUCGCCAGUUCAUUUUCCCAGGUUAGUGAAAUUAAGAUGACUUUGCAUCAAUCGUGUAACCUUGUUGUUUGCCCAUGCAUAUGCGAUCAAUUGCUUAGUGUCUGACUCAGGUACACCUUCAGCAAUGACCGCCACAACUCUAAUGGUUGGUUGCUUGAGAGCAGCCAUGGAAGAAGCGGCAGCACUGCAGAUAUAUCAACAUACAUUCAUCGUUAGGUACAACCAUAGAAGUUUCGCACUCCAAAACACUACUCAUAGAAUAAUCACUGACCUUCUGUACGAAGCAAAGUUGAUUAAGACAUCAGCAGUAGGCUGUGCAGUGCGUGAUGCUUCAAUGUUGCAAUAGUUAUCAACCCAAAGGUCAGACAAUCUCGAAACAACAGAUCAAGAAUGGUAAUCUGACUAAUAACAUGAUUUGAAUAUAUUAGAUAUGGAAAAUUAAGAUUAACCAAGCAUACAUGCAUAUACAUAAUUAUACAAAAGGUGGCUUGCGGCAACGAAAGACGAAAUCUAGGAAGAGGAUGAGAGAAUGGCAACUUACUUUUAAGUGCAUUGGUAUGGCGAUUUCCUUUUGACCGAAAAAUAGCUUCUGAAAUCCCUCAGAACCAGGGUUAAUGAUUCCACCAACUGACGGUGUCUCCCUCCGUAUUACAAACCUCAGUUAUUACAUUUACAUCUUUUUCAAAAACUAAAAACUAUAAGUAAGAUCAAGUUCGAAGUAGGAAAUGAUACACACCGCAAAGGACGUCAAAAUCGAGUUAGAAGCACCUGAUAUAUCUUGCCAGUGGUAAUGUUGUUAUCCCUAGGUCCAAAUCAAUCUACAAUUACAAUUAAAGUUUAAACAAACUCAGCAGCAUAAAGUUUAAAGAUAAGACUCACACUCAACAUGAUACCAAGAUAGAAUCCAAAAAUAAAUUAAAGAUAUGACUAAAAUUAUUUGUUCUAAUCGAACAUAUUUCCUAGUUUUCUUAUCCAAUUAUACAAUUGCAGUUCCUAAAACAAAAAAUAAUUAAAAAGUAAUUUGCAGAAAGAAAAUUAGAAAAUUCGAACUUGACAACAAUCUACCUUAAGAAACCCCAUGACCGAGUAACAGCAACAACAACAUUGAGACAUAAUUUGGUGAAUAUAUAUGGUGGACAAAUUUAACAACUCUAGUACUGUUAACAAAGCUUCAACCAACAACAACAACAACAACAACAACAAAGCCUUUUCCCACUAAGUGGGGUCGGCUAUAUGAAUCCUAGAACGCCAUUGCGCUCGGUUUGUGUCAUGUCCUCCGUUAGAUCCAAGUACUCGAAGUCUUUUCUUAGAGUCUCUUCCAAAGUUUUCCUAGGUCUUCCUCUACCCCUUCGGCCCUGAACCUCUGUCCCGUAGUCACAUCUUCAACCAAUACAACAUAAAUCAAAUCAAUAUAUACCUGCAUAUCCUGAGUCCGAAUUGUACCCUCGUGCCCUGCAAUGCCUUGGUGAGCGACUCCUGCUUAAAAUCCAAACACACAUUUAACUUUAACAACACACAAAAAAUCAAAACUCUCAUCAUUAGAAAACCAAAAGGAAAACUUGAAAUUAUAUACCUGAAGCACAAAUGGUUUGCAAACGCAUAUACAAAAUUUUCAAAAAACAAAGAUCACCGUUUCCUGAAAAUGAAAAGAAAAGCAAAUCAUAGAGCCAAACCGAGAAUCCGAACACAGAAAUAAAAUCCCCAAAGUUAUGAAAACAAAAUUUAAAUGCAACACACAUCUGCAAACGGAAGACCACCCCAAAAAAAAUUAAAUUUUGUUCGACAAAAAGCCCAAAAGAAAAGGUAGAUUUUAUAUACACACCUUGAACACAAAGGGCUUGCAAAGUUGCAUUGAGAGCCCCAAAAUUGGGACAUGAGCGUUUCCUGAAACCAAAUAAGCGCACAUAUCAAACCCCCAAAAUGAAAAAAUAGAAAAUUUAAAGACAAAAUCCAUCUGCAAAUCGAAAACCACCGAAAAAAAUUAAAUCAGAUACACUGGAAAAAACGCAAAACUCACUGGAACAACACUGGCGUGGAAGAGAAAAAAAACUAGGUUCGAAAAUAAGCAGAAGGUGAGAAUGGAGAAAGAGAGAAGCCAGCGGAAAGAAAAAGCUAAGAGCACUAUUCGAUCCGCCAUAUUAAACAGUAACUGCCUUAAAUGAACUUAAAUGAAUAGUAAUUACCAUUAAUGAACGGUAAUUGUCAUUUACAUCUCCACCGUUGGAACCAUCUCCCUAGCAAUAAGCAAUUAAAAUAAUAAUUUUUUUUGUUUGUUUAAAUAAUAAAAAAAAACCCCUCCCUCUCUCUCUAUAACACAAAAAAAAUAAAAAAUUGCAAAGCCCUCGGGCCACAGGCCCGUCGACUCCCUACCCCCCUUCGCUCGGGUUCCCACCAUCGCUCGGCCUCCACACGGCUGGACCUCUCUCCAUCGGGCCUCCGGCCCCUUCUUCUCCACUGUCCCCCGAUGGGUGGAGUUGCUCUAAGAAGAGGUUGGAAACGGAAUAAUAGAAAAGCAUAAAUGAGUACGAAAACACGAAUCUUUGUGUUUUUACGGGAGUAGUAGAAAAUAUUAUUUUUUAAGUUAUAAACUUUAUAAUACACAUAUCUUAUUAUGUAUAUAGUUACACGUGGUGUAAUAUUCCGUGUAACGAUCAUACUGAAAAAUCUCUUGUUAAAUUUAGGGAUGUGAUAUCUACACAUCUUAUUUUACUUCUCACACACCUUUGUAAUUUUCGGCCGUCGGAUCGGAUGAAUUGAAAAAGAUCAGCAAACAAAAAAUAUUAAGGGUGUGUGAGAAGUAAAAUAGGGUGCAUCGAUAGCACAUUUCUAAAUAUUUACAUAGCGACACGUGGUGUACCAUCCCGUGUGACGAUCACACUGAAAAAUCUCUUGUUAAAUUUAGGGGUGUGAUAUCCACACACCCCAUUUUACUUCUCAUACACCUUCUUAAUUUUCGACCAUCAGAUCGGAUGAAUUAAAAAAUAUCAACUAACAAAAAUUAUUAAAGAUGUGAUAAGUAAAAUAGAGUGCGGAUACCUAAAUUUAACAAGAGAUCACAUUUUUCAAUAUUUUUUUGGUCUUCCCACCGUCUACACAUGGGUUUAAAAAAUUAAAAAAGUAUAAAAUUUUUAUUUUUUGUUGUGCCACAAACCAUGUGGCCAGGUUUUAAUCAUUUUUUAAUAAUUUUUUUGUCCUCCCACCAGUUACACAUGGGUUUAAAAAAAGGAUUUGGAUUGUCUGCCCUCCUAGUUGUGAUGCCCUUCUAUUUUGUGCGGUCACGGUUAAAUCAAGUCAAUAUUUUAUAUUUUAAUUAUUUUUUGUCUUAUUAUCUCAUUAAAAAAUUAAUAUAAAAUAUUAACGUAGCUUAACCGUGACCGCACAAAAUAGGAGCGCAUAGAAGGGCACCACAACUAGAAGGGCAGACAAUCCAAGUCCUUAAAAAAAUUUAAGAAUGUAUAAAGUUUUUUGUUUGUUGUGUCACAAACCACGUGGACCGGUUUUAACCACAUUUGUUUAAUAUUUGUUUGUCUGCCCACCGGCUAUAUGUGACUUAAAGAAAUGUUUUUUGGGUCAAUGGAUGGGAACGACCCAUUUUAUAAUUGUUUGUAAAUUUUUCUGGAAGUAGAUGGAAAGGACCCAAUUACAUAUUUCCCCUGCUCACAGACAUUUGCAUUGCACCUAGCAAACACCAGUUUUUUGUUUGAACAUCGAUCCCCUCAUCAAUGGCUCUUGUGAGAACAUAUCCAAGAAUCUCCUCUAAUUCCAACACUUUUCGGAGUUAUCGCUACGACGUGUUCUUGAGCUUCAGAGGCGAAGAAACUCGCAAGACUUUUACCGACCACCUCUACACAGCUUUGAACAACGCAGGAUUUCUUACGUUCCGAGACGACGAUGAACUUGAGAGAGGAGAAGAUAUAAAGCCAGGACUGCAGAAAGCGAUCCAGCAGUCACGAACUUCUAUUGUCGUGUUUUCGAAAGAUUACGCGUCAUCCAGGUGGUGUCUUGAUGAGCUUGUGCUGAUCCUUGAACGCAAGAGGACCACCUCGGACCAUGUAAUUUUACCAGUCUUCUACGAUGUCGAUCCAUCCCACGUGAGGAAGCAGACAGGAAGUGUUGGAAAAGCAUUUGCUAGAAGCCAGAAACAUCAGUCGCUGGAAAAGGUGGAGGGAUGGAGGACGGCACUUGCAGAGAUUGCAGACCUAGCAGGCAUGGUCUUACAAAAUCAAGCAUAUGGGUAACUUUCAUUAUCUCCAUUUCUCUUCUCUUUCUUGGGUCAAUUUGAUGUAUGAUCCGUAGUGACAUAGAUUUUUAUAUAUUUAUUAAUUCAAUCUCAGUAGUGAAUAAUAAUUCCAAUUUAGGUCAACUUAAAGAAAUCACACUCAACUCAACUUAAGGAUUAGUCAUUUUCCAUGUUAUCUACUGGUUUCCAGUUGCUUAAUUUUUUUUGAAAGCUGGUGUGGAAAAAAGUUAGGAUGUGAUCUGUGAUGUAUUUGUCUAUAGUUCGUAUAAAUUAUGCGUUGUAUUCCUUUUUUUUUUCAAAUUAAUUUUGUCAGCAGUCCUAUUUUUUUUCUUAUUUAAACAAAGGCAAUCAACAUAUGUUUUAAUUAUCUAAUUUCCCCAAUUCAUUUUUCAUUUUUCAUUUUGUUUGCAAAUUCUUAGGUACGAGUCAAAGUUUAUCAAAAAAAUUGUUAAAGUGAUAGGAGACAAGUUAAGUCGCACACCAUUGAGUGUUGAACCAAAAUUGAUCGGAAUUCAAUCUCAAGCCGAACGCAUCAAUUUAUGGUUACAAGAUGGAUCAAGUGAUGUUGGUAUAUUUGUUGUGUAUGGCAUGUCUGGAAUAGGGAAGACAACCAUUGCAAAACAUGUUUACAAUUCAAACUUUAGAAGCUUUGAAGGAAGUAGUUUCAUUGAAAAUAUCAAAGAAACAGCAGAUCGACCAAAUGGCUUAGUUCAAAUACAAAUGCAACUUCUUUGUGAUAUUUUGAACGGCAAAGAAGUGAAAAUACACUGUGUUAGUCAGGGAAUAAUUAAGAUUGAAAGGGCCGUAAGCUCUAGAAGAGUUCUACUUGUUCUUGAUGAUGUCGACCAAAUGGACCAAUUGGAUGCAAUCCUAAGGAUGAAAGAUCAGUUUUAUCCAGGAAGUAAGAUACUAAUAACAACUAGGCGUGAAAGGUUGCUAAAGGCAGAUCAAGUUACAGAGGUGCACAAUGUUCAAACUUUGGAUUACAAUGAAUCAUUAAAGCUUUUUAGUUGGCAUGCUUUUGGCCAGGACCAUCCCAUAGAAGAAUACACGGAGCACUCAAAACAGUUAGUGCAACAUAGCGGCGGACUUCCAUUAGCUCUAAAAGUUUUGGGUUCUUCUUUAUCAGGGGAAAGUAUAGGUGUAUGGGAAAGUGCAUUGGAGAAGCUAAAAGUUAUUCCUGAUGGUGAAAUCAUGAAUAAACUAAGAAUAAGCUAUGAAAGUUUAAAAGAUGACCAUGAUCGGAAAUUAUUCCUCCACAUUGCUUGUUUCCUAAUAGGAAGGAACAAAAGCUACAUUGUUAGAAUAUUGGAUGGAUGUGAUUUCUAUACAAUCAUUGGCAUUCAAAAUCUCAUUGAUAGAUGCUUGGUGACACUUGAUGAACACGACAAGGUGAAAAUGCAUGACAUGAUUCGUGCUAUGGGAAGAGAAAUUGUUCGUCAAGAAUCAGAAGAGCCUGAGAAACGUAGUAGAUUAUGGCGCGAUAAGGAUUCUUUCCAAGUAUUGAAGAAAAAGAAUGUAAGAAACAUGCCUUUUAUGUCUAUAUUUGUAUUUCAUCUUGUGAAAAUUAUGCAUAUUAAUGUCUCUUUUUUUUUCCUUUAGGGUACAAAAAAAAUCCAAGGUCUUGUCCUGGAUAUGCGUAACCAUCCUGCAAACAAUCCAAUAAACACAAAUGAGAUAGUCUUGGAAACCAAUGCAUUUGCAAGGAUGUCCAAUUUACAACUACUCCAUCUUAGUCAUGUACGACUGGAUGGAUGUUAUGCAGAUUUCCCUACAGGAUUAAGAUGGUUGUGUUGGCUUGAAUUUCCUUUGGAUUCUAUGCCAAUUGAUUUUCCUUUGGAGAACGUAAUUGUUCUUGAAAUGCAAUACAGUAGCUUGAGACAAGUAUGCAAAGGAACAAAAGUAUGUUACUCCAUGCAUUUCAAUUCAUUUUCCUUAUUUUGUUAGUUUUCUAUUUGUUGACUAACUCCAUGUGUUAAAAUGAACUACUAUGUUUUCUUUAAUUCGAUGACUAAUUUCUUAUAUUAGAUACUUAUUUCAUUGUUCUUUUUUCUUUUUUUAUUUUUUUUCUUCCUCUGUUUCCACAGUUUCUUCCAUCGUUGAAGAUCCUUGACGUCAGCCAUUCUCAUGGCCUUAGUGAAACCAUUGACUUCUCACUUUUCCCCAAUCUAGAGGAACUGAUUCUUGUAGAUUGCACAAGCCUAAAGAAUGUUCACGAAUCCAUUGGAAACAUGGAGAGACUUGUGUACUUGAAUAUGAAGGAUUGCAAGAAUCUUAGUAAGCUUCCGAAGAACAUGUGCAUGCUUAAAUCACUUGAAACACUCAUUUUAUCAAGUUGCUCAAAUCUUGAUGAGUUUCCACAGUUUCUUCCAUCGUUGAAGAUCCUUGACGUCAGCCAUUCUCAUGUUCUUAAUGAAAACAUUGACUUCUCACUUUUCCCCAAUCUAGAGGAACUGAUUCUUAUAGAUUGCACAAGCCUGAAGAAUGUUCAUGAAUCCAUUGGAAACCUGGAGAGACUCGUGUACUUGAAUAUGAAGGAUUGCAAGAAUCUUAGGAUGCUUCCGAAGAACAUAUGCAUGCUUAAAUCACUUGAAACACUCAUUUUAUCUGGUUGCUCAAAUCUUGAUGAGUUUCCAGUGGAGAUGAUGAAGAAGAUGGAGUCUCUGAAAGUUCUCGAGACAGAUGGAAUUCCAAUAAGUGAAUUGGGGCCAGAAAGAAGUUCAACUAUCUUGAGUUCUUUUCCAUGCUCUUUGGUAGAGUUAAGUCUGAAGGGGUGCAAUCUUUCUGAUGAUGUUAUUCCUCCAGAUUUAAGUAAUCUAUCCCACUUGCGAAGACUACAUUUAGAUAAUAAUCCAAUUUGCAGUCUGCCAGGUUUCAUCAAAGGUUUGAGGAGGAUCGAUGAACUCUCUUUUUGGUGUUGUGAUAGGCUCGAAUCGCUUGUGGGGUUGCCAGAAGUACACAAAUGGAUAAGUAUAAUCGGAUGCAUAUCAUUAAAAAAAAUAACUUUUCAUUCCCCUGAGAGAUUGUGUCCAAUACAUUUGGGUUACAACAGGAAUCUUGUUGAGUGGGAAUGCAAUUACAAAAUAGAGCCUAUUGAUAGAGUUGAUGUGGAAAUGAUCAAACUUUUGGGCUUGUGCAACUUGGAAUCCAUGCCAGCUGUUCGAAUGCGUUAUCCACACUCACACAGGGAUCCAAAAGAGGUCCCCGUCCAGGUGCGCCUCUCUUUCUCUCUCUCAUAAGUCUUAAAUAUAUAAUGGGAAAGAAAUGACUGAGUAAUGUUGUGAUGGCUGUGGUAACUACAUAGGGACUGUAUCAACGUGGUAUAUUCAGCACGUUUUUUGUUGGGAAUGAGGUUCCAGGCCGGUUCAGCUAUAUAAGUACCAAGUCCUCGAUAACUUUUAUUGUCCCUUUACUACUUGCUAGUCAUAGAAUUCGAGGCUUGAACAUAUUUGCUACCUAUGCAAAGGAAAAUUCAAAUAAUUAUUCUACUAGACCUAGUAUUGGUCCAAUAAUGAUCAAAGUGAGAAACAAGAGUAAGGGUCAGAAGUGGAUCUAUGCCCCAGAGUUCUAUGGAAUUCCAGGUGAUGGAGAAAAUAUGAUAUGGUUAAGCCAUUGGAAGAUGGAGAAUAAAACAAUAUUACAAUGUGGAGAUGAAGUGGUGGUUUCUGUAAUAACUGGACCACGUGACUUGUUUUGGGUAAAGGAGUUUGGUGUCGAGCUUGUGCAAGAGCACCAAGACAAGAUAAGUACCCAACACAACACCAAAUCAGAUCCUAAUUAUCCACUUGUUAUCGGUGGAGAUUUAAAGACGUGGAAGUGCAGACCGGGGAUAUACUUCCUUGGUCGUUGGACAAGAGAAGAUACUGACGACAUUGAUAUCCUCACGAUGGACUCUGAUGAAGAAGACACAAGUAUGUUGUGUUGUUGUAUUGCAUUGAAUUAUACUCCAUCCAAACACUUCCAUGUGUGUCUGUAUUCAUUUCAAAAACAUUUCCAAUAAAUUUUAUGUUAUUUGUAUGUUUUACAGACAAAGAAGGGCAAGAAGAUGAACCUGAUUACACAAUUGCAAAGAUGAGGACUGCUAGCAAUAACUGCAGCCUAAGAGGUUGGAAGGUGCGCCUCACAGCUGUCGGCUUCUUUUUCACGCUUGCUCUAGUAGGUUGGUCCUCCAUCUCCCAAAAAAAGAAGCGACACUCGUCCACAAGCCCACCAGGAAUUUGUAAUUUGACUUGAUAUAGAUAUAUCUUUGCAUUCCUUGCUCUCAAGAUGUUUUCUACCUUCAAAAUUUCAGGUUCAGAGGUAAGCGCUUUAACCGCUUGAGAUAUAAAAGCCCAUUGCAACUAGAUACUGAAGUUCAAAUGUGUUCAACGCCAUCAAAUAUAGCAUAAAAUACAUCCAGCAUUAGCGAUACUAGCAGAUUAGCUGUAAAUAAGUAAAACAAAAAAAUGCUUCUACACAUGGUAAGGGAAGGACUUUGACUGACAUAGGUAUCUUUAGCAAUAACGGGCAAGAUUUUUUUUUGUUGGGAGGGGUGGGGAUUAUUUCGACACCGGGGAAAACAAAAACAUCCUAUCUGCUUAUAAAUGACAAAGUUACAAAUCUUAAUUGUCGUUUACAACAAAAUCAUUCUUAAAGACUCGGCUCCCCAUUGAAAUUGUGUAAAUUGCAUAAAUAUCAAUACAACAGAUAUUAGAUAGAAUAAUAUAUAUCAAAUAAAUUAACGACAGGCAAUUUCUUAGCCUGAGAUUCAAGGACUUCACAGCUGGUUCAGCCUUGCAUCGCUACUACGCUACUCCAGUCAACUGAUUUAAAAGAGUACCCUGUUUCUCAGCGCAACAUGCACAAAAUCAACACCGGGUAGAAACUAAAAACCACCACCAAAUAAAAGUGAAUUCGACAACGUCAACGUAUUUACUUACCAAAGAUACUACAGGGACAGGUACCGAACGGCGGUGAUUACGAUACUGCUUUCUAUGCUUUCGGACAGAUUCUAACUCCUUGAGAACUCGAUCUAGUAUUACAGGCAUUUUUACAGGCAAAUCAAUUUCAAGGAAGUAUAGGAGGAACCCAUAAUCUUCUCAUGAACAUUGUACCUGCAAAAGCAUAAUGCAAUAAGCAUUCAACAAUCUGACCUAGUUUGCUCAACAGAUGCUCUAAGAUAUUCCAAAACAAAGUCACAGCAAUUUCACAUAGGAUACCAGGUGGGGAGGAUACAAUCAUUAACAAUUUCAAAAGCUUUAAAUGCAAAAAAUCAGUGAACAUAAUCAAAUCCAAUACGUCAAUUUUGGCCUAGAUUGAAAUGAAAAAAAACAAGGAAAUGCUUUGUGUAUCGAUUUGUUUAUGAAGGAAAUAAAACAUAUUUCAUGGAAAUAAAACCUGUGGUUACUUUUGUCUUCCUCUGCCAUUUGUCUAUCGAUUUGUUUCUGAAAGUGGCUAUUCUACAACAUACAGCAUGACAGGUCUUAGUUAGACCAAGUAACCGGCAUGGAAAUGCUUUCUGAAGCAAGAAUAUGAACUCAAGAGCUUUGUGCCAGAGAGACUUCAGAAAAAUGAAAAAAACAACAUAGAAUAUACAACAACAACAACAACAACAAAGCCUUUUCCCACUAAGUGGGGUCGGCUAUAUGAAUCCUAGAACGCCAUUGCGCUCGGUUUUUGUGUCAUGUCCUCCGUUAGAUCCAAGUACUCAAGUCUUUUCUUAGGGUCUCUUCCAAAUUUUUCCUAGGUCUUCCUCUACCCCUUCGGCCCUGAACCUCUGUCCCGUAGUCAUUUUCGAACCGGAGCGUCAGUAGGCCUUCUUUGCACAUGUCCAAACCACCGGAACCGAUUUUCUCUCAUAUUUCCUUCAAUUUUGACUACUCCUACUUUACCUCGAAUAUCCUCAUUCCCAAUCUUAUCCUUUAUCGUGUGCCCAUACAUCCCACGAAGCAUCCUCAUCUCCGCUACACCCAUUUUGUGUACGUGUUGAUGCCUCACCGCCCAACAUUCUGUGCCAUACAACAUCACUGGCCUUAUUGUCGUCCUAUAAAAUUUUCCCUUGAGCUUCAAUGGCCUACGACGGUCACACAACACGCCGGAUGCACUCUUACACUUCAUCCAUCCAGCUUGUAUUCUAUGGUUGAGAUCUCCAUCUAAUUCUCUGUUCUCUUGCAAGAUAGAUCCUAGGUAGCGAAAACGGUCACUUUUUGUGAUCUUCGCUAGAUUGCUCCGGUCAUUAGUGUGGAUAAGUAUAUAAAUGGAUAGAAUUAGGAAAGCAAACACAAGAUGUACGUGGUUCACCCAAAUUGGCUACGUCCACGGAAUAGAGGAGUUCUCAUUAAUUGUGAAUGGUUUACACAAGUACAUAGGUUCAAGCUCUCCUUUAGUGAGUACAAGUGAAUGAUUUAGUACAAAUGACAUUAGGAAAUAUUGUGGGAGAAUGAUCUCGUAACCACGAAACUUCUAAGUACCGGAGUGUGGUAUCGUCUUGACUUGCCUUAUCUGUCUCAUAGGUAGAUGUGGCAUCUUCUCUGGAAGUACUCUUCCUCCAUCCAGGGGUGGUAUCUGUAACUGGUGGAGAUGCACAAGGUAAUGUAUCAAUUUCACUUGAAGCUUACUUGUAGUUUCAGGCUUGGUCAAGCGCGAUACAAACCAUGUAGUAGGAGUCCCCCAAGUCGCCGGGUUAGGGGAUCUGCUGAAAGAGGUGACAGACAAGGUAAGCAAUCAGAGCUCCAGCUGAUUGUUCAUAUUCUCCCUAUCUUGCAGGCAGCAUGAAGGAUAAAGAGAAGAAAAAUGAGAAGAGAUGAUAUGGGAUACUUUUGCUUUUGAAGAAGUAACUUUCCACAGGCUUAUUCUUGAACCGGGCUGCAGGGUUUUCUGGUUUCCUCCAGAGUAUAAGGCCGACUGAAGAAUUUGAGGGUGAAAACAAGUUCAUCAAAUCUAGAGUACGUUCGACCCUGCUGAUAUGGGAUACUUUUGCUUUUGACAGAGUAGUGGAUGUAUCGGCACGUGUGCUGUUACGCUUGUCUCCACAUGCUUCAUUGUAUCCUUCUCACUUGCCCUAUCUGUUCCUCAGGCAGAUCCGGUAUCUUCCCUGGAAGCAUAAGAUGUUGAAGAUGAGUACUCGAGAGCAAUGCCAGGUAAGUAAUCAGGUAAGGGGUUCCAGGCAGUCAGUUCCUGGCUGGAAGCUUGAUUCCAAGUGCUGACUGAUUGCUCUCGUUCUCCUUGUCUUGCAGGUAAGAACAAGGCCAAAGGAAAAGACAGGGAAAAAGCAUGAUAUGGGAUACUCUUACUUUUAACCCUAAUGAUAAGAACAAGGCCAAAGGAAAAGACAGGGAAAAAGCAUGAUAUGGGAUACUCUUACUUUUAACCCUGAUGAUAUGAGAUAUUCUUGCUCUAGUAUAGCUUGUUUACAGAGGUAUUAUCGAGGGGAAAUAAAGCUGAAUAUUUCGAAAGGCUUCGUUGGGAGUGCCCUCUCAGAUAAGAGAAAGGGUUGAGCAUUUUUGCAAGUCUGCCUGUCCGUUAGGGAUGGAGGUCGACAUAUAUAGGAGUCUCCCUAACAUCAAGUAAUAAUGUUAUUCCUUUACCCUGCUUGGUCAUAACACGGUAGUGGGAGCUGCCAGCUUCACAUGUUUUAACUAUGUCAGAGCACUUUGAAAAAGUGGUCUGUGGUAUCUAGAAAGCUGAUGUUGCGUGUGAAGAUUACAGACAAGCUUUAUCCAAGGAGAUCCAGCUUUUGAAGUUGGGAAAGUGGUGCCUCUUCGGUUUUCGAACAAGCAAUCCUGUCGGGGAUCUGGCUCUCGAGAUUCGGAGAACGAUGCCUCUUCGAUUUUUGAGAAAGCGAUCCUGCUGGGGGUCUGGCUCUCGAGAUUCAGAGAGCGGUGUCUCUUCGAUUUUUGAGAAAGUAAUCAUGUUGGGAGUCUGGCUCUCGAGAUUCGGAGGGCGGUGCCUCUUCGAUUUUGGAGCAAGCAAUCUUGUUAGGAGUGUUUUCUCGAAUGUGAGUAAAGGUUGGGCAUGUUUGCUAGUCUACCUUGCCACGAAGCACAGAGGUUGACACACAGGGACUUUCCAAUUAUCCAGCAGUGGUACUGUUCCUUUACCCUCUCUUCGAUUUUUGAGAAAGUAAUCAUGUUGGGAGUCUGGCUCUCGAGAUUCGGAGGGCGGUGCCUCUUCGAUUUUGGAGCAAGCAAUCUUGUUGGGAGUGUUUUCUCGAAUGUGAGUAAAGGUUGGGCAUGUUUGCUAGUCUACCUUGCCACGAAGCACAAAGGUUGACACACAUGGACUUUCCAAUUAUCCAGCAGUGGUACUGUUCCUUUACCCUCUCUUCGAUUUUUGAGAAAGUAAUCAUGUUGGGAGUCUGGCUCUCGAGAUUCGGAGGGCGGUGCCUCUUCGAUUUUGGAGCAAGCAAUCCUGUUGGAAGUGUUUUCUUGAAUGUGAGUAAAGGUUGGCAUGUUUGCUAGACUACCUUGCCACGAAGCACAGAGGUUGACACACCGGGACUUUCCAAUUAUCCAGCAGUGGUACUGUUCCUUUACCCUUGUGGGUAAUAAUAUGGUAGCUAGACCUUCAAAAUUUGUGUCUAAACUUUGUUAGUGUUGUUUCUUUGUAAUUCUUUUACCCUUCUUGGUCAGAGCGAUGUAGCGGGAGCUGCAAGCUUCACGUGUCUCAACUUUGUCAGAGAACUUUGGCAAAGUUAUCUGUGGUACCCAUGAGUUACUGUUGCGUAUGGGAAGUGGGUGAUUGAACAGUACAAUUCAUGUGCUUUCUACUUCGCCAGAAAUCUUCGACAGAAUGCCCAUAAUUUCCGCAAAGCUGAGUGUGCGUGUGACAGGUGCUGACAAGGCUGGAAAAGUAUGUGCCUCUUCGAUUUCUAAGAUCGGCCUUCGUGGUCUCUUAGCAGCCCAGCUUUUGAGAAAGCAAGCCUCUUCGAUUUCUGAUAUCGGCCUUCGUGGUCUUUGAGCAGCCCAGCUUUUGAGAAAGCAAACGCCUCUUCGAUUUCUGAGAUCGACCCUCGUGGUCUCUGAGCAGCCCAGCUUUUGAGAAAGCAAACGCCUCUUUGAUUUCUGAGCAGGCGCCUCUUCGAUUUCUGAAGCUUCGUCGAGUGCAGAUUUUUAUAGGGGCUGACAUUAAGUUCCAAAGCACACUUGAAUAUCCACCAGUAGAAGCUCCAUUCUUGUACUUCUAAGAUCUUGAUUUGUCCGACCUCUUCUCUCUUCAACACCUUUGAAAAUGUCUGGCCCCUCCGACCGUCGUUUUGACUUGAACCUUGUUGAAGAGGCAGCCCCGCCUUCUCCAGACAACAUAUGGCGCCCAUCCUUCGUCUCCCCUACUGGUCCUCUUACCGUUGGGGAUUCCGUGAUGAAGAAUGGUAUGACCGCUGCGGUAGUGGCCAGGAACCUUCUCACUCCCAAAGAUAACAGACUACUUUCCAAACGGUUUGAUGAGUUGGCUGUUAAGGAUUCUCUGGCUCUCAGUGUUCAGUGUGCAGGUUCUGUGUCUAAUAUGGCCCAACGCCUAUUUGCUCGAACCCGCCAAGUUGAAUCAUUGGCGGUUGAAGUGAUGAGUCUUAAACAGGAGAUUAGAGGGCUCAAGCAUGAGAAUAAACAGUUGCACCGGCUCGCACAUGACUAUGCUACAAACAUGAAGAUGAAGCUUGACCAGAUGAAGGAAUCUGAUGGUCAGGUUUUACUUGAUCAUCAGAGAUUUGUGGGUUUGUUCCAAAGGCAUUUAUUGCCUUCGUCUUCUGGGGCUGUACCGCGUAAUGAAGCUCCAAAUGAUCAACCUCUGAUGCCUUCUCCUUCUAGGGUUUUGUCCAGUACUGAGGCUCCGAAUGAUCCCCCUCCGGUGCCUUCUCUUUCUGGGGCUCUACCGACUGUUGAGACUUCUCCUAAGCAACCUUUGUGAAGGCUCCCUCUUGUUUGUUUAUUUUGACUCAAGUAUAUGUACAUAUUUGUAACUUAUCGGGGAUAUCAAUAAAUAAGCUUUCCUUCAUUUCAACGUAUUGUGUUAAAUACACCAAAGCCUUCUUCGCUAAGUUCUUUGAAUUUUCUUUUGUUGAAGCUUGUAUGUUGAAGCUUUGUGAGUGGAGCAUGUAGGUUGAGGUAGUGUUCCCUUAAUUUCCUGAGUGAGGAAAACUUCUCGGUUGGAGACUUAGAAAAUCCAAGUCACUGAGUGGGAUCGGCUAUAUGAAUCUUAGAACGCCAUUGUGUUCUGUCCUGUGUCAUGUCCUCCGUUAGAUCCAAGUACUCUAAGUCUUUUCUUAGGGUCUCUUCCAAAGUUUUCCUAGGUCUUCCUCUACCCCUUCGGCCCUGAACCUUUGUCCUAUAGUCGCAUCUUCUAAUCGGAGCGUCAGUAGGCCUUCUUUGCACAUGUCCAAACCACCGUAACCGAUUUUCUCUCAUCUUUCCUUCAAUUUCGGCUACUCCUACUUUACCCCGGAUAUCCUCAUUCCUAAUCUUAUCCUUUCUCGUGUGCCCACACAUCCAACGAAGCAUCCUCAUCUCCGCUACACCCAUUUUGUGUACGUGUUGAUGCUUCACCGCCCAACAUUCUGUGCCAUACAGCAUCGCCGGCCUUAUUGCCGUCCUAUAAAAUUUUCCCUUGAGCUUCAGUGGCAUACGGCGGUCACACAACACGCCGGAUGCACUCUUCCACUUCAUCCAUCCAGCUUGUAUUUCUAUGGUUGAGAUCUCCAUCUAAUUCUCCGUUCUUUUUGCAAGAUAGAUCCUAGGUAACGAAAACGGUCGCUCUUUGGUAUUUCUUGAUCUCCGAUCAUCACCCUUAACUCGUUUUGGCCUCCAUUUGCACUAAACUUGCACUCCAUAUAUUCUGUCUUUGAUCGGCUUAGGCGAAGACCUUUAGAUUCCAACACUUCUCUCCAAAGGUUAAGCUUUGCAUUUACCCCUUCCUGAGUUUCAUCUAUCAACAUUAUAUCGUCUGCGAAAAGCAUACACCAAGGAAUAUCAUCUUGAAUAUGUCAUGUUAACUCAUCCAUUACCAACGCAAAAAGGUAAGGACUUAAGGAUGAGCCUUGAUGUAAUCCUACAGUUAUGGGAAAGCUUUCGGUUUGUCCUUCAUGAGUUCUUACGGCAGUCUUUGCUCCUUCAUACAUAUCCUGUAUAGCUUGGAUAUAUGCUACUCGUACUCCUUUCUUCUCUAAAAUCCUCCAAAGAAUGUCUCUUGGGACCCUAUCAUACGCUUUUUCCAAAUCUAUAAAGACCAUGUGUAAAUCAUUUUUCCCAUCUCUAUAUCUUUCCAUCAAUCUUCGUAAGAGAUAGAUUGCCUCCAUGGUUGAGCGCCCUGGCAUGAACCCGAAUUGGUUGUCCGAAACCCGUGUCUCUUGCCUCAAUCUAUGCUCAAUGACUCUCUCCCAAAGCUUCAUUGUAUGACUCAUUAGCUUAAUACCCCUAUAGUUCAUGCAAUUUUGUACAUCGCCCUUAUUCUUGUAGAUAGGCACCAAAGUGCUCAUUCGCCACUCAUUUGGCAUCUUCUUCGUUUUCAAAAUCCUAUUGAAAAGGUCAGUGAGCCAUGUUAUACCUGUCUCUCCCAAAACUUUCCACACUUCGAUUGGUAUAUCGUCUGGGCCUACUGCUUUUCUAUGCUUCAUCUUCUUCAAAGCUACAACCACUUAUUCCUUCCGGAUUCUACGAUAAAAAGAGUAGUUUCGACACUCUUCUGAGUUACUCAACUCCCCUAAAGAAGCACUCCUUUCAUGUCCUUCAUUGAAAAGAUUAUGAAAAUAACAUUUCCAUCUGUCUUUAACCGCGUUCUCUGUAGCAAGAACAUUUCCAUCCUCAUCCUUGAUGCACCUCACUUGGUUUAGAUCCCUUGUCUUCUUUUCCCCUGCUCUAGCUAGUUUAUAGAUAUCCAACUCUCCUUCUUUGGUAUCUAGUCGCUUAUACAUAUCGUCAUAAGCCGCUAACUUAGCUUCUCUCAGCUUUCUUCGCCUCUUGCUUCGCUUUUCUAUACCUUUCACCAUUUUCAUCGGUCAUAUCCUUGUAUAAGGCUUUACAACAUUCCUUCUUAGCCUUCACCUUUGUUUGUACCUCUUCAUUCCACCACCAAGAUUCCUUUUGGUGUGGGGCAAAGCCCUUGGACUCUCCUAAUACCUCUUUUGCUACUUUUCGGAUACAACUAGCCAUGGAAUCCCACAUUUGGUUAGAUUCCCCCUCUCUAUCCCACACACACUGGGUGAUUACUUUCUCUUUGAAAAUGACUUGUUUUUCUUCUUUUAGAUUCCACCAUCUAGUCCUUGGGCACUUCCAAGUCUUGUUCUUUUUUCUCACUCUUUUGAUAUGUACAUCCAUCACCAAUAAGCGAUGUUGAUUAGCCACGCUCUCUCCUGGUAUAACAAGCCAAUAAAACAAUAAUUCACUGUAUAAAUCAUUUUUUCAACUUUAAAGUGUGGCUUAAAAAGAAGCUUUAAACAAGUAGCAAUAAUUUCAUAUUGAAAAAUAAAACCUAUUUCAUGGAUAUUACAAGAGCCAUUAUUUUGAAAAACACACAUUUUGGUUCUUCGCUGCUUGACUUUUAAGAAGAUCUUUGUCCUUGUGACGAUUCAAAUUCUUUAAAAUAUCUCUGCAACGGAAUAAACAAAACCAAUCUAGGCCAAAAUUGACUUGUUCGAUUUGAUUAUGUUCAUUGAUUUUUCUGUUCACAUGUUUACCCCUACUUGCCAUAUAGUUUUGGGGUGUUAGCGCAUAGUGCUCUUCUCUUUACACACCAGUUUUAAUUUUAUUCUUCGUAAAUUAAGAGACCGUUUGAUAAUCAUUUCGUUUUCAAUUUAAAAAAAUAUAAAAAACUAAAUGAAGUUUUCAAAAUUUGACCUAGAAUUUUCGCUUUUGGUUUUCAAUUUUAAUUUUUUUAAAAACAACUGAAAACUAAAAAUAGUUACAAAAAGAAUUUUUCAGUUUUUAAUUUACAAAAAAGUAAAAACUGAAAACUCUAUACUAGACUAAAAAUUAAAAAGUGAAAUCGAAAUGGGCUCUCAACAAAAUUGAAAAAAGACUCGGCUGAAUUACUGAAUUCAAAGCAGGGCUUAUUAACGUUACGAGGCCCAAUGGAUCUAUAUAAAUAUUUUUCGUUUUUUUUUUUUAACAAACGAUAUUAUUUAUAUAGGCUUAAUCUUACCGUAGGCUAACAAUAAUGUGGUUCAAAUUUGUUUUUCGUAAGAAUCGAACUUAAAACUUCUCAUUUACAAAUGAAGACAAAAUCCACUAAACUGUAGUCUUGAGUGGCUCGUUAUUUUAUUUUAUAUUUUAAGAAAAAAGAAAGAAAGCAAUGAAAAGCUGUACAUAAAAUAAAUACAAAAAGGGAUGAAAUGAAGAAGAGUGGGAGACUAACGUUUAAUUCAAGAUAAAGAAAGAAAGGUAAUCGCACCACGACGGCGGCGACGUGGCGGUCAUUUAACGGAAAAUAACAGACAAAUCAGCCUCCAGAUCAAGUCUUGAAGCACAACUCUGAAAAAUCGAGACUACCUACAGCUGAGCUCCGACCAACCGUUGAUGGAUGCAAUCAGGAAGCUCAGAGAUCAGGUCGCCAAGCAACAGCAGGUACUCCCUCUCGUUUGAUUCCGAAUUUGUAUUUCUGUAUGGAUUUUGAUAUGAACAUAAUCUGCGUUGAUUGCGAGAUACUGAGAUUGCUUAAUGAAAUAAUAUUUAUAUAAUUAUUCGAGUUGAAUUGGAUCGAUUCGAAUUCAAAUAGAAUUUCACUAAUUCUGAGCUGUUUGGGGAUGUGUUGGAGUGCAAUGUUGAUGAAUUUCUGAAAUUUUGAGCUAGGUGUUGCUAAUUACUUAUCGAUUUUUGAUGUAACUGGAUGCUUAAUUUUUACAUUUUCGGAAAACUUGAAGCGAAAAUGGCAUAUAAUUCAACGUUCCAUGCUUCAUUAAUGCAUAUGAGUUAGUCGAAGCUUUAUCGAGUUUGCUUUUGAUUAUUUUGUGAACACCGUCAGGCUGUGUUCAAACAAUUUUCUGGUGGCAUAUAUGGGGGAUCGGAUAAUGUUGCCUCGGAUGAAAAUGAAUUUCAACAGCAUCAGAAACUCGAGAAGCUGUACAUAUCAACUCGUGCUGCCAAGGUUGCUACGCUUAUUUUUGUCUGUGCUUUAAACGAGCAUCACGUUAGUUGUGUUACCUAUCGUUUUUUGCUUCUUCUUUAACAGCAUUACCAAAAGGAAAUUGUCCGCGGAGUGGAAGGUUACAUUGUGGCCGGUUCAAAGCACGUUGAAAUAGGUAUGUUGCUUGAAAUGCGUUGUCUUUUCUUGGGAGUUUGGAUAUGAAUUCAUGUUGGUUUUAUCAGUUGGUAUACAUAAUACUUUUUCAACAGGUACCAAGCUAUCAGAAGAUAGCAGGAAAUAUGGUUCUGAAAAGACUUGCACCGGUGGUAACACAUUGUCGAGAGCUGCACUGAGUUUUGGAAGAGCUCGGGCCCAAAUGGAAAGAGAGUGCGGAGUUCUACUGAAAGCCCUUGGCACACAGGUUUAAGUCAAAUUAUUACUAUACAAUGGCUCAUUAAGUAAAAAUCAAAUAUUGCCAGGGCCGGUUUCAUACAAAUGGAAUUUCAACCUACUAAUUUUCGUGUGCAUUUGAUCAUUUCGAAAGAAAUUUACAGUAAAAAUUGUUUCCAUUUUCACGUGUGGUUCAAGAACUGCACUACUUUUUGUGUUAUUAUGCAUCAUAUAAGAGGUCGCACUUGGUGCGAUGGCAAGUGCCUUCGCCCAUGAGCGGUAGGUCUCGGGUUCGAGACUUGGGAGCAGCCUCUCCAUAAAUGGGGGUAAGGUUAGCCGACAUUCACCUCUCCCAGACCCUGCGUAAAGCGGGAGGCUUGUGCACUGGGUACGACCUUUAUGCAUCAUAUGACAAACUGGUUCACCAUUUCUUUCUAUAGGUUUGCAUAAUAACUCUUUCUGUGCUUAUCAAUUUGCCUGUGUAGGUUGUGUUAGGUUUUUGGCUCAAAAUUAGGAUGAUGCAAUAAAUUAGGUUUCUGUUAACUAUUUGGUUUUGGUGUUCUAUUUGGGUUUGGUUUUGACUUCUUAGUUAGUUUCCUUGGUGGAGAGAUUUUGUUAAUUACCUAUUUGAUUUGGAUUUGGAUUUAUUUCAUAUUAGGAUUCUUAUUGUAACCUAAGUCCUAUGCACUAUAAAUAGGACCUUAGGGUUAGUGUAUUUAGUGUGCUUCAUCAUGGUUUAGAGAGCUUUUCUCUAUUUUGGUUUUGGGUGGAGGUCACCGUUUGGAGUCACGAGCGUGGCAAAUUCAUGGCUCAUUCGUUUGGCAAAUUUGGUGAGAGUCAAUUUGUGAGUUUGUGAGUUAGAAAGCAAUUUGGGAGAAUCUUCUCCGUUUGUUUUGAGUUCUCUACUCGUUUGGUUUAGGGUUUGUAAUUUGUGGGAUUUAGGUUGUGAGAGUUUAAACACUCUUUUGUAAUCUCCAUUUGUUUAGUGAAAUUCCUUGCCGUGCUUCGCCCGUGGAGUAGGCUUUACGCCGAACCAUGUAAAUCUCGUGUUAGUUUGAGAUUGUUUGUUUUAGCUUUCACCUAUGACGUUGAUAUUUGGUACUUUGUUAUAAUUCGCUUCCGUUUGCGCAUAAAAGUACAACAAGUGGUAUCAGAGCCCAGGUUUCGGCUUGGGCUUUGCUUAGCAGUCACUCUGAAGCCUUCUGUGUUGAUAUUGAAAAGUUCGAAGGUAAUGACUUUGGUAUUUGGCAAUUGAAGAUGCGUGCUUUGGUAGUUCAAGGAAGGAAUAAGGAAAAGAGCAAACUUGGAAAGAACACUUGUAGCUAUUGUUAUAAGGAAGGCCAUUGGAAAGUAGAUUGCCCUAAACUCAAGGGCAAAAACAAGCCGUUUGAUAAGUCUUUUGCUAAUGUUGAUGCAAACAUUGCAGAAGAUCAUUGUUCUGAACUCCUCUAAAUGUUAUGUGAGGAGGUGGAGCUUGGUACUCAAGCUCUUUGGGUGGAGUGCAAUUCGCACUUUUUGUUCAUAUGUUCAAGCUUUUGCUUGGAUUUUGUUUCGUAUUUGUUAGUUUCCAUAAUGGAAUUUGUUGGAGAAGGCAUUGGAGGAAAUUUCAAGUUUGAAGACUUUUGGAUUUUUUGAGUCUAGGUGGAGAUCAGUUUCAAAAGAAUUUGGUGCACGUUUGCGUUUGUAUUUUGGUAUCCCAAAUUUGGAAGUUUGCUAAUUUCUCGCCGAGGUGGAGAUUGUUAGGUUUUUGGCUCAAAAUUAGGAUGAUGCAAUAAAUUAGGUUUCUGUUACCUAUUUGGUUUUGGUGUCCUAUUUGGGUUGGGUUUUGACUUUUUAGUUAGUUUCCUUGGUGGAGAGAUUUGUUAAUUACCUAUUUGAUUUGGAUUUGGAUUUAUUUCCUAUUAGGAUUCUUAUUGUAACCUAAGUCCUAUGCACUAUAAAUAGGACCUUAGGGUUAGUGUAUUUAGUGUGCCUCAUCAUGGUUUAGAGAGCUUUUCUCUAUUUUGGUUUUGGGUGGAGGUCACCGUUUGAAGUCAUGAGUGUGUGGCAAAUUCAUGGCUCAUUCGUUUGGCAAAUUUGGUGAGAGUCAAUUUGUGAGUUUGUGAGUUAGAAAGCAAUUUGGGAGAAUCUUCUCCGUUUGUUUUGAGUUCUCUACUCUUUUGGUUUAGGGUUUGUAAUUUGUGGGAUUUGGGUUGUGAGAGUUUAAACACUCUUUUGCAAUCUCCGUUUGUUUAGUGAAAUUCCUUGCCGUGCUUUGCCCGUGAAGUAGGCUUUAUGCCGAACCACGUAAAUCUCUUGUGUUAGUUUGAGAUUGUUUGUUUUAGCUUUCACCUAUGACGUUGAUAUUUGGUACUUUGUUAUAAUUCGCUUCCGUUUGCGCAUAAAAGUACAACAGGUUGCAGAGCCUUUAAGAGCAAUGAUAGUGGGAACACCCUUGGAGGAUGCUCGACAUCUAACUCAACGAUAUGCUAGAAUGCGGCAAGAAGCUGAAGCUCAGGUAUAUGCAGUUUCUUCUGUUUCCUACCAAUUUUAUACUACAGUGAUUUUACAUGUUACAUGGUGAUCAUACAUUUCUCGGUUAACUUUUUUUGUUUUCUUUUAAAAGUGUUUGUUCAUUUUGAGACAAUCAUGCAUUGGUAUUUAUAGAGAACGCAAAAUCUUAAGAUGUUUAAUGUAACUUGUUGAGAUUGCUUCAUUACUUGAAGCUUUGUUGUAAUUUGGUUUUUGUUUUUUUUUUAUUACUCCUUCAGAUUUGUCUAUAUAUACUAACUUGCACCGGGAUAGGCUAUAGAUGUUUCCAGACGCCAGGCCAAAGUACGGGAUUCUGCAGGUAAUGCUGACAUUAUCAUGAAACUAGAAGCUGCUGAAGCCAAGCUUCAGGAGCUGCAGUCUAGCGUUGCAAUAUUGGGAAAAGAAGCUAGUGCAGCUAUGGCUGCUGUUGAAGGUCAACAACAAAGAUUGACUCUUCAGCGGCUUCUUGCGAUGGUAAAGGAUUGCCUUCUCCUUUUUAUUUAAGUGUUAAGACCUUGGCCUGUUCUAGUUACAAGACUGAAAAGGAAAUUAAUUUUGUAAAUUUGUGAUUUUUCGUCCCCAUUCAAGGUUGAAGGAGAACGCAACUAUCAUCAGAACGUUCUUUAGAUACUUGAUCAGCUUGAAGGCGAGGUAUGAAAUAUCCUAAAGUCUUCCUUUCAGCAUGACAAUUUCUUUUCCCAAUUCAUUUGGCUGUAUAUUAUUCUAGUGUCUUGCUACUAAAAGCAGAGAUCAUUGACAGUAUUUGUUGGGACAGAUUUUAUCAGAAAAGCAGCGAAUUGAAGCAUCGCAUAGUCCGCCUACCGAGGACACUAUGCCUCCACCACCAUCGUAUGAGGAUCUCGGCCGUAGCUUUGCUUCUGAAACCUGUGAUGAAUUGACAGAGUUGAGGGACUCUUCUCUUUCUUAGGAGAGGUAUCUUUAUGCUAUUGUUGUUGUAUCCAAGUUUUAGUCUGUUCGACUCUUUAGUUUCUAGUAACUGUUUCUUUUCGCCUACCGCAGGUUAUUUACACCUUCCACGCUGUAACUGAUGUGGAGUUAAGUUUGUCAUUCGGGAAUUACGUUGUCGUCCGGAAGGUUCUGUCGUCUUUCCUGCUUGCAUGCUUUCAUCUUAUAUUCAUGUUCGGAUUUAUUUCUUUCGUAUUGAGGUUAAAUUUUCAUGUUCAAAGACGUUCACUCAGGUAUGUUCGUCAAUGCAUAGGCAUUAGCACACCACCGAGUGCAUUAGAAUAUGGAUUUCAGUUUUGGGUGCUGCAUGCAUUAAUGUAGUUUGUCUGGUUUUGGUUAUUGCUGCCGCUGAGCAUGAGUGGCUUUCUGUAGUUGCUGAGAGUUAUAUUGUGAGCAUAAUUCAUACAGCAGCUUUCAUAUACGGCACAUGUAGUCGGCAGCACUGCAUUUAGAAAGAGAAAGUUAUAUUUUCUUCACUGUUUAUUGAAAACUUAUAUGUUGCAUGUUCUGACUUUUAAAGUGAGUCGGCAUCAGAGUUUUUAUUUGAGAAAAAUCAGUUUUGUGUCCAUGUGUUUUCAAAGAAAAUAUUUUAGUUUUUAAUCACUGAUUUUUCAUUGUGCUUCAAUUAGAAAUCAAUUAUGAGAAUGUGCCUUGUGAUUUUCGUAAUUGGUUGAUUUCAAAAAAUCUUUACAUUUCAUACAUUCUGCAUGAUCACAUUAGGAUCUUGCAAAGUUCAAGGACACAGUGAUUGACUGUCGCGUUAGUGUCGUGCCACUUUCACUUGAAAGCUGAAGAGAGAUCGAGUAGCAAAGCUCAAUGAAAAAAAUUGCCUACUAGUAUGUGGGUCUAGUUAAUGAGUUUUGUAAGUCUUUCUAUACUCAUUUGUCCUGGCUUAAGAGUUUGAGGAUUUUCUCAGUGAUGAGUUUUACCUUGUUAAAUCCUACAUCAUGUGUACACAUGUUAUUUGUCUUUUUAAUUGCAAAUGUGUAGGAUAAUCUUUCACUUAUUUUCUUGUAGUGAACUCUAUCUUAGACAUUCAUCAACAUUUAGAGUUUACGACAGAGGACUUUGCUACCAUAUUAUCAGUGCAUUGAUUAAUUUGUAAAGCGCCCAUUUAUCCUAAUUAUAAAAUAUAUCCUAAUUAUAAAAUAUAAUCUGUACAAGACAUUAACAGUUUGGAUGUCAUGUAUGGCCACAUCCUUUAUUUUCAGAAUAAUGCUAUUCAUACCAUGUUUUUAUAUCAUAUUUAUAUACCACUUUAAGUGGCAUCUGAUGUAAACAACCACAUCAUUUGAAAAAUUUGCAAAACCCAAGGAAAGGAAAGAGAAAGACUCUUUGUAUACCAUAAUCGUCAUUUAAUUAACUAAUUUUUCUUAAUUAUUAGUUUAUUAAAUAAUGAACUAAAUUUAAAAAUCUGAUUAAUUCAAAUUAUGUGUCAGUUCACAUCACAUCAAAUGCCACCGAAAAUGGUAUGAAAAUGUUGUAUAAAAAUAUGGUAUGAAUAACAUUACUCUUAUUUCCACCAUUCUUAUCAACUGGAUGGGGAUAGAUUGUCUUUAUCUCACAAACCCAUAAUGUGGCAAUCGUCCAUUAGAAAGGUAAUGUACGUUUUGAAAAUCGUGGUAAAUAUUGAAUGAGUAAUGACGCCUCUAAAAAUAAAAUUUAGUUAUUUGAAAGAAUCUUUCAUAAAAUAAAGUAACGAAUAAUCAACAAAAGUAGCAGUACACCAAGUUGAAUCCUUUUCAACGUUGAAAUGAAAUAUGAAAGUAGAUCAAGUUUAUAUUAUUCAUCUACUUUUUAUUUUAUUUUAAUAAACGAUAUUAUCUACACUAAAGAGAUAGAGUUGGUUAAGCCUCACAAUGGACUAGCAAUAAUAUGGUUCAAAUUCACAUUUGACGAGAAUCAAACCAAGUGAAGAGAAAUAUCAUUAGACCGUAACAUUAUUCAUCAACUUUUAAAUUCAUCCACUUUUAAAUAAUAAACAAUCAAGAAAAACAUUGCACGCGGUCCCCUCUCGUCACUUACCACUAGUGCCAUCACUUACCUGAGCAAAAGAGAUAUUUCUAAUUGCUUGACCCAAACAAGCAUUGAGUUCAUCCAUCAAUAACAGGUCCACAUCUCAACCCAAAUAUAAUAACGUCAAAGGAGAGGGGAAAAUGAGAAGGAAACUCUGGAGGGUAGAGGGAAGGAAAAGGAGAAAAGGACAAAGGAGAAAAGGACAAAGGGAGAAGGGAAAAGUAGAAAGGGAAGGAGGACCACAGUAGAAAAUAUCGAUAAUAUCGGUGAAAUAUCGCCGAUAUUAUCGUUUUUUUGGGACCCCGAUAUUUUAGUAACUAUCCAACUUGUUUUCGGCAGAAUAUCGCGAUAUUAUCGAUAAUAUCGAUAAUAUCGCGAUAUUUUCGAAACUAUCGCGAUAUUUGGUAUGGACUCAUCGGAGAACACGGCCGGAGCAAAUAAUCCGAAACCCUAAAUCCCCAAAUGCUAAAUCAAAGCAAAUGAACUGAAUCUACAAUACAGGAUUCCGAGAAGAACGAUUUCAGUACAAAAUUCAACAUGUUUACAAGCCGAGAAGAACGAUUUCAGUACAAAAUUCAAAGCAAAUGAACCGAUUCCCUAAAUCCCCAAAUUCGGAUUCAAAGCAACUGAACUAAAUCCCUAAUUCCUAAAUCCCUAAAAUCUAUUUCAGUACAAAAAUCAAGCAACAUGCAGAUAAAUCGCAAUCUGUACAAAAAUAGAAACCCUAAUUCCUAAAUCCCUAAAAUCAAUUUCAGUACAACAAAGGUGCAACAUGCAGAAAAAUUGAAAUCUGUACAAAAAUUUAAAGUAAUAGAGGGGAAGAAGAGAAGUAGGAGCCUGGAACAUCGUCUUCCUCACGAAUCCAAGACGGCUGGGACAAGUUCGUGCUCCUCAGUGGUGUCGACGGCUUGGACUACGGAGACAGAGGGAGACACGGAGACACGGACGGUUAUGGAGUGGUGUCGACGGCUGGGUUUAGGGCGGGUGAGAUAGGAGGAGCAGAGGGAGACAGGGAGACACGGAGACACGGACGAGGAGGAUCGAGAUUUGAGAGAUGAUGUCUCUGUGUGUGUGUGGAAGAACUGGAGAAGGGGGAAGGGAGGGAGAAGACUGAGAACUUCUCGGUGAGAACGAAGGCUCAGACCGACCUCAGAGAGAAAAGAGAGAAGAGAGAGACUGAGAGGAUUCGAGAAUAUGGUAGUGGAGUGGGAAAUGAAAGAUCGAGAGAGAGACCUCCGUGUGUGGUGUACGUGUGUGGUGUGCGUGUGUGGUGUGGUGGGGGGGUCUCGAAGUGUGUGUGUGGUGGAGUGUGAGUUCUUCAGUCUUUUUGACUGUCUGAGUGAUGGUGUCUAAGAAAAAAAAAGCAUCCAAUGCUCCAAAUUAUUCAAAACCAAAUCAUUCCAAACCUAUGUCUACCUCUCUGAUCCAAUGAUCCAAAGAACUUUUUUGCAAUUUCAGAACAUGCACAACAAAUACUACUGCUUUAAUAAUGAAAGCGUGUGACAGUCUUUCACAUGCAAAACAGUGUCAAUGUCUGUUAUAUACUUACAUUCUUUCAUCAUCAGAGGCAUUCACCGAAUUUUAACUUACAUUCUUCUUCCCAUACCAUUUUCAAAACCAUUCCAGAUCCUUUCCAAAGCCAAGCAACACAAAGGCUUCCAUAUUUAAGGUAAGUUUACAAACUUAAAUUUAUAUUAUUGUAAUUUAUAUACAAAAACAAAUAAAUUUGUGUGCACUCGUAUGUUAAUUUUUUUAAGUAAUUACUUGCAUGUUAAUUAUGUUAAUUUUUGUAAGUAAUUAAGUAAUGUUAAUAUUAAUUGUUUUAAGUAAUUAAGUAAUGUUGUAUAAUUAUUCCCUAGGAUAAUUUUAAUAUGUUUAAUAUUAUUUAUUAUUUUAUUUCUCUUACCAUCUUCAUUAUCAAAUUGGAUUAUUAUUCAUUAAUAUUAGGUUUUUUUAUUAUCAAAUUGGAUUAUUAUUCUUUAAUAUUAGAUUUUUUUAUUAUCAAAUUGGAUUAUUAUUCUUUUAUAUUAGGUUUUUUUAUUAUCAAAUUGGAUUAUUAUUCUUUUAUAUUAGGAAUUUUUUUAUCAAAUUGGUGGAUUAUUCAUUAAAUUUGAUUAUUAUCAAAUUGGAUUAUUAUUCAUCACCAUGUUUUAUAUUAGGAUAAUUUUUUUAUCAAAUUGGUGGAUUAUUCAUUAAAUUGGAUUAUUAUCAAAUUUGGAAUAUUAUUCAUCACCAUGUUUUAUAUUAGGAUAAUUUUUUUAUCAAAUUGGAUUAUUUCAUUAAAUUGGAUUAUUAUCAAAUUGGAUUAUUAUUCAUCACCAUGUUUUAUAUUAGGAUAAUUUUUUUUAUCAAAUUGGUGGAUUAUUCAUUAAAUUGGAUUAUUAUCAAAUUGGAUUAUUAUUCAUCACCAUGUUUUAUAUUAGGAUAAUUUUUUUAUCAAAUUGGUGGAUUAUUCAUUAAAUUGGAUUAUUAUCAAAUUGGAUUAUUAUUUAUCAAAUUGGAUUAUUAUUCAUCACCAUGUUUUAAUUUAGGAUAAUUUUUUUAUCAAAUUGGUGGAUUAUUCAUUAAAUUGGAUUAUUAUCAAAUUGGAUUAUUAUUCAUCACCAUGUUUUAUAUUAGGAUUUUUUUUUAUCAAAUUGGAUUAUUAUUCAUUAAAUUGAAUUAUUAUCAAAUUGGAUUAUUAUUCAUUAAUAUUAGGUUUUAUUAUUCCAUAUUAUUUGUAUAAUUACUUAACUUUUUACAAUCAUUUUCUUUACUUUGUAUUUAAUUCUUCUGUAGAAUAACUUUAUUAUUUAGGUUCUCUUAUUUUUAUCAAAAAAUAAUUGUCUAAUUUUAAUGAAAAAUAAAUAUAGGUACAUUUAAUGUUAUAACCCUUACCCAAAAAAUAACCUAGUUUACUUUGGGCCAGGCUAAUCCCUUUGUGUUUUAAUGUAAGGCCCGAGUUUUUCUUUAAUUUUCUUAAGCCCAAGGUUUAUUCAACCCGUGAACCUCAUCUCCUUCCUCUCUCUUUUCUGAAAAGUCAUCUCUCUCUUUCUUUGUUUCUUCCCUCUCUCUCUCUAACUCUCACUCUCUAAAACCCGAGAGAAGAGAGCUCUCACCCUCCCACUUACCUUCACCACCAAGCCCUAUUUUCUACAUAUUCGGAGUCUGUGGGAUGCAAGGAUCACGAUGGUGGUCUUGCAUGUGAUAUCACUGCAGUGAGGACCUCGGCACCAUUAAAGUUGAGAGCUCCAUAGCUCUCAAAGCUUGAACCCAGGUGAACUAUGCCUUCUUCUCUAAAUUUCUGGGUUUAUGAAUGAUAUUUUAAUCUAUGUGAUUAUUAAGUUUAUCCCGUUAUUUCAAGAUUAAGGACGAAACCAUCGUGGGGGAAAGCUCACCCAAACUUUCCGGCGAACCCGUGACUCUCGAGGGAUUUUCCGAGCACACCGGGCCGUGUCACGGUGAAGCAAGGGUACAUUAAUACUCCUCUCUCUCCCCACUUCAUUUUGUUAUGUAGUUUGGACCUUGAGAUGCUCGUUCGUCGUCGACCGGAGCUAUAAUAGCUCCGGUGUUCUUCCCCGGUCAGCUCGCAAGCCUUCAGGCCGUUUAGGACACCCACGGGCCUUAGGCCCAUAUUGGUUCAGCCCUUUUUGCGUAUGGGUGGGUGUAAAUGUGCGAAUGUAUGCUGUGUGUGUGUAUGCAUGUUCGUGCGUAUGUAUGUGCAGUGUGGGUUCGGUGUGUGUCUGUGCGUGUUUGUCCAUGUGAGUGUGUGCGUUUGGUAAGUGUGCAGGCCGUGCAUGUGUGGGUGUAUGUGUAGUGCAUAUGUGCAGUGUGUGAAUAUGUAUAUGUGUGUGUGUGUGCUGGUGCGUAAGUAUAUGUAUGUGUGUGUGUUUAUAUAUAUAUAUAUAUAUGCAUUUGUGGGUGCAGCGCAUGCUAAUGCAUGCUGUGUGUGUUUAUAUAUGUAUCUAUAUAUAUAUAUAUAUAUAUAUAUAUAUGCAAGAGUGUGUGUGUGCAGUGCAUGCUUUGCAUGUAUGUGUGUGUGGGUGAGUAUGGGUUGGGCUCAAGCCCAAACCACCUUUUGAUCCUUACCUAUCCAAAUCCAAGGUCCAUUUCCAUUUCCUAGAAUUAUAUUGUUGGGUAGUUUGAUUAACUGUACGUUCUUGUACUUAGGGACACUUAUCGCGACGUUUCUGUCUUCGCUAGUGGCGCAGCUUUUGACGGAGUAUCUGUGAGUGGACCACCUUCGAAAAUUGCAUGUUUUAUUGAUAGAAUUGCAUAAUUUAAUAGCAUGCCUUACAGAAUUAUUUGAUUUGAGGAUUGAUGAAAUUAUGCUACGAAGUUGUAUUUUAGAGAUGAAUUAUGUUUUGUGCGUACCUAGUGAACACUAUGCCGCCUGGGGCGAGGAUCUGGUGUUGGCAUUGAGGCCGGGAGAAAUAAUCCCUAGCGAAAGGCUGAGGGACACGGAGACAGGCAUUGGGCCGGGAGGGAGAUAUCUCUGGCUACGGGCACAGAGACUGAGGUGCAGGCAUUGGGCCGGGAGUAUUGUUAUUCAGUGCACUCACUAGCAGCACAACUUAUGUUAUGCUUCCUGAUACGAUUUCUGAUAUGAUUUCUGAUAUGAUUUUAUGAGAUUGAUUUGCAGAGAGAUAUAUGAAUUGUUUUUAUGGCAUGCUAGUGGUUUUGAGAAACCUAUCACUUAUUAUUUAGUAGUUUUCAUUAUCUUAACUGUGGGGGUUAGUAUGUUCAUAACUAUUUUUGUACUACGUAUGUAUAUAAACUUGGUCCACUCACCCUUGUUUUGCGCCCCCAUUCAGGACUUAGGAUGAAGGCACAUAACCCCGGCAACAAGGUACUUCCGCAGCGGCAUCUUCGAGUCCUCUCGGGGUAGGACCCACUCAUUUGUUCAUUCAAUCUUAUCUUAAUUCUUAUUAGUGACUAGGUUUAGUUAUAUGCUCUGAACACGUUCCUAAAUUGUUAAUUCAUUGUUUUUAAAUUCAUAACCUGUAUUUAUUUCUUAUUCUUAGCUUUUGUAUCAAUUAAUGGCUUUCGUCACCCCCGGGUGUCGGCCAGCACGUGUCGGUCCUGGUAUUCGGGGAAUAUCAGGGUCGGGGCGUGUCAUUUAAGAUGUCAAGUAAACGUGAUCCAGCUUGGGAACAUGGAGACCCAAUAGACGGAAACAAACAUGGCACAAUUUGCAAAUAUUGUGGUCGGGUAAUGAAGAGUGGCGGAGUGACACGACUGAAGUAUCAUCUUAGUGGAUUAGAUCCAUCAAAAAAUGUCCAACGAUGCGAUAAUGUCCCCCCAGAAGUGAAGGCAUUCAUCAGCACAUUAUUAAAAAAUAAAAAACAGCAGAAGGAAAAGAUGACACAAGGAAUGGAAAAUAUUCGAGCUGAGCUACGGGGAGAAGUCUAUGGCCAAGCGGUUGACAGUGAUGAUGAUGACGAUGAGGACGAAUGUGAUGAUGACAUGGGACCUGAAGAACGACGCAGUUUGAAACAAGCAUUACGUGCCUCCAAACAGUCAGCAUGGGAAAGAGAACACCUUCAUAAAAUUCCUAAUAGGGGACAAGGUUCCGGGACAAGUGGUGGUGCACAAAUGAGACGGGGAGGCAGUCUUAGAGAAUCACAACCAACACCACCAAUAGCCCCAAGUUUAUAUAAGUCAUCCAACGCACGUCAAAAGAGUGUUUGGAGUUAUUUCAAGGGAGGUAAUGUGAAGGAGGGAAUGGGGCGUCUAAUUAGCAAGUUCUUUAUCUAUGAAAAUGUCCCUGCUGCGAAGGCUUCAUCACAUCAUUUCAAAAAUAUGGUAGUGGGAUGUCAACAGGCCGGUGUUGGAGUACAACCUCCCACUCCCUAUGAGAUAAGAAACAAAUAUUUGGAUAUGGAGUAUAAAGACAUUGGCGAGUAUGUUAACAAGUUGAGGUCAAAGUGGGAAACUAAUGGUUGCACAAUCAUGUGUGACGGAUGGACCGGCCCCCGACCAGAUUAUCUAUCAUCAACUUCAUGGUAUAUUCCAAGGGCAAGACAAUUUUUUUGAAGUCUGUUGAUGCUUCAGACCAUAUAAAGAAUUACAAAUAUAUUUACAAAUUAUUGAGGGAUGUAAUCAUGGAGGUGGGAGAGCAUAAUGUUGUCCAAGUCGUGACCGACAACGGUUCUGCAUUUGUCAAAGCUGGAAAAAAGUUAAUGAAGCAUCAUAAUGUGUUUUGGACAUCAUGUGCAACACAUUGUAUUGAUCUUAUGUUUGAGGCAAUGGGGAAGAGAGAGAAUGUUGCUACUGUGGUCAAAAGAGCUAGAACGAUCACUAAUUUAUAUUUACAAUCACGGUUGGUUGUUGGCAAAGAUGCGUGAAUUUUGCAGAGGAGAAAUUAUUCGUCCAGCUACCACUCGAUUCGCCACCAACUAUAUUGCAUUAAACAGCCUACUCAAGAAGAAAGCAGGGUUGAAGCAACUAUUCACCAGUGAUGAUUAGGCCAACCACAAUUUUAGCCGCUCAAAUACAGGUCGUUUGGUGGAAAGUAUAGUGCUUGAUCAUGCUUUUUGGAGUCAAACAGAACAUGUGUGUCAAGUGUUUGAACCUCUUUACAAAGUUUUACGGAUCGUUGACACAGAAGUGUAUCCCUACUAUGGGGGCUGUAUAUGAGUUGAUGCGUGUAGUGAAGGAUGAAUUGGAAAGAAAACAUGGUGCAAGGUGGGUCGUAAAAAUAAUUGAAGACCGAUGGUAUAAAACAUUAUACCACGAUUUGCAUGCAGCAGGUAUAAAUUAUGUCAUAAUUUGCAAUUCAUUUCUUUAGUUGCAUAAAUAUUAUUUAUCUUAUUAGAGUAUGUGUUUCUUUGAAACAGCAUAUUAUUUGAAUCCCCGAUACCAAUACAGACCCGGUGUUGGAGAUGAUGGUACCCUUAUACGUGCUGUACAUAAUGUAUACUCUAAAUUAGACCCUGCAUCACCAGCAGUUGGCCAAUUUGGAAAUGAGGUACACAAUUACUUAAAUUAUAAUAAUUACUUUGUUGGAUUAAACUAACACAAUUUAUUGUAUUCAGCUAACAUGGUUUAAAGAUGCAAGAAGAACAUUUGGAGAACCAACAUCAGUUGCUGCUCGAACAAAUAUGUCUCCUAGUGAGUAUAAACAUAUUUCACUAUAAGUUUUAUAAUAGAAUUUUUGUUGGAGUUAUUAGGCUUAUCAACAUUAUUUUUCAUUGUAGCUGAAUGGUGGAUCAUGUAUGGGACCGAUGCACCAACUGUGAGAAAGUUAGCAAUAAAAGUAUUAUCACAAACAGCUUCCUCAUCAGCUUGUGAAAGAAAUUGGAGCACAUUUGCACUCAUCCAUACAAAGCAAAGAAAUAAGUUGGCUCAUAGUAGCUUGGAAAAAUUAGUUUAUUGCUACUACAACAUGAAGCUUCAAAUUCGAGAUAAGGAAGCAAGAAUCGAUCAUGUCGACCGUGGUGACCCACUAGAUGUGUUUGAUAUUGUUGGUGAAGAUGAUGAUAUGGAGGGUAACCAACUUUUUCAAUGGAUUAGACCUCUUCAUUUAGAUGAUGAUGAAGGCAACCCAGCUCCCAGAGUUGCUGAAGAAGCACGUAAUGAAGGGAUAAAUGUAGAAAGAGUAUUAGAGGAGGAGGUGGGAUCUAGCAGCGCUGACUCUUUCGAAGAACUUUUGCACCCAAUGCCAAGCAACACUGGAAUUCCACCUUUUUCUAAUCCUACACAACCACAACAUCGUGCUGAUACUAAUGAUAGCUCUAGUACAAGAUCAGGAGACUCACCUACCACCGGAGGUGGGAAUGAUGAAGGAAAUAGUGGAGCUGGAGGUAGUGGAGCUGGAGGUAGUGGUGGUGGAUAUGGAAACUAUUAUGGACCACCACCUCCCGGAUAUAUGAGCCCCUUCACUGGUGAGGCAAACUUCACGCAUGCAACACAAGAUGAUGACCAUGGCAGUAGGCGGGCAAGACCAGGAAUUGGUGCCAUAGGGAAGGACUAUACUCGCAGAGAAAGAGGCAAAGGGAUUUUGUCAAGUCAAGAAGAUGACUCGUUAUCUAGAACUUCAGACUCUUUUGGAUUGGGAAGUAGUAACUAUGGUUAUACUCAUAACCAACCAUUUCCCUACCCUUCAUAUCCCAUUCCUGUUGGGAUGGAAUCGAGCGACUCAUGGAAUCAAUCCCAGCCUCAAUCUUCAAAUGAUUUUUCUUAUGGACAACCUCAACCAAUCUCGGAUCCAUAUGGGUGGCAUAUUAACAAUUACAUGCAAAACUAUUUUGGGGAUUUAUCAUUUGAUAACUACUCUUCACAAUACACUCAUUCUACACAUAGAGAUGAUGAAGAUAGUGACAAAUUUGAACCUCAUAGGAACUCUAUGUGGUACUAAAGUGUAAAAUAUUGUACUAAUUCAUUAUAUAUAAAUGAUUAUGGUGUGUUUAGACUUCUUUCAUUAAUUACUACAUAUUUUCUACACUCAUAAUGUUUGUCAGAUCGCUAUAUAAUCAACUUGAUAAUGUUAAAUCCAUCAUGCAAUGCAUUUCCUUCCAAUUUUUUGUGAUAAACUAAUAGAUAAUUGACUAAAUAAACAUCCUACAAAGUUUCAAUACAAAUUUCCAAGUUUUUCUUACAAUUUCCGUGGUUUCCAUGUAAUUUUUAUCGAUAUCGAUAUUUUACCGAUAUUUCCAUCGAUAUUUCCGUGUUUUCGGACUACCGAUAUUUCCGAUAUCACCGAUAUUUUCUUCCUUGAGGAGGACAAUGAGAGGAAAUUUCGGAGAAUAGAGAAAAGGAGAAGGGAAAAGUAGAAAAGGAGAAGAGAAGGGAUAAGGGGAAGGAAGCUUAGGAGGGUAGGCAGACGAAAAGAGGGAAAUGCAUAAAAAUAAAAAAUAAAAAAGGAAAGUUGACUUCAUCAUUAUGUCUCCUAGCGGAAAGGAGCAAUCACAUUGUAAAUUAUAUUUCGUAUAAUGAGAAAUUAGUAUUCCUACUCGAGGAUAUAGACACAACUUGUCGAAUCUCGUUACUAUACAGCAAGUCUAUAAUUGCACAACAAUUUGAUUAACCACCUUAAGUUCAUCCAUAUGUACUAAGAUUCAAGUUUUUCCAAACUUUCCUUAUGAAACUAACUGAACAUUACAAGUGCCUCAUUAUUAUGCGGUUCGAUCAAGUUUUAAUUUUUGUCUCAUAACCACAUUAUCUUUAGGACAAUAAUCUUGUGGUUGAAUAUAAAAACCUUCGACAUGGUGAUCAAUGGCGGAGCCAAGUUAAGGGCUGCCCUGGGCUGCAGCCUAGGUAGCUUGUGGUGAAAAAUAAAAUUUUACAUGUAAAUUAGAUUGAUUUUCGAAUGUAGUCCACCAAAUAUUUAGUCGCUAAUUCAAAUUCUCUAGGUUUAACUAUAUAAAAUUAUAUAAUACACUUUGCAAACCAUCUCUUUUUCUUACAUUAUUUUUCUCAUCGCUUCUUGUACAUGUACAAAUUUGGAUUUGUUUAAUUUUAACACGUUUUUGGCUCACCUUGUGAAUUUUUUUAAGCUAACUGAUACUAUAAGAAAUAGGGUAUCAAGUUUCUUUAUUUAAAAAGAUUUAAAAUUUUAAACUAGCCCACCCGGUAAAACAUUCCUAACUCCGCUAUUGAUGGUGAUAUUGGAAACACUAGUUGGUGGGUUGAUUGGUAGAAAUGGUUCCAACAAUUUAAAGAUGAGAAAUGAGUAUUGAGCAAUGAUCAAAAUGUGUUGUACUUUAUCAGAAAAGAUCUUUGUGCAAUCAAAAGUGCAUUUUAUCACAAAAAGGUAACAACGAUCAAUAUAAUUGUUAUUUAUAAAAUCACACAUAAAAUAAGAAGUAAUCUUUUCUUUUUCUUUUCAUCUCUGCCACUAUGGGCCGACCAUGACUUAAAGAAACGCUUUUUGGGUCAAUGGAUGGGAACGACCCAUUUUAUAAUAUUGUUUGUAAAUUUUUCUGGAAGUAGAUGGAAAUGACCGAAGUACAUAUUUCCCCUGCUCACAGACAUUUGCAUUGCACCUAGCAAACACCAGUUUUUUUGUUUGAACAUCGAUCCACAUCAACGUUUAAUUCAAGAUAAAGAAAGGUAAUCGCAACACGACGGCGGCGACGUGGCGGUCAUUUAACGGAAAAUAACAGACAAAUCAGCCUCCAGAUCAAGUCUUGAAGCACAACUCUGAAAAAUCGAGACUACCUACAUCUGAGCUCCGACCAACCGCUGAUGGAGGCAAUCAGGAAGCUCAGAGAUCAGGUCGCCAAGCAACAGCAGGUACUCUCUCUCUCUUGUUUGAUUCCGAAUUUGUAUUUCUCAAUGGAAUUUUAUAUGAACAUAAUCUGCGUUGAUUGCGAGAUACUGAGAUUGCUUAAUGAAAUAAUAUUUAUAUAAUUGUUCGAGUUGAAUUGGAUCGAUUCGAAUUCGAAUAGAAUUUCACUAUUUCUGAGCUGUGUUGGAGUGCAGUGUUGCCGAAUUUCUGAAAUUUUGAGCUAGGUGUUGCUAAUUACUUAUCCAUUUUUGGAUUUAAUUGGAUGCUUAAUUUUUACAUUUUCGGAAAACUUCAAGCAAAAAUGGUAUAUGAUUUUUAUCAUAAAAAGAGUUAGUCGAAGCUUUAUCGAGUUUGCUUUUGAUUAUUUUAUCAUAAAAAGAUGAGCAACGAUCUAUAUAAUUUUUCUGGAAGUUGAUGGAAAUGACCCAAUUACAUAUUUCCCCUCCUCACAGACAUUUGCAUUGCACCUAGCAAACACCAGUUUUUUUGUUUGAACAUCGAUCCACAUCAAUGGCUCUUGUGAGAACAUCUCCAGGAACCUCCUCUGAUUCCAACACUUUUCGGAGUUCUCGCUACGACGUGUUCUUGAGCUUCAGAGGGGAAGAAACUCGCAAGACUUUUACCGACCACCUCUACACAGCCUUGAACAACGCAGGAUUUCUUACGUUCCGAGACGACGAUGAACUUGAGAGAGGAGAAGAUAUAAAGCCAGGACUGCAGAAAGCGAUCCAGCAGUCACGAACUUCUGUUGUCGUGUUUUCGAAAGAUUACGCGUCAUCCAGUUGGUGUCUUGAUGAGCUUGUGCUGAUCCUUGAACGCAAGAGGACCACCUCGGACCAUGUAGUUUUACCAGUCUUCUACGAUGUCGAUCCGUCCCACGUGAGGAAGCAGACAGGAAGUGUUGGAAAAGCAUUUGCUAGAAGCCAGAAAAAU